rnacentral:tRNA from 1 species
CUGUCACUGUUGAACAGAGCAGCGUACUUAUCUUCAAUGACUGACCAGGGAAUCGAAGCUGCCUUUUUGACCCAACGGUUUUCUGGAUUCAUUGUGAGGCCCAAUGGCUGAUCGAAGUCAUAAAUGGUCAAUUGCCGAUUCGUCUGCUUUUUGUACAUUUUCAUCGCCUCUUCGUAUCAUUUUUGAAAAAAGUGCACGGGUUUUUGGUGUUUUCCCCUAGAUUCCAUGCAUCUAUUAUACCAAAAAACAUCGAAAAACGCUGUCACAAUAAGGUUUAUAAAUUAUUCAGUAGACAUUAUUUAUACCGGUUGCGGACGAUGGCGCAGCUGCGGAACGACAAAAAAAUGGAAUGAUACGGAGAUCAUCCCAUUCUUUAUUGAUUAGUCUCUAAGAAUUUCAGAAAGCAAGCAUCCGGCUGUUAGAAUUUGCGUUUUCUGGCAGCUUCAGAUUUUUUCUUGCGUCUCACACUUGGCUUUUCAUAAAAUUCAUGUUUACGAGCGUCUUGUAGAGUUCCAGUUUUUGAAACAGUACGUUUAAAGCGACGAAGAGCAUCAUCAAGAGAUUCGUUUUUACGAACAACUGUUUUUGACAUUAAAUAUUCCCUCCCUCCGAGCAUUAAAAGUAACGUUUCCUUUUGAAAGCUAGCAAUCAAAAUGAAAUUGUUCUUUUGAUAUUAUAUCAUAGGCGAAAGCAAUUGCAACGGUUUAUUGAAAACAAAUACAGGAAUUGUAUCGGAAUUGUAUCGGAAUCUUUUUUUCAGGAAAAAAUUGCUUGACGUCCGGUAAGGUACGCUAUCCGGCAGCCAGGCAAUCCUUGCAGAUCCCGAAUAUUUCGAAGCGAUGGGAAGAAAUUUGGCAUCCCUCCAACUGUUGCUCAAAAAAAUCCAUCGGACACAUCUGCAAAGCAAUCGUCAUCCCGCACUGCUGACAGAUAAAGUGGUGAUGGUGGUGCCCCUCAUGCAGGCAAGUGAUCCUGAACAAUUUUUCAUUGUUCAACUCGGUUUCUUCCAAGAUCCCCACAUCGACAAAAGUGUACAGAUUGCGGUAUAUAGUGUCGUAGCUGAGUGUCGGAUACUCAGCUUCCAAAGCCUGAAGAACAGCCUUUGCGGACAGAUAACGGUUUGCUUCCGCAAAAACCGUUAUGAUAUCUUCUCUUUUUUGGGUGUAUUUGUAACCAUGCUUUUUUAAUUUCUGCAACGCAAUUGUUACGGUAUCGACCGGCAUCAUUUUCCCUCCCGACUCUAUCAAUUUCAAAUUGACUAUAGUAUAUUAUUAGUGAGAUUGCAAUCAUUAAGAUUCAGGGAGGACGAAUUAUAUGGAACAACAAGCGCACGAGGACCUGCAUUUUGUCAUCAUAUCCGAUUCGGUUGGGGACACCGCCAGGAAAGUACUCCAGGCCGUUCUGGCCCAAUUCCCGUCGAUCACCGUUCAUAUGUACCAUUACCCGUUCAUCAGGAAGAUGAAAGAUCUGGAACCUGUUUUGAAAGAAGCCAAAGAAUUGAAGGCAUUUGUGAUCCAUACUCUGGUCGUCGAGGACUUGAGCGAAUUCACGGACAGUUUCUGCGCUGCAGAAAACCUGCCUUGCUACAAUAUUUUAAAAGCACUGGUGAGCGAUAUUUCCGAAAAAACCGGACAGCAACCCCUCCGGCGAGCCGGCGCUUUGCACCGUUUGGAUGACGAAUACUUCAACCGCAUCAGCGCCAUCGAGUUUGCCGUCAAAUACGACGACGGCAAAGAUCCGAAAGGCUUCUUGGAUGCCGAUUUGGUCCUGUUGGGUGUUUCCCGCACUUCGAAAACGCCGCUUUCCAUGUUUUUGGCGAACAAAAACAUCAAGGUAGCCAACUUGCCGAUCAUGCCGGAAGCGGCUGUGCCUGACGAGAUUUGGCAAGUCGAUCCGAAGAAAAUAGUCGGACUGACAAACGAUGCGGAAGUACUGAACAACUUCCGCAAGGAGCGUAUGAUUGCUUACGGUUUGUCACCGGAAACCAUCUACUCGGAUAUGGAUCGCAUCCGGGCAGAAUUGGAAUACGCCUAUGAAUUGUACAACAAGUUGGGCUGCAUCGUCAUCAACGUAUCCAAACGUUCCAUAGAAGAGACGGCCGCCAUCAUCAUGAGCAGCAUCGAAAUUUCCGACACAACCAUCAUCCCUUAACAACAAAAGAAGAGGACGCGGUUUUUAAAUCCGCGUCCUCUUCUUUUGUUGUCCGCUAGCGCAUCGGCCGGGCUAGAAACCUCGGCUGGAUCCGCCGCCUCCGGAAGAUCCUCCACCGCCGAACCCGCCGCCUCCGCCAAAGCCGCCACCAAAACCGCCGCCGAAUCCGCCGGAACCGCCGCGACGGUUGUUAUCCCGAUAACCGCCGCUCCCCAGGAGCAACCACCACAAAGGGUCCAUUCCGCCGCCUCGGCCACCGCGUCCACCUCUGCCCCGGCCACCGAAAAAGUAGGACAGCAGCAAAAGAAUGAACAGGAAUUGGACCAGUUCCGCAAUGAAUGAGGAAUCGUCUUCUUUGUAUUGGUCAGCAUCGACAGGAUAGCCGGAAAAGAUGACAGCAUCGUCGAAUUGGUAUUCUUCAUUGACGACGACAGCAGCCUCGGUGAAUAUUUGCUUGAGCCCGCCGUCGAAAUCAUUGGCCGAAAGAUAAUCCAGAUGAUUGUCCAGAAUCCGUCCGGUCCUGCUGUCGGUCAGGGCGCCUUCAAGGCCAUAUCCGAUUUCGAAGCGGAUUUCCCUUUCCUCGAGGGCCAACAAAAUCAGCACUCCGUUAUCGGUUUCCUUCUGGCCAAUUUUCCACUUUUCGAACAGGUCGACGGAAUACUCUUCGAUUGUCUCACCCUGCAGCGAAUCGACCACUGCCACAACGAUUUGAGGCUUUUCUUCCGUCAAUUCAUAUUGCUCAUUCACGCUCAUGAUGAAUGUUUUCGUUUCUUCGGAGAGCGUGCCGCUUGGAUCAUAGACAUAAAAAUCGCUUGUCGGUUCAGGCAACGUUUGCGCCUGUACUGAUGGCGCGGAAACCAUCGAAAAGAAAAACGCCACCAAAACCGCAAGCAAUUGCCAUCGUGCCUUUUUCCUCAUUUGAAACAAAGCAUCAUCAGCCCCUCAAUUAUUCAUCGUCUGUAUUCAGGUCCACGCUAGGAGCGGUUUCAGCGCCGCUGACCGCUUCAAAAUAAGAUUUUUCAUCAAAUCCGAAAAGGCCUGCCAUGAGCGAUCCCGGGAACCGUUUGACUUUGUUGUUGUACUGUUGCACCGCUUCGUUGUAGCGGUCCCUUUCGACCGAGAUCCUGUUUUCGGUGCCGGCCAAUUCAUCCAUCAAGGCUGUAACUUGUUCGUUCGAUUUCAGUUCCGGAUAGUUCUCGACAAUCACCAACAGACGCGAAAGUGCGGAUUCCAUCUCGUUGCUGGCCGCCACCUGUUCUUCGGUCGUCUGGGCACUGCCGAUUUUCGCGCGGGCAUCAGCGAUCGCGCCGAAAACUUCCUGUUCCUGUUCCAUCGCACCUUUCACCGAUUCGACCAAGUUAGGGAUGAGAUCGUAACGUCUUUGGAGUUUGCUUUCCACAUUCGCCCACUGCACGUCGACAUUGCUUUCCUCCGUCACCAAUCCAUUAUAGGAACUGAUCAAGGGCACUCCCAGCAGCAACACCGCAAUGAACACCCCGAUUAAUCCUUUCAACCAACUUUUCAUCUUUCCCCAUCUCCUUCUUUAUGCUUUUAUUGUCGCUUGCAUUCCAUUAUCCCUGAACGGAAACAAAAACGCAUCCAUCCAAAGAUGUAUUUCUUACUGAUUCAGUAUGUCUUCCAAUAAUCUCGGAUUGAAUGUCUGCGACUUCAGCAUAUCCAAUUCGAAUUUGUAAGGGGCCUUCUUGUUCUUUUUGUCCUCGCCCACGAACGGUGUCUCCAAUAUUUUCGGCAAAUCCUGCAGCUGCGGAUGGUGCACAAUCUUGUUCAAUGUCCCGAAUCCGAUUGUGCCGAAGCCGAUGUUCGCAUGUCUGUCCUUGUGGGUGCCUCUUUCGUUUUUCGAAUCGUUGACAUGCACCACUUUCAGACGCUCCAACCCGAUGACGCGGUCGAAUUCCUCCAGAACGCCAUCAAAGUCCUCCUUGAUAUUGUAUCCUGCAUCGUUAGUAUGGCAUGUGUCCAGCGUUACGGAAAGCUUGUGAUUGUAGACUACGCCAUCGAUGAUGGCCGCCAACUCUUCGAACGUUCGGCCGAUUUCGGUCCCUUUUCCCGCCAUCGUUUCCAGUGCGAUCUGUGCUGUCUGGCUGGGCUCAAGCACUUCGUUCAAGCCUUUGAUGAUCUGUUUGAUUCCUGUUUCAGCGCCGGCGCCGACAUGCGAGCCAGGGUGCAACGUAAUCUGUUUGGCGCCGAGCGCUUGCGCCCGCACAAUUUCAUCGCGCAAAAAAUCGAUCGCGAAUUCAAAAUGAUCCGGUUUCGUUGUGUUGGCCAGAUUGAUGAUGUAAGGCGCAUGAACGACCAACUCGAGCAAUCCAUGCUUUGCCAUAUAGUCCAUGCCCUCCGGAAUAUUCAUCUCGUCUACGCUUUUUCUGCGGGUAUUCUGCGGAGCCCCUGUAUAGAUCAUGAAAACGGAUGCCCCAUAUGAGGCCGCUUCCUCCGCUGAACCCAACAACAUUUUUUUGCCGCCCAUGGAAACAUGUGAACCUAUCUUUAACAUAUCUUCACCCUUUUAUCGUAUAUUAUCCUAAUAGUCCGUUUCGCCUGCAAUCAAAUGAAGGACGAAAAAACAGCCUUAUGAUACGGUUAUUGUAUCAUAAGGCUUGUUUUUCUUUCUAUCAGAUGCUUUUUUUGGCCCUGAUGUCAGUCCAAUGAAGCAAUUCUUAAGCUCAGUUCUUUCAACUGCGCUGCGCUUACUUCGCUUGGUGCGCUGGUCAUCGGAUCGAAAGCUUUCCCGUUUUUAGGGAAGGCGAUCACUUCGCGGAUGUUCGACUCGCCGGCCAGCAGCAUGACCAGACGAUCCAAGCCUAAAGCGAUUCCGCCGUGCGGUGGAAAACCGUAAUCGAAGGCAUCAAGCAAGAAUCCGAAUUCUUCCUGGGCAUCCUCUUUGCUGAAGCCCAGUGCCGCAAACAUCUGCUCUUGCACUUCUCUUGUGUGGAUACGCAGCGAUCCGCCGCCGAUUUCAUAGCCGUUCAGGACGAUAUCAUAGGCUUGGGCAUAGACUUCUUCCGGAUGAUCGGCCAAUUUGGAAAGAUCCGCAUCAUUCGGACGAGUGAACGGAUGGUGCAUGGCAGUGUAGCGUUUUGCGUCCGCAUCGUACUCAAGCAAUGGCCAAUCCACGACCCAAACGAAGGCAAAUUGGGAUUUGUCGAUCAGGUCCAGAUCGCGGCCGAACUUCAGACGCAAUUCCCCCAGAGCCUGAUAGACGAUCUCUUUUUUGUCGGCAACGAACACCAGCAAGUCGCCUGGUUCUGCAUCCAUCAACCUGAUCAAUUCUUCGCUGUCUUCCGUAAAGAAUUUCGCAACGGCGCCUUUCAGGCCGUCUUCUUCAACUUUCAUCCAAGCCAUGCCCUUAGCGCCGUAUUGCUUGGCGUAUUCGAUCAGGUUAUCCAUGUCUUUGCGCGAAUAAGCAUCGGCUUUGCCUUUGACGUUCAGACCGCGGACUUGGCCGCCCUUUUCGCUCGUCGCUUUGAAUACAUUGAAGGAUGAUGUUUUCGCAAACUCAUUCAAGUCGAUCAGCUCCAGGCCGAAACGGGUAUCCGGCUUGUCGCUGCCGAAACGGUUCAUCGCUUCGUCAUAGGAGAUGCGCGGGAACGGAACCGGAAUGUCUUUGUCCAACACAUCCUUCAUGACUUUCUGCAGCAUGUUUUCGGUGAUUCCCUGAAUUUCCUCAGCGGAAAGGAAGCUGGUUUCGAUGUCCACUUGCGUGAAUUCAGGUUGUCUGUCACCGCGUAAAUCCUCAUCACGGAAGCAGCGCACAAUCUGGUAAUAACGGUCAAAGCCAGCGCCCAUCAGCAUCUGUUUGAACAGUUGCGGGGAUUGCGGCAAUGCGUAGAAUUCGCCUUGGUGGACGCGGGAAGGGACGAUGUAAUCGCGCGCGCCUUCAGGAGUCGACUUCGUCAAAUAUGGCGUUUCGAUGUCCAUGAAAUGCAAGUCAUCCAAAUAGUUGCGGACAGUGCGUGUCGUUUGGUGACGGAUUUUCAUGUUGUUCAUCAUUUUGUCUCUUCUCAGAUCGAUGUAACGGUAUUUCAUUCUCAGUUCAUCGGAUACGUUCACAUCACCUUCAACGUAGAACGGCGGUGUUUUCGCUUUCGCCAAAAUCUCCACGGAUUCCGCUUCGAUUUCGAUUGUGCCCGUGCCGAUGUUUGGAUUGAUUUGAUUUUCUUCCCGAAGGACGACUUUACCUUUUACCUGCAGGACAUAUUCCCCACGGAUUGUUUCCGCGAUACGGAAAGCUUCUUCGCUGAACUCCGUGUUGAAGACGACUUGAACGAUACCUUCACGGUCACGCAGAUGGAUAAAGAUCAAUCCGCCUAAGUCUCUUCUUUUGUUUACCCAGCCGUUGGCGACGACAGUCUGCCCGACAUUUGCUUCCGUAAAUAAUCCGCAAUACUCUGUUCUUCUUUCCAUGUUCACUACCCUUUUCUGUAUGAUCUAGUCUUCUUUUCCGAAAAAUUCAUUGAACGCCGUCAUAUCGGCGGUCUGUGUUUUGUACACUUUAUCAAAAUCCGCGUAAAUUUCAGCCAAAGACAAAGUCUGCUCUUUGCCUGUCGCCAUCACUUUGAAUUGCACUUGCCGAUUCUUCAGUUCCUCUUCCCCGAUGGUCAUGACCACUUUGGCGCCGUUUUUCGUGGCUGUCUUGAACUGAGCCUUCGCUUUGCGGUCGUGGAAAUCACGGUCAGCCGAAUAGCCCGCUUGGCGCGCAUUUUGGACCAAUUUCAUGACUUCGAUGUUCGUUUCUUCGCCCAAACCUACCACAUAUACAUCAAGUUCCGACAAUUUUGGAACAUCGACUUGCUGGUCUUUCAUCAAAAGGAUCAAUCUCUCCAAGCCCAUCCCGAAACCGAAACCGGGCACUUCCGGUCCGCCGAUUUCCUGGACCAAACCGUCAUAGCGUCCGCCGCCGCAGAUGGUCGUUUCCGCUCCGAAGACUGCGGAGGAUGUCAUGAUUUCGAAAAUGGUAUCCUGAUAAUAGUCGAGCCCGCGUACCAUGUUGCUGUUGAUCGUGAAAGGGAUCUCCAAUACCUUCAGCAUUUCCUGGACCGCUUCAAAAUGCUGCUUUGAUUCUUCCGAAAGGAAAUCCAGAAUGCUCGGUGCAUGUGCCACAAUCUCUUUAUCGCGCUUAUCUUUGCUGUCCAAUACGCGCAGUGGGUUUUUGUGCAGACGGGUCUGGGAAUCUUUGCUCAAUUCAUCAUGGAAAGGCUCCAGGUAGGCGAUUAGCGCUUCGCGGUACCUGAUCCGAUCCGCUGUUUUGCCCAACGAAUUGAUGACCAAUUUCAGAUCGCUCAAUUCCAGUUCCUUCAACAGGUCCCAUGCCAAUGCCAUCGUUUCGACAUCCGUCGCCGGGUUGACGCUGCCGAAUACCUCGACUCCCAAUUGGUGGAACUGACGCAUUCUGCCGCCUUGUGGUCUUUCAUAGCGGAACAUCGGGCUGAUGUAGUAUACUUUCAAUGGUUUCGGGUGUUCAGGUCCGAACAGCUUGUUUUCGACAUAGGCACGGACAACCGGAGCCGUACCUUCCGGUUUCAAAGCGAUAUGCCGAUUGCCUUUGUCGUAGAAAUCAUACAUUUCCUUCGAAACGAUGUCGCUCGUAUCGCCGACCCCUCUGGAGAACAACUCGAAACUCUCGAACAUCGGGGUGCGGAUUUCCGAAAAUUGGUAAUCAUGCAACAAGAUGCGGGCUGUCUCCUCCACGUAUUGCCAAAUUUCCGCUUCCUGCAAAAAUAUAUCGGCAGUCCCUUUUGGCUUUUGUAUCAUUUUUUUAUCUCUCCUUUAAGCUUUAUCCUGUCUGUUCUGUCCGAAAAAAAGCAAAAAAAUAGCCCUCUUUCCAUCAUGGAAAAGGACGAUUGAUCAGACGUGGUGCCACCUUUAUUCGAAAGCACAGCUUUCCUUUGGCGAGUAACGUUCGCGGCGUAAUAGCUUUUCACUAUUAAUCCUCCAACCUGUCUUUCAAAUAAUCGUUUUGGGAUUGCUCUCAGCCGCGGCAACCCUCUCUGAUCAAACCGACCUAUUUUACUUCGAUCUUCACUGGACUUUUGUAAUUUCCUUUACGAUACAAGAUAAGCAACGAAUUGUCAAUACCGUUUUCAUCAAAUUCUAACUUUACGGAGCACUUUCCCUGCCGCAGCGCCAUGUCUGGCCGGAAAUGCAUCCGGGCAUAAUUUCUGAAAAGGCUUUGCAUUGGAUGCUGUAUCUUUGCUAUAAUGAAUAGAAGAAUUGAACAGUUUCUGUAAAUUAUUAUGCAUCCAAACCAGAAAGGAGACAGCUAGUGAAGACUCUCGCAAAAAAUAGACACCUGUUCUUCCUGACGAUUGUUUUGCUGUUUGUCGGAUUGGGCUCCUUCGGUACGGUAGCAUUGGCCAACUAUACCAGUGUCGGCAUAACCGCAAGCAUUGUAAAUGUCCGCUCCGGCCCUGGCUUAUCCUACGACAUCAUGACGCAGAUACAGGGUGGCUCAUCAGUCAAUGUUCUGAGCGAAAAGAACGAAUGGUAUAAAGUCCGGCUCUCGGACGGGAGAAUCGGUUGGGUGGCCAGCUGGCUGAUCAGCAACACCGAAAUCGCGGCAACCUCCGACCUGCUUGCGACCGUUCUGGUUCCGUCCGCCAACGUUCGCCAAGAGAAUAAUGAGGCUUCCGAAGUGGUCGGAACAGCCAGUCAAGGCGAAAAAUUCGCCCUGCUGUAUGAAGAAAACGGCUGGAGUCAAAUCCAGUUCAACAAUAAAGUCGCUUGGAUUUUGUCCGAACUGAUCGAAAUUUCCCCUGGCAGCAUCCAGUUGGCGCCCGAAACGGUAGACACCACAGCCACUGGGGCUGGGGCCGACGAGUCCGCUCCGAUGGUCCUCAUCACGAUGGAUGGCGUAAAUGUCCGCAGCGGGCCUUCGACGGGCAGCGAUAUCCUUUUCAUCGCCGAAAAAGGUGAAAAAUAUGAACUGAUCAGCGAAAGCGGGGACUUCUACAAAAUCCGCUAUGAGGGCAACAAAGAAGGUUAUGUCGCUUCAUGGUUGGUGGAAACUACCAAGUCGAUCAAUCAGCCAGUCACCGCCUCCUCUACCACGACGCUUUCCGAAGCGACCAUCGUGAUCGAUCCGGGGCACGGCGGGGAAGACCCGGGUGCUGAAGGUACUUACAUCUACGAGAAGGAAGUGACCCUCAAAACCGCUGAAGCGGUGGCGGAAAAAUUGCGCAGCGCGGGGGCGAAUGUAUUGUUGACCCGCACUUCCGACGUCUAUGUGACGCUCGAAGAUCGGGCAGCCAUGAGCAAUGCCAACAACGCGGAUCUGUUCAUCAGUUUCCAUUAUGACUCCACCGCGUCCGGUGCCUUAGCGACAGGCUUUACGACUUACUAUUACGCGGAUGCGGAUAUUCCGCUGGCGAAUCUGGUCGAUGAUCAUCUGGCCGACACCUUGCCGUUGCAGGACAACGGAUCCAAGUUCGGGGAUUUCUUGGUCACGCGCGAGAACACGCAACCCGCUCUGCUUUUGGAACUCGGCUACAUGAACAAUGAUUCCGAUGUCAAGACCUUCAAUUCCGAUUAUUAUCGCUCGUUGGUUGCCGAAAGCAUCUACCAAGCUUUGACCCAGUAUUUCCAAUAAACCAGCGCACAGCGCUCCAAAAUAACGGAGAAGGCGCCCUGAACCACGAAUGUUCAGGGCGCCUUCUCCGUUAUUUGUUUUUGGAAUCUAUAAGGAUGGUCACGGGGCCAUCGUUGUUCAAACGGACUUCCAUGUGGGCACCGAAUCGGCCGGAUGCGACAGAGAAGCCUUCCGCCCUCAGGAGUUCAUUGAACGCUUGAUAAAGGGUUUCUCCGGCAUCGGGGGCAGCGGCUCCGGUAAAACUCGGGCGGUUGCCCUUUUUCGUAUCUGCGAAUAAAGUAAAUUGCGAUAUCGAAAGGACGGCCCCCUCAACAUCCUUCAAAGAACGGUUCAUUUUUCCGUCCUCAUCUUCAAAAACUCUCAGAUUCGACACUUUGCGGGCAACGUAGGCGACAUCUUCCUGCGAAUCCUCUUUGCCUAUCCCUACGAGGAGCAGAAAACCUUUUCCGAUCUCCCCUAUUGUUUCUCCAGCGACCGAAACGGAAGCUUCGGCCACUUUCUGUACGACAACACGCAUAUUUUCCCUCUCUUCAUUUUGAUUAGGAGGUGACUCUCCUGACGGUGUAGACAUCCGGGAUAUUCUUGAUUUUAUCGACGAUUUUAUCCAAUUGGCUCAAAUUCUGGAUCCCUAUCUUCAACGUGAUCACAGCGAUUUUAUUGCUGUCGACUUUACCGUUCACGCUGCUCAGAUUCUUGGUCAUCGUGUUCACGACAUGCAAUAUUUCGUUCAGAAGGCCGGAGCGGUUGUAGCCUUCGACCGUCAGCUCCGUUUCAUAAUCGAUAUUGGACGUGCCCGUAUCUUCCCAUUCCACUUCGAUCAACCGAUUUUCGUGCUCUCCGGACACUUGGACAUUCGGGCAAUCUUUGCGGUGGACGGAUAUGCCCCGGCCUUUGGUGAUGUAGCCGACGAUUUCGUCCCCGGGUACCGGAUUGCAGCAAUGGCUGAUGCGGAUGAGCAGAUUAUCCACGCCUUGGAUGACCACGCCGCCUUCAUGGCGGAUCUUCAUUUUUGGAUUGUCUUUUUUGGUCUUUUGCUCGAUUGUGUCCAUCUGCUGUUCCGUUUUGUGCUUGUCGCGUUCGCGGCGGGCUUUUUCGGUCAAGCGAUUGGAGACGAUGAACGCAGACAGCUCGCCGAAACCGAUAGCGGCAUAGAGAUCAUCUUCCGAGUUCACAUUGAAGCGGUUCAAAAGAUCUUUGAUCGCCUGUUUGGUCAGGAACUCUUUUGGUGAGAAUUCCAUCUCCGUCAAUUGUUUUUCCAGCAUAUCCCGGCCUUUGAUGACAUGUUCGUCGCGGUCCUGCAGCUUGAAGUAGCGUUUGAUUUUGUUUUUUGCCUUGCUGGUGGAAACCAGGUUGAUCCAGUCCCUGCUUGGUCCGAAUGAGUUCGGGGAAGUCAUCACUUCGAUGAUGUCCCCGUUCUGCAGUUUGUAAUUCAACGGCACGAUUUUGCCGUUCACUUUGGCGCCGAUGGUUUUGUGCCCGAUUUCGGUAUGGAUGUUGUAGGCAAAAUCCAACGGACCCGCGCCGGAUGGCAACUCAACCACAUCGCCUUUCGGAGUGAAGACAUACACUUUGUCCUUGAAGAUGUCCUCUUUUACGCUUUCGACGAAUUCGCUGGCAUUCUUGGAAUCAUCCUGCAGGUCAAUCAGAUCGCGGAACCAAUCGAUUUGGUGGGGCAUCUUUUCGGGAUCGAUUUUUUUCGUGAUGCCUUCUUUGUAAGCCCAGUGCGCAGCAACCCCGUAUUCCGCGACCUGAUGCAUCUCGAUUGUCCGGAUCUGGAUUUCGACGGGUGUACCCUGGGUUCCGAUAACGGUUGUAUGCAGCGACUGGUACAUAUUCGCUUUCGGCAUCGCGAUGUAAUCUUUGAACCGACCGGGCAUCGGCUUCCAUUUUGUAUGGAUGGCCCCUAAAACGGCAUAGCAAUCCUUGAUGGAAUGCACGAUGACUCGGAUCGCCAGCAGGUCAUAGAUUUCCGUGAAUUGUUUCUUUUGGUCCUUCAUUUUCCGGUAGAUGGAGUUGAUAUGCUUCGGCCGGCCGUAGAUGUCGGCUUCGAUUUCCAGUUCAUCGAUCGAUUCCUUGAUUUUGCUGAUCGUAUCUUUGAUGUACAGCUCCCGUUCAUCCCGCUUGCUGUUCAUCAGAUGCACGAUCCGGUAAUAUUGCUGCGGGUUCAGAUACCUCAACGAAGUAUCCUCCAAUUCCCAUUUAAUCCGGUUCAUCCCCAACCGGUGGGCUAACGGUGCAUAAAUUUCCAUAGUCUCAUUGGAGAUGAUCCGCUGUUUCUCGGGUCUGUGGUAUUUCAGCGUGCGCAUGUUGUGCAAUCUGUCGGCCAACUUCACCAUGAUGAUGCGCAGAUCUUUUGCCAUCGCCAUCAACAUCUUGCGGUGAUUUUCGGCCUGUUGCUCCUCAUGGGACUUGUAUUCGAUCUUGCCCAAUUUUGUGACUCCAUCCACCAAGAUGGCCACGGUUUUGGAGAAUUCGCGCUCGAUGUCCGCCAACGUAUAUUCCGUAUCCUCUACGACAUCAUGCAAAAAUCCCGUUGCAAUCGUUUCCGGGUCCAGUUUCAAAUCUGCCAAUAUCGCUGCGACUUGAGUCGGAUGAACAAAAUAUUCCUCACCGGAUUUGCGCAUCUGUCCGCUGUGGGCUGCCCGGGCAAAAUCACACGCUUUUUGGACAAAUGCCACAUGGGUUUCAUUCAUAUACUCCGUGCAGAGCUGCACAACCUCUUCAGGCGAAUAGGUUUUGAUUUUCGGCAUGUUGUCACUCCUGACUCUUAAGUUUAUGUAUGUAUUUGCUGCAAUCCCGUCCGCGAACGGAAAAGCAGUUGAAUAUAUCAAAUUUUGCAAACAAAAUAAGUGCAUAUAUUUCCCUUUAUUAUACUUUAAAUCGGAACGAUGCGCCAUCAACAAUUGUCCCUUGUUUUCAGCCGCAAAGCUUCAAAAAAACCUUGGGGAAUACUCAUAAGAGGGUCCCCAAGGUUCUAUGGCCUAUGCGCUUGUAAUGAACGAAAAAGGAUCCGCCUUCAGCUUAUUUUGCCGCAAGCCAGCCUUCGACGAUUUUCUUGCCGCUGGAAGUGCCCAAACGCGUUGCGCCGGCUGCGAUGAAAGCCAGGGCAUCUUCAUACGUGCGCACGCCGCCGCUUGCUUUUACAUCCAUUACGGGUCCGACUGUCUUGCGCAUCAGCGCGAUAUCUUCCAAUGUUGCGCCCCCCGUUGAAAAACCGGUGGAUGUCUUGACGAAGUCGGCGCCUGCCUUUUGGGCCAAUUGGCAAGCGAGCACUUUUUCUUCAUCGGUCAACAGGCACGUCUCGAUGAUGACUUUCAGGAUUGCCUCGCCUUUAACGGCUUCAACUAAUGAGGCAAUCUCGCGUUCGACUGUUUGAUGAUCUCCAUCCUUCAAAGCCCCGAUGUUGAUGACCAUGUCCACUUCAUCCGCACCGUUCUGGACCGCUUGCUUCGCUUCGAAUGUCUUCACUUCGGCCGUGUUGGCGCCAUGCGGGAAGCCGACAACCGUGCACACCAGGACAUCCGUGCCGGUCAAAAACGCUUCCGCUUUUUUCAACCAGUAUGGCUGUACGCAGACGGAUUUGAAGUCAUAUUCCUUCGCUUCUUCGCAAAGGGCUUUGAUUUCCGACUCCGUGGCAUCUUGUCUUAAUAGAGUGUGAUCGAUGUAUUUGUUCAAUUUUUCAACCAUUUAUAUCCGCUCCUUUUCUUAAUUCCAAUUCAUAGGAUACUGCCGCCAAUGCAUACAAAGGGGCUGUCUCGGCACGCAGGAUUCUCGGUCCCAACGCGCAGCUCUGAUGGCCGGCUGACCUGAACGCAGCCAGUUCCUCCGGUGCCAAGCCGCCUUCAGGCCCGAAAACCAACAACAAAGAAUCGCCUGGUUCAAGCUUUUCCAAUGUGUGCACCAGGAUGCUGCCUUCACCGGCCUUUGCAUCUUCUUCAUAGGCAACCAGCACUUUGCUGUAUGUUGCAGCUUCGGCCAACAAUUCAUUGAGGUUAUGGACGGGGUGCACGACCGGUUCUUUCUGGCGGUGUGAUUGCUCUGCUGCCUCUUUCGCAAUUUUCUGCAGGCGCUGCUGUUUUUUUGCGGCUUUAUCCGCCGUCCACUUGACAACCGCAUUUUUUGCUGCGAAUGGGAUGAAGGCAGCCGCGCCCAACUCUGUGCCCUUCUGCACGAUAUAUUCGAGCUUGUCGCCCUUCGGAAGUCCGCAGGCGAUUGUGACACGGAUCGGCAAUUCCGUUGAGCGGUCCUCAUCGGCCAACCACUUCAGACUGACCGCGGUUGCGGAUAUAUCGGUGAUUUCUGCAACGAACGAAAUUCCGGAGUUGUCGGCUAAAUAGACGCGGUCCCCCUGUUUCAUGCGCAUCACAUGCACCAUGUGGUGAUGGAAAUCAUCCGACAGGUUGAUCGGCUGCUUUUGGUAAUCUUUUGUCAAGGGCGGGAUGAUGUAUCGCUGCAUGCUUCAGUCCUCCACAUUUUUUGUGCAGAUCAGGCAAACCCAAUCUUUCAUCUGCUUUUCCUGCUCGAUCUCGAAUCCAUUAGCAUAGAGAGCCUCGAUCAAUUCAUCCUUCUUCGAAUCGAUGAUGCCCGAGAGGAUGAAAUAGCCGUCAUCCUUGAGGUUUUUGUAGGCAUCCGGGAGCAAAAGCAACAAUAUUUCCGCCAGGAUAUUCGCAACGAUGAUGUCGGCUUCCUCGUCGGCGAUGCCUACCAAUAGGUUGUUCUCUUUGACGAUCACAUCCGCAGCAUAGGCAUUAUAAGCGAUGUUCUCUUUGGAAACGCGCGUUGCGAUUUCAUCGAUAUCAUAGGCAUAGACGGUGUCUGCGCCCAUUGCCUUGGCUGCGAUGCUCAACACGCCCGAUCCGGUUCCGACAUCGAUCACUUUUUCGCCGCCCCGCAUCACGGCUUCAAGCGCUUCGAUGGACAGGCGCGUAGUUGGAUGCGUGCCGGUGCCGAAGGCCAUCCCGGGAUCCAAUUGGAUCAGCAGCUCCUUUUCAUCUUCAGGCGUGUACUCUUCCCAAUAAGGCACAAUCGUAAGGAAACGCGUAAGCCUGAUCGGGUGGAAAUAUUCUUUCCAGGAGUUUUCCCAAUCCUCUUCUUUUACUUGAUUGAUCUGCAGCUCAUUCUUUCCGAUCUUCAGAUCGAGUUUUUCCAACUCAGCCAGCUGUUCUUUGAUGAACAACACGGUGUCCUGGAAACCCACGUUGUUCGGAUAGUAGGCCAUGAUGAAGACGGCAUGGCCUUCUUCAGGCAACGCACGCUCCUCUUUUAUCUGGCCGAAACCGUCAUCCUGCAGAUUGACGAAGUCCAGCUCGUCGUCUAUGGCGACGCCUUUCGCACCGGCCUCCAUCAAUAUAUUCGAUACAGCCUCAACCGCUUCUGUAGCAGUCACAACCUUCACUUCAUUCCAUUCCAUUUGCAAUCACCUUUCCUAUCAUUAAGGAUAACGAUAAUACGUUUCAUCAUAUCUUCCUAUUUCCUUCAGUGUUUCGAUUGUCUGGAUAAAAUUCACUUCAUUCCAAUGCAACUCGAAGCUGGGAUCCCCUUCAUUCUUCAGAAACCCUCUUAACCUGCUGUUCGCCUCGCCUAACGUCAAGCGUAUGCUCUUGAUCACCGCUUCGGCCAAACCGCCUUGGAUCCCUCUUUUCCGAUCGAAUGGAAUACUGGCCAAAUAUUCCUCUGUUUUUAUUUUUGCUGAUCCGCGAUCAUAAAACAAAACAGAAUCCUCAAAAAUGAACCGGUCUUCAUGAUUGGAAUGGCCAUAUACAUCCGAAAUACUAUUGUCUGGAGGAUAACUGACUUCUAAUAAUAACACAAUUUCAACCGUAUGGAAGGGUUUAUGCCACUCUAACCGCCAUUCGCAUGACAAGUUGUGUUCCUCCAAUUUUUCAUGGAUCAUAUCCAGCAUACUUUUAUUCAUAAUCUUCCUCCUCGUCGGGAUGGAUCUCAUCAUCUAUUGUAGCAAAAAAUGAGAAAAAGAUAUAUUCCCGACUGUACAGCCGCAACUCAUUUUCCGAAUAACGGCCCGCGACAUGCACAGAACCAUUUCUUAAAAGAGCAGUUUGUGAUAUAUUUAGGUCAGGCAAAAAGUUGGAGGGAUAUUUCAUGACAGAACAAUCAGAGAUCAGACAAUCCAUCGAUUACCUGGUGACACGCAUCGCCCGUGAUUACCGGAAAACAGAAUUCAAGGACAGCUUGAAAGUCCAGAUCCCUUUCGGCCGGAGGGCUGAGAUUCUGUUGACUGACGAUUACCUCGCACCGGAUGAAAAAAGCAUUUUCGCUGACAACAUCGAUCCGGUGGCCAAAAGCGAGCUUUUCAAAGAAGUCCUGCAAAGUAAAACGGAUAAGGUCUUCAAGAGUUUUUUGCUGGAGAUUUUCGGCAAACAGCCCGUUCUUAAUGAAAAUCUUUCCAUCACGACAAAAAAAUCCGGCAGCAAUCAAUAUAUCAUCAUCAAUUUUGAAGGAGCCUUGCCUUAUUGAGCUUUCCGUUCUUUUAUAGCCGGAAAGUUCUGCGGGAGCCAAGCAAAAAAAUCAGUUGAGUUUAUCCGAAAAGCCUGAUAUGAUGUUGAUUGGAAUAUUUGCUUAUUAAUAUUACUGUUUUAUGCUAUACUGAUUAGGUAACAAGGACAACUAACGAGGUGUGCAAAUAUGGCAGAAAAAAAUCUAACAACCAAAGAUAUUCUGCAAAAAGAAUUCAAGAGCGCUAUGAGAGGCUAUAAUGUUGCAGAAGUCGAUGAAUUCCUGGAUAUGAUCAUAAGAGACUAUGAAUCUUAUCAGAAAGACCUUUCUUAUCUUCAAAGUGAAAAUGAACGUUUGAUGAGCCGUGUUGAUGAGUUGACGAAGCAAGCCGUAUUGGCUAAGCCGACCCAAUCAAACACCGCUUCAGUCGGCAGCGGUGUGACGAAUUUUGAUAUUCUGAAACGCCUUUCCAAUUUGGAGAAACAUGUAUUCGGUUCAAAACUGGAUGAGACCAACGAAGAAGCAAACUAGCAGCAAAAGACAUUUGUAAAUUUCGGGUAAUUGCGGUCUCCUUUAUGGAGGCUGAGGAAAGUCCAUGCUCGCACAAGCUGAGAUGCUUGUAGUGUUCGUGCUUAGCGAAACAAUAAGCUAAGGCAAUCGAUAGAUUGACGGCAGAAAAAAAGGCUAAGGGCUCUACCUAUGCCUGAGUAUUCUUGAAAGUGCCACAGUGACGAAGCAGACGGGGAAACCUUUCUGGUGGAACGCGGUAAACCCCUCGAGCGAGCAACCCAAACUUUGGUAGGGGCACUCUUUCCAAGGAAAUGAACGAGGGAAAGAGGCAGAAAUGCAGAUAGAUAAUUACCUCCGCCAUCAGAGGCCUGGCUCCGAUGGCGCGACAGAACAUGGCUUACAGAAAUUUACAAAUCAGGCUUUUUUCUUCAAAAGAAUACGAUCAAGGAUGGGACAAGCUAAUUUUUGUCCCAUUUUUCGUGCAUUAUCCGGCAAUCUCUAAGGCAAAACAAUAAGGAGUUAUCAAUGAGAACAUAUCAAUUAGUGGCCACGGCCGCAAGCGGCAUCGAAGCCAUCACCGGCAAUGAGCUGAAAAAAAUGGGCUACAACGUCCAAGUAGAGAACGGCAAAGCCUACUUCACCGGCACGGAAACGGACAUCAUCAAGACCAACCUAUGGCUGCGCACUGCCGACCGCAUCAAGAUCGUCUUCGGCAAAUUCGAAGCAAAAACGUUCGAUGACCUGUUCGAGCAAACGAAGGCCUUGCCUUGGGAACAAAUCCUUCCGAUGGAUGCGGAAUUCCCGGUUUCCGGCAAAUCGCAGAAGUCGGCUUUGUACAGUGUCCCCGAUUGCCAAGCAAUCGUCAAAAAAGCCGUCGUCAACCGCCUGAGCGAAUAUUACCACCGCCGUACCCGUUUGCCUGAAUCCGGCGCACUCUAUCCGAUCGAAGUAGCCAUCAAUAAGGAUGAAGUGAUCCUGACGAUCGACACGAGCGGUUCCAGCCUUUUCAAACGCGGUUACCGUUCCGAAAAAGGCGGCGCUCCUUUGAAGGAAAACAUGGCAGCCGCUUUGGUGAUGCUGACCAAUUGGUACCCUGACCGCCCCUUCUAUGAUCCGACUUGCGGUUCCGGCACGAUUCCGAUCGAAGCUGCUUUAAUCGGACUGAACAUCGCGCCAGGGUUGAAACGCUCCUUCCCUUCCGAGGAAUGGAACAUUUUCGAAGAAGGCCAGUGGGAUCGCAUCCGCAGUGAAGCAAAAGCUGCAGCGAACUUCGAUGUGCAACUGGACAUCGGCGGCUCCGAUAUCGAUCCGCACAUGAUAGCCAUCGCAAAGAGCAAUGCCGCAAAAGCAGGCGUUGCGGAUUAUGUCACUUUCAAACAAUUACCUUUGGCUGAGUUCACGACAACCAAGGAAUACGGUACAAUCGUCUGCAACCCGCCUUACGGUGAGCGACUUUCCGAUCAGGAAGAGAUCGAAGUCCUCUACAAAGAGAUGGGCCAAGUUUUCCGUCCGAUGAAGACGUGGAGCAAGUACAUCCUGACUAGCGAAUUGCUUUUCGAAGAAUUCUACGGCGAAAAAGCCACGAAAAAACGCAAACUCUACAACGGAAGAUUGCGCACCGACCUGUUCCAAUAUUGGGGCACGCGCCCGCCGCGAAUAAAAAAAGAGCUUGACGCCGGCGAAACCAAAGAAAAAUAGUCGUUAUUGAAACAAAGCAGUCCGGACGAUCCCGCAUUAGCGGGCGUCCGGACUGCUUUGUUUUUUAACAGGAUACGCUCUUCGCAGCCGGGCUCCGGCUCAUAAUCCGAACUCAAUAUGCGCUUGCUGUUGCAUAGAUGAUUGUCCAAAUGCCGUUUCGCUUAAGGAACUCCAUUUCCAACUGUAGCCUCCAUGUAUUGCGGUAGCCGUUGAUGCGGGCAUCCACUAAAUUUCUCCCUGUGAUUGUAGCGGUAUCAUUACGUCCGGAUACCGUAACAUCUUUUUCGGCCGAUGAAUAAUAUCUCAUUGCUUCCGCAUCGAUUUGAUCUAGCCACUCAUUUUUCGUUUGCGCAUACCCCGUCAUAUGGACAAGUUCGAAUGCAUCGUCCAAAAGUACACUCAAAGCAAGUGUAUUUUUCUCGACCAUAUACUCAUGGUAUUUUCUGUAAACCUGCAAAAUCAUUGCUCCGUCUCCGGUUUCUUUCACAAUUUGCUCCCCUCUCCUGUAUCAAUGAACGCUUGCAUUCCCGGUUUGAUAAUUCAGUCAGUUGUUCUGCCAAACAUUAUUUUUGCAACAUACUAAACUGGCCAAGCGUUUUUUCUUCCGAACGGCCUGUUGCCGGUUCCGGGGCAAGCGAAAGUGAACUGAUUUCCGCCCGCAAUUCAGGCGUCACCUCAAAAUCGGUUGCAGCCAAUGAAGCAUCCAAUUGCGCCAAAUUCCGGGCACCGAUGAUUGGCGCAGUCACUGCCGGAUGGCUUUUUGCCCAUGCCACAGCUAAUGUCGCAGGACUGACACUCAAUUUUUGGGAGAAUGCCGUGAAGCGAUCGGCAAGUUCCAGAUCAUCUUGAUAACGCAAACGAUUCAGUUCGCUGUCGACGAGACGGCCGGAAUCCGGUUGUUUAGCCGUUCCGUAUUUCCCCGUCAGCAAGCCUGCACCAAGCGGGCUGUAAGGGAUGACCCCGAUGUUCUUGGAUUCAGCCAAAGGAAGCAAUUCCACUUCGGAUUGUCGUUUCGCCAAAUUGUACAAAGGCUCCAUAAUUUCAAAGCGACCGAGCAACUCCCUUUCCGAAAUGCCCAGUGCAUCCAUAAUUUGCCACGCGGCCCAAUUGCUGACGCCGGAGUAAAGUAUUUUCCCUUGUUUUUGCAGAUCAUCCAAAGUUCGCAAAGUCAGUUCAAUGUCAGUGCUCGGGUCGAAAUAAUGCAGGAUAUAGAAAUCGAUGUAGUCUGUAUCCAACCGUUUUAGACUGGCAUCAAUGCUUGUUAGUAUAUGUUUCCGGGAAAGACCGCGGUCAUUGAUUCUCGGUGUUUUUGAUGUCGGAAAGAAUACUUUGCUCGUGAUCACAAGAUCCUCCCUUUGUCCCUUCAUCAAUUUCCCUAAAAUUUCUUCGGAUCGGCCGUGCGAAUACAUAUCUGCUGUAUCAAAAAAAUUGAUUCCAGCAUCAAGACAGCGCUCAUACAAUGCUUUUGACGUUUCUUCAUCCGCAUCGCCUCCAAAAAACAUGGCACCAAAACAUAAUUCAGAAACUUUGAUGCCCGUUCUGCCAAUUGAUUUAUAUUUCAUAGUUUGUCAUCCCCUCACAGAUAAAUUAUGCAUCCCAAGGAUCAUUCCGGACGAUUGAUGCCUACACUUUCACGGACAUAAAGAUUCGGAUCGGAAGCAAGGCGUAAGACAAGAUCUGCGAUGCUUUUUCUGGAUACAUCGUGACCGCCGAAAGGCUCGCCCUUGACGGUGAUUUCAUAAUCCGUAUCGUUGCUGCUGUCGAACCAGCCUGGGCGGACGAUUGUAUAGUCCAGACCCGAAGCUUCAAUCACAUCUGCAGCGUCACGGUACGUCUGCAAAACCGGAUUGGAGCGAAGAUUGCCGGAAGAGCCCACUGAAGCCGGGAUUUCGUUAUAGAUACCCAUCGAAGUGAUAAAGAUCAAACGCUUAACUCCAACACGCUGCAUCGAUUCCACAAUCGCCUUGGCCAUUUUCCCUAGGUUUCCUGUCAACGAGGCAAACACGACAUCCUGGCCGGAAAUGGCCUUGUCCAGUUCGCCUGCUUUCAUCACAUCGCCCGAAACGGAGACUUCUCUUGUUGGAUCGAUUGGUUUAAGCCUUUCCGGACGCCGUGAGAAAAGCGUCAACUCAUCAUUUGUUUUUUCAAGGAACAGCUGUCUUGCAACGCGACCGACUGAACCAGUUGCACCAAUAAUCACUACUUUUGUCAUCAAUUCCACCUCAUAUUUCUGAUUGAUAUGAGUAUGGUAUCACUUGGAGUUCACUCUAAGUCAACCUUGAACGGUCAUUUAAAUUUUCACCGGUACGGAAUCCAGCUUUUGAAUGGUUCAAUCAGAGCUGUGAAGGUGUAAUGAAACCAAUCCAUAAUAAGUGCCAUAUAAUUGUUUUUAACAAAGCGCUUGACUUGGAGCCCACUCCAAGAGCUAUAGUCUGAAUAUAAGAUGGAAUGGAGGCAAAAAUGAUGGGCAAAACGUGGUUGAUUACAGGGGUGAGCAGUGGCUUCGGCUAUGAACUGACGAGACAAUUGUUGGAUAAAGGCGACAAGGUGAUCGGAACGGUGCGCAACAACGCCAAAAUUGUCGAUCUGAUUGCAGAAUACCCGACGCUGUUCGAUUGCCGGAUUCUUGAUGUGACCGAUACGCCAGCGAUCCAGCAGGUGGUGAAGGAGGCGUUUGAAAAACACGGAGCAAUCGAUGUCAUCAUCAAUAAUGCGGGCUACGGCCUGUUCGGCGCCGCAGAGGAGUUGAGCGACGAGCAAGUAGAGCUCAUCAUCGCAACCAAUUUGACCGGUUCCAUCCAGAUGAUCCGUUCCGCGCUUCCGUUCCUGCGCAAGCAAGGUCACGGCCGCAUCAUCCAAAUUUCUUCCUACGGCGGACAAGUCGCUUUUCCGGGCAAUUCCAUGUACCAUGCCACGAAAUUCGGGAUCGAAGGCUUCUGCGAAUCCGUGGCCCAGGAAAUGGCCCCGUUCAAUAUCGGCGUGACCAUCGUCGAACCGGGCGGCGCGCGGACUGAAUUCCGCUACGGCAGCGCGCAAGUCGCGGAACUUAUGCCUGAAUACGACGGCAAUCCAGCCCAUAGCUUUCUUGCGAUGCUUGAUGCGUCUAUUGUCCUGGCUCCAGGAAAUCCAGCGGAAAUGGCAAAACGGAUCAUCGAAAGCGCAGAAAUCACACCCGCUCCGCUGCGGAUGGUACUCGGCUCGCAAGCGCUGGCAAGCACAAUCGCCACGCUCGAGAAACGCUUAGCUGAUUUCAGGAUGCAAACGGAGCUGGCGGCCUCAACGGAUUACAAGGAAUAAGCGUGAUUUUUCGUCCGAAGCGAAAAGGCCACAGAACCGUCUCGAAAUUAGACAGUCUAAUUUUGUGCUGCUAUCUUGAUUGUCGGAUUAUUCGUUGUUAUCCGACAACUUUUGCCGUAAUCACGCUCCAGUUGUCAGAUUCUUCAACGAUAUUCGACAAUCUCGAUCCGUUUGCAAAUUCGGCACUCAAAAAGGCCAUUAGGCUGUCUCAAGAGUAGACAGCCUAAUGGCCUUUUUGAGUGCUGAAAUGUGUAUUUCAUAUUUCCGGAAAAGGUCAACCUUGCUCAUUUUUUCUUUUUCACAAGCUGAUAGAGCGCUUGUUUGGCGAGAUUAUCCGCACCUUUGUUUUCCUUUUCCGGAACCCAUUCCAAAUAAAAAUUGGUGAACGCACCCAUAUUCUGCAGGGCUUCUUCCAGAUACAGUCUGUGUUCCGCUUGUUUUGUGUACUUUUUCCGGAUCGAUUCGGCAACAAGUUUGCUGUCCGUGUAACAGAAAAUGAGCUGUUCCUGCUUAUUCUGUGUUUUCAGAUAACGCAAUCCAUACAGCAACGCUUCGAAUUCGGCACUAUGAUUAUCCAUUCUGUCCUCCAGAGGGAUGCCGAUCUGCUCUUGUAUGCCAUCCUCAACAAUCAAAAUUCCGAUGGCUGCAUAGCCUUCUUUUCCGGUGGCUGCCCCAUCCACGAAUAAUUUUAUCACCAGUUCCACAUCCUAAAAAGCAAAGGUGAGAGGAAAUCCUGAAUGGAUCCCCUUCACCUUUGCGGUUUGCUUGUGCUUUUUUAUGGCUCCGCCAAGACCAUCACAUUGGUGGCUUGCGGUCCUCUGACGCCUUCAGCGAUAUCGAACUGAACGCGUUGCCCUUCUUCUAGUCUUUUGAAGCCUUCUCCAGCUAUACCGGUAAAAUGUACGAAAAUGUCGUCUUCCUGCUCUUCGAGUUCAAUAAAGCCAUACCCUUUAUCAUUAUUGAACCACUUUACUUUGCCAAAUUCCAUUGUACAUCCUCCUUCAACACUCAAUUCUUUGGAACUGCUUUCACAAAGACGGGUUACUCUCAUUAUAGAGAGGAAACCCGACAGAGUCAAUUAUUCUGAUGGGUUCAUUCAAAAAAAACCAAAUAACUCGGUCAACCUUUUUUCCAAUCGUUCAAUUUGAUCACGGAUGGCCAAUUCCCCCGGUUCGCCAGUCCCGGCAGUUCCGCUGUAGAUGCGGCAAAGCACAUCCAGCCAUUCCGGAACGGAGGAGAUUGUCCUGUCCUCGAACGGAUACAGCAAGGAAAGUUGCAUGAAGAAGCCAUUUUCCACAGCGCCCGCCAAAGCAGGGUUCUUGUUGGCAAUCUCUUCCUGGAUGUAAGCCAUCCCUUCUUUGUAGGUUUUCGUCUCAAUCAAGGGGACCACCCUUGCCAGAUCCAAUUUUUCUUCGCUCCCGUCCAGUCUGACAGUCAGCGAUGGACGGAGCCCGCGCUCAAGAAAUUGAUGGAUGAUUUCAGUCUUGAGCAUCCGAUGAAGUUUGUUGUUCAGGAGCAACCGUUGCGCUAGUUUGCCGAAUUGGUCGUCCUCCAAUUCCUUCAGUUGUUGUGCGUAUACUUGUUGUUUGUGGAAAGGUUGGGUAUCGAUGUUUUUCUCUGCCCGGAGGAUUUCUGAACUUUUUUUCAGCUUCGUUUCCAACUUCUUGAGUUCCACUUUUUCAACAUCAGCUUCCAAUUGCUCCAAAGCGAAUUGAUGCUCCAUCGACAGCCCGAAAGUUUUUUUUCUGGCAUCGAUCUGUUCCCGGGCCAUGUCAAAGGCUCCGGAUUGAAGCAAACCUUUCAAAUACAGAAAAUCGAUAUCAUCCACUGAAACGGCGGCUGCAAUGUCCGGCCGGAUUUCUUUGAUCAUUUCCAAACUUUUUUCCGCCUGAUCGGUCUCCUGCAGCAGCAUGAGGUACAGCGGGAGGAUAUCGUCUGCUUGCUUGAUGGCUAUGGCUUUGCCGAUCCAUUCUUCCGCAAGCUGCAGAUUCCCCUCUUCGAAUGCAAACAGACCCUUUUUCAAGUAUCCUUCGUAAUUUAGUGGAAAAACAAUUUUUUCUCCCAUUUCAAUCACCCCAAUCUAAGCUGAUUUUCCUGUCAGGUCAUUAUAACAUAAAUGCAUACACUAAAAAAACCGCCCGCACAGUAUCGACUGUGCGGGCGGCCCCAUUGCUGCUGGUGGAUCAGUAGUUGCGGAACCUUUUCUGGCGUUGCGCGACCAGUUCGUCCGGAGUCAGUUGCUUCAGUUCUUUCAGCUUCGCACUUAACUCCCGUUUUAAUUCCUGCAUGACAUCUUCCGACUUGCGGGCCACUUUUCUGCGGCUUUCCAAAAUGAUCUUGUCGAUGACAUCCAAUGCAAACAAAUCAUCGGGCGUCAGCUUCAUUACUUUGGCCGCUUCAUCGGACCGUGAGGCGUCUUUCCAUAAAAUAGAUGCAAAACCUUCCGGGGAAAGGACAGAAUACAUGGUGUUCUCCAACAUCCAUACUUCGUUGCCCAUUGCCAGCGCCAAUGCACCGCCGCUGCCUCCCUCGCCGAUGAAGAUGGCGAUGAAAGGGACGGUCAGUUGACUCAUCACCAGGAGCGAUUCUGCGAUCGCUUCACCGAUGCCUCUGUCCUCGGAAUCGACAUCACAGAAAGCGCCUGAAGUAUUGAUGAAGGUCACGAUCGGGCGAUCGAAUUUUUCUGCCUGUUUCAUCAAGCGGAUUGCCUUGCGGUAUCCUUCCGGAUGCGGGGAUCCGAAAUUGCGAUAGACAUUUUCAGUCAAAUCGUGGCCUUUUUGCGUUCCGAUGACGGUCACCGGCAUGCCGUCCAAGAGUGCGAUCCCGCCGACGAUGGCGGGAUCAUCACCGAAUUUUCUGUCGCCAUGGAAUUCAAUGAACCCUUCACAGAUGGCAUGUAUCAUUUCUGUAGCCGUCAGGCGGGAAAUGCUUCUCGCAGCGGUGAUAAUGUCUUUGACUUCUUUCACUGCACUUCACCCGCCUUUUCUGAAGGAGCAUGCAACAGCAAGAUAUGCCGCAAAGUCCUUCUCAAAUCUUUUCUGGCUACAAUUUUAUCGAUAAAGCCGUUUUCCAGCACCUUUUCCGCCGUCUGGAAACCUUCCGGCAGUUUCGCUUUGAUGGUCUGCUCGAUAACGCGCUUGCCGGCGAAACCGACAGUUGCUCCAGUUUCGGCAAUAAUAAUAUCCCCUUGCAUCGCAAAGCUGGCCGUCACGCCUCCGGUCGUCGGAUCGGUCAGGACGGUGAUGUACAACAAGCCGGCUUUGCUGUGGUUGGAGACUGCUACACUGACUUUCGCCAUCUGCAUCAAGGACAUAAUGCCUUCCUGCAUUCUGGCUCCGCCUGAAGCUGUGAACACGAUGAUCGGAAGCUUUUCGGCAGUCGCCCGUUCAAACGCGCGCGUCAGCUUCUCUCCGACCACUUUCCCCAUGCUUGCCAUGAUAAAGUUCGAAUCCAUCACACACAAAGCAACUUUAUGCUUAUUGAUGAAUGCCGCGCCGGUUACGACCGCCUCAUCAAGUCCCGUUUUCUCCUUCGCAGCCUUCAACUUGUUCUCAUACCCAGGAAAUGCCAAAGGAUUUUCUUCAGGCAUGAGUGCGUUCCAUUCAUCAAAAGUGCCCUCAUCAACGAUAUUGGAAAUGCGCUCGUAGGCCGAAAUCCGGAAAUUAUAGGCACAGUGCGGGCAUACUUUAUCUUUUCCUAAAUCCUUGCUGUAGAUUGUCUUUUGGCAAUUCGGGCAUUUUUCCCAUAAACCCUCAGGAACAAUCGGUUUCUGACUGUCGGCUUUUGAAGCGGGAACUUGAGCUAUCGGAAUGUAAGGACGCUUACGAAAUAAUUUCAUUUCCUCACCUCUAGUGUGACUUCUUGACUAAUUGAUUUAUACACUUUCCUCUUCUUCAGGUGCCCAAGUUUUCAAGAACACGUUCUGAAGAUAUUCCGUAUCGUAAUCUCCGGAAAUGAAAUUAGGAUCCUGCAGAAUAUCUUCCUGGAAGAAUUGAUUCGUGUCGACUCCCUCAAUGACCAGUUCCUGCAACGCACGCCUCAUCUUGGCGAUUGCCUCGCUUCUGUCAUCACCUUUCGUGAUGAUUUUGGCGAUCAUUGAGUCAUAGAAUGGCGGAAUCAUAUAUCCGCCGUACAUGGCGCUUUCUACACGCAGUCCGUUCCCGCCGCUUGGCAAGAACAGGUAGUCGAUUUUCCCGGAUGAAGGGCGGAAGCCCAAAGCCGGAUUUUCAGCGUUGAUGCGGCAUUCGAUCGUGUGGCCGGUGAUGACGACCUCAUCCUGCGUAAAGGAUAAGGGCUCACCGCUGGCGAUGCGCAGUUGUUCCUUGACGAUAUCGAUGCCGGUUGCCAUUUCCGUCACCGGAUGCUCCACUUGGAUACGCGUGUUCAUUUCCAUAAAAUAGAAACGUUGUUCCGUAUCGACGAGGAACUCGAUUGUGCCUGCAUUCGUAUAGCCGACGUGUUUGGCCGCCCGGAUGGCAACUUCCCCCAUCGCUUUGCGUGUCUCUUCAGAAAUGAACGUGGAUGGACUUUCCUCCAGCACUUUCUGAUGAUUGCGCUGCAGCGAGCAGUCCCGCUCGCCCAGAUGGACCACAUUGCCGAAUGAAUCCCCUAAAAUUUGCACUUCGAUAUGGCGGGCCGGUGUGAUGAUUUUUUCAAGAUACAUGCGGUCAUCGCCGAAUGCCGCUUUAGCUUCCGCUUUAGCUUGGCUGAAGGCUGCCUCCAGACCGUUUUCCUGGUAGACUUUCCGCAUCCCUUUCCCGCCACCGCCUGCUGCAGCUUUCAGGAUGACCGGAUAACCGAUUUUCUCUGCUUGCGCCACUGCCUCUUCGUAUGAAGAGAUGUAGCUUUCGCUGCCCGGAGUGACAGGUACGCCUGCAGCUAUCAUCGUUUUGCGGGCAUUUGCUUUGUUGCCCAUCAGGUCGAUGAUCGUGGAAGAAGGUCCGAUGAAGCGGAUGUUCAUUUCUUCGCACAUCGUAGCGAAAGCGCUGUUUUCUGAUAGGAAACCGAAGCCGGGGUGGAUGGCUUGGGCUCCUGUAACGACUGCCGCACUCAAAAUGCUUGUCAUAUUCAAAUAGGAAUCGCUCGCUUUUGCAGGACCGAUACAAAUCGCCUCGGUAGCCAAUUGCGUAUGCAACGCUUCGCGGUCGGCUUCAGAAUAGACCGCUACCGUCUGGAUUCCUAACUCAUGGCAAGCACGAAUGAUCCUGACAGCAAUUUCUCCUCUGUUUGCGAUCAAUACCUUCGUAAACAUAUUAUCUACCAAUGAUGAAUGUCAUUUCAACUUCACAAACUUUUUUGUCUCCGACAAAAGCUUGCCCGUAACCGAUACCCGCAAAUUUUUUCAAUUUGACGAUAUCCACUUGAAGGCGCAAAACAUCGCCAGGGACAACUUUUUGACGGAAUUUAACUUUAUUCAAUCCGCCUAAAUAAGCUGUUUGUCCUUUGAAAUCAGGCAAUGUCAACAACGGAAUCGAACCCGCUUGAGCCAAUGCUUCAACGAUCAAUACGCCCGGCAUUACCGGUUCGCCAGGGAAGUGGCCUUGGAAGAAAGGUUCGUUGAUUGUUACGUUUUUGUAGCAGACGAUGUGUUCGCCUGGUGUCAAUUCUUCAACUUUGUCGAUGAAGAAAAUAGGGUAGCGGUUUGGGAUGAUAUCCAUUACUUCUUGUGCGCUUAAUAAACUCAUUUUAUUAGUCUCCUUUUUUUAGACGAUGCGGAACAACGGUUGAUUGUAUUCAACAAUCUGUUCGUUUUCAACCAAUACUUCAACGAUUUCCCCAUCGAAUUCGCUUUUGAUUUCAUUCAUUAAUUUCAUCGCUUCAACCAGGCAGACAACUUCGCCUUUUGAUACGGUCUGUCCUUUUGAGACAUACGGUUUGGCAUCAGGUGUCGGGGCCAGGUAAACAACCCCAACGAUCGGAGAAGUCACGAUUUUUCCUUCUUUGCGCUCAAUCGUUUCAGCAACAGCUUCUUUGACGGCUUGUAUCGGCGCAGCCGCUGCCGGUGCCGGGAUUGCUGCCGGAGUGUUUUCGGCCGCCUGUUGGUGAGUCUGAACCAGUUUGUUCUUCGACAACAAGAGCUGGAAAUCGCCUGUCUGAUAGUGCAAUUCAGUCAAUGAAGAUUGGUCUAUCAACGAAAUUAGGCUUUUUACAUCUUCAAUAUUCACGUAUUAAGCCUCCCAUUUUUUGAAACAUAGUACGGCAUUAUGGCCGCCGAAGCCCAAAGAAUUGCUCAGAGUAUAAGUCACUUCUUUUUCACGUCCUACAUUCGGAAUGUAAUCCAAAUCGCAGCCUUCAUCAGCCACUUGGAAACCGAUUGUAGGAGGCAGGAAAUUAUCCUGAAUGGCUUUCACACAGGCAACCGCCUCGAUACCGCCGGCAGCGCCCAACAGGUGGCCUGUCAUGCUCUUUGUACUUGAGAUAGCGACGUUGUAAGCUUCUUCACCGAAUGCAUAUUUGAUCGCAGCUGUUUCGCCGGAAUCAUUUGCAGGCGUGCUUGUGCCGUGAGCGUUGAUGUAGUCGACUUGAGCCGGUGUGAUCCCCGCUUCGUUCAUAGCCAGGAUCAUCGCUUUACCCGCGCCGCUGCCGUCAGCUGACGGAGCAGUCAUAUGGUACGCAUCACAAGUGACACCGUAGCCGACUACUUCAGCCAAAAUGGUUGCGCCGCGUUCCAGUGCGUGAUCAAGGUUUUCAAGCAUCAAGAUGCCCGCGCCUUCACCCAUGACAAAGCCGUUUCUUUCUUUAUCGAAAGGAAUGGAUGCACGGUCCGGAUCAGUGCUUGCGGAUAAUGCAGUCAGAGCCGCAAACCCAGCGAUGCCGAUUUCGCAGACUGUCGCUUCCGAUCCGCCGGCAAGCAUCAGGUCAGCAUAACCGUGCUUGAUGCUGCGGAACGCUUCGCCAAUUGAGUUUGUCGCAGAAGCACAAGCCGUUACGAUAUCCAUGCUUGGACCUUUUGCGCCGAAUUUGAUGGCAGUGUUUCCUGCCGCCAUAUUGCCGAUAGCCAUCGGUACGAACAUCGGCGGUACGCGUUUUGGUCCUUUUUCAUGCAUUUUGAUGAUGCCGGAUUCCAUCGUGAUGAAACCGCCGACCCCGGAACCGAUCGUAACGCCGAAACGGUCCGCAUCGAUUUUCUCCAUGUCAAUGCCGCUUUGUUCAACAGCUUGUGCUGAAGCUGCAACUGCAUACUGCGAGAACAGAUCCAUCCGCUUGUAUUCUUUACGGUCCAUAUAUAAGGUCGCAUCGAAGUCUUUCACUUCACCUGCAACCGAAAUGCCUGUUUCGGUUGCAUCAAAAUUGGUGAUGGCGGCGAUGCCGUUUUUACCGUUUUUGAUGCCGUCCCAGUAUUCAGUCACUGUAUUUCCUAGAGGUGUGAUAGCACCCAUACCUGUAAUAACAACGCGAUUCAUAUUUAUCCUCCUGUCUUACAUGUACAUGCCGCCAUUGACACUGAUGGUCUGGCCGGUAAUGUAAGUAUUCUCACUCAAGAAAACAGCGGUGUUUGCCACUUCUUCGGCUUUCCCAAAUCGUUUCAAUGGAAUUUGCGUCAACAUUUGCUCCUGAAUCUUAUCGGACAGUACAUCCGUCAUUUCCGUUUCAAUGAAGCCUGGUGCGAUCGCAUUACAAGUAAUGCCUCUUGCUGCCGCUUCACGGGCGACUGACUUCGUCAAUCCGAUGAUUCCUGCUUUGCUGGCCGCAUAGUUGGCUUGUCCCGUAUUUCCGGUUUCGCCGACCACACUUGAAAUAUUGAUGAUGCUCCCCGCUCUUUGCUUCAGCAUAAGCGGCAAGGCGUGUCGGAUCAUGUUGAAGGUACCCUUCAGAUUCACUUGGUAAGUAGCGUCGAAAUCCUCUUCAUCCAUGCGCAUGAUCAGUUUAUCGCGGGUGAUCCCGGCAUUGUUCACCAACACAUCCACGGAACCGAACAGUUCCUUGGCUUGGCUGAUGAUUUCUUUGGCCGUUUCAAACUCGCUGACAUCACCCAAGAGUGUUUUCACGGUGACACCAUAGGAUUCCAGAUGUGCUAUCUUUUCUUCAGGAAUCGGUUUGCGCGCAUUCAGAACGAUGUUGGCUCCUCGUUUCGCAUAGGCUUCAGCGAUGGCUUCCCCGAUUCCUCUUGAACUGCCAGUGACGAUGACUGUCUUUCCUUUUAAAUCCAAGGCUAUCCCUCUUUUCUUGUCUGAAUAUCUUAUUUUUGCAAUGCUUCAAGGGUCUUAUUGAGGGAUUUUGCAUCCUCUACGUUAUAUACGGCGACCUCUUUGUUGAUUUUUUUGAUGAACUUGCUCAAAGUCGUUCCAGGGCCGACUUCAACGAAAGUGUCCACACCCAAAUCGAUCAGUUUGCGGACGCUGUCUUCCCACAAUACCGGUGAUUCGAUCUGACGGACCAAAAGGCCUUUGAUGGCAUCUUUUGCCACGAUAUCAGCUUCCGUAUUGCCAAUGACAGGGAUCUUAGGCUCCUCGACAGUCACUUCGGACAAAGCCGCUUCCAGCCUCCCCGCUGCAGGGUGCAACAGUGCGGUAUGGAAUGGGCCGCUGACAUUCAGAGGAAUGAUGCGUUUCACGCCUUUGGAUUCAAGAAUCUCGAUUGCCUUGUCGACGCCUUCGAUUUCCCCGCCGAUGACGAUCUGCGUCGGCAUGUUGUAGUUGGCAGGCGCGACAUAAGCCGUCUCGCUUGCUUCCCGGCAGGAUUCUUCGAUAACGGAGCGUUCAGCGUUCAUGACCGCCGCCAUCUUGCCGCGGCCUGCAGGAACUGCUUCACUCAUGUAUUUUCCGCGUUUCGCUACGAGCGAAAUAGCCUCAUUAAAAGAAAAAGCAUUGGCUUUCACCAGUGCUGUAUAUUCCCCGAGGCUCAAUCCUGCAACAAAAUCUGGCUGAAUUCCCUUUUCAGCUAGUAAUUGAUCAAGGGCGUAGCUAACCGUUAAGAUUGCUGGUUGUGUGUAUUCAGUUAAAUGAAGCUUUCCGUUCUCCACGAAGCAAAGGUCUGCGACGUCGUAACCCAGAACAGCGGAUGCUUCAUCAAAAACAGUGCGCACAACUUCAAAUUCGUUAUAAAGUUCUUGGCCCAUACCGAAAUAUUGCGCCCCUUGACCACUAUAAACAAAAGCUGUUGCCAUUAUUUCACCUCUAUAUUUUUGUUAAUCCGCCCACAAUUUGGCUUGGGCCAGGAUAACUUCUUUGCAUUCCGUCAUAUACUCUUGUAUGAUAUCAUGACACGUUUGUUCCUUCGAAAUCAGGCCGGCAAUCUGUCCGGCCAUCAUCGAACCGUAGUCUUUAUCACCAUCAACAGUCGCUCUUCUCAGAGCGCCUUUGCCCAUUUCUUCAAGUUUUGCCAAGUCCGGAUUUUCCUUGCUUGUCUCUUCUUUUUCGACUUGCAGAUAUUCUCUGGUCAGUUUAUUGCGCAACACACGAACAGGAUGUCCGGUAAUCUGACCGGUAAUGACUGUAUCGAUGUCUUUCGCCUUUAGAAUGGCAUUCUUGAAAUUUUGAUGGGCAUUGGAUUCUUUGGCAACUACAAACCGUGUACCCACUUGAACAGCGGAAGCGCCCAGCAUAAAUGCUGCGGCCAUUCCACGCCCAUCGCCGAUACCGCCGGCAGCGAUGACUGGAAUGGAGACGGCGUCGACUACCUGGGGAACCAGGGCAAGGGUUGUUGUCUUUCCGAUGUGACCACCGGAUUCCAUACCUUCAACAACGACUGCGUGUGCACCGUCUUUCUCCAUCCUUCUCGCUAAAGCUACGGAAGCUACAACCGGAAUGACUGUGAUACCUGCUUCUUUGAAUUGGUUCAUAUAACGGGCUGGACUUCCGGCGCCAGUUGUGACAACCUUAACGCCGGCAGCGAUUACUGCUUCAACAAUCGCAUCGACAUGUGGAUUCAAAAGCAUGAUGUUUACACCAAAAGGCUUAUCAGUCAAUGCUUUCAUUUUCGAAAUUUUUUCAUUCGCUACAUCCACGCUAUCGUGGCCAGUCCCGAUCAGACCCAAACCACCAGCAUUGGAAACGGCACUUGCCAAAUCAGCAUCCGCCACCCACGCCAUUGCCCCUUGAAUGAUGGGAUAUUGAAUACCUAAUAAUUCACAUAAUUCUGAUUUCAUACAAGGCCUACUUUCCUUCUACUUCUUAUUCUGCUAAUUGAGCAUCAACGUAUUUGACCAAGUCUUCAACAGUGUUGAUGCCUUCGUCUGAUUCGAUUUUGAUAUCGAAUUCGUCUUCGAUGUCGUUGAUGAUUUGGAAUAAGUCUAAGCUAUCAGCAUCCAGGUCUUCUCUGAAGUUUGUUGCUAAUUGUACUUCUUCUACUUCUUUGUCCAAUUGGUCCACGAUAAUAGCUUGAAUUUUUUCGAAUGUCAUAAUAAAUUCCUCCAAAUAUGUUUUUUUAGUUUAAUGAUACUACGAUGGCUCCCCAAGUGAGGCCGCCACCAAAUCCUGUCAUCAGCACCUUCUCUUUGGUGCCGAGUUGAAUUUCUUUGGUUUGCACAAGCUGAUCCAACAGAAUCGGAAUGCUUGCUGCUGAUGUGUUGCCCGUUUCUGCGAUGUUUGUGGCAAACAAUGAAAAUGGCAUUUUCAAUUUUUUGCUGAUUGCCUCCAACAAGCGAACGUUUGCUUGAUGGGCCAGGAUCUUCUUCAGAUCUCCUUCAGAAAGAUUUCCUUUCUCCAUCACUUCGCGUAUGACGCUCGGCACACUCCGGAUUGCAAAGUCAAAAAUGGCUCUGCCGUCCAUCGUAAGGAAAGCUUGUUCCUCUUGCGCGGUGCUUCCAUACGGAUUUUUUACUUUCAUCGUGUUCGCCACUAAUGCCAUAUGGCGUCCACCAUCGGAAUGGAUCGCUUCUGAAACAAAGCAAUCGUCUUCCGUUCGUUCCAACAACACGCCGCCUGCGCCAUCCCCGAACAGGACUGCCGUAGAACGGUCUUCCCAGUUGACGGCUUUUGACAUUGUCUCGGCACCGAUGAUCAUACCAUAUUGAUAUAGACCGCUCUGCAUCAUAUGUAGACCGGUGGACAAUGCGUAGACAAAACCGGAGCAAGCUGCAUUGACAUCGAAACAGAAAGCAUUUACUGCGCCUAUCUGUUCUUGCACAAGGCAAGCUGUCGACGGGCUGAGAGCAUCCGGAGUCAUUGUGGCUACAAUGAUGAAAUCCAGCUGUUCGGCAGUGAUUUUACCGUUUUGCAAAAUCCGGCGGGCUGCUUCGCUGGCAAGAUCGGAAGUGUUCUCAUCCUUCGAAAUGUGCCGGCUGCGUAUGCCUGUCCUUUUGCUGAUCCACUCAUCACUCGUGUCCAUGAUUUUAGACAGAUCAUCAUUUGUGAUGACCUGUUCAGGAAGGUAAUGACCUGUUGCGCUAAUCUUUGAACCCAAUUCCAUCAACCCUGUUCCUUGAUAUUUUGAACUAAACCAAAUAAGAAACCGUGAAGAUUGUUUAGGCCUUUCAGCAAAACUUUCACUUCCUGAUCUUCCAUAUCGCGAAUGGUGUUCUUUACCAUUUCCCGAUGGAACUUAUCAUGAAGACGAUACAGUAAGCGUCCUUUUUUGGUUAAUCCUAGUUUUACGACUCUGCGGUCUUUCUCCAUCCGAAUGCGUUCGACAUACCCUUUCUUUACCAGAGCGUUAAUGGCCACCGUCAAAGUUCCCGCAGUUAUGUUCAAUUUCUUUGCUACUUCAGAAGUUGUAUGUUCUUGAUACAUACCGAUUGCUUCCACAGUAUGCAUUUCUUUGAUGGAUAAAUCCGAAAAUGAACUGACACGCAAUGCAUCCUCUUCGAUAUCCAGCACUUCAUUGAAGACAGCUACGAGAUAUGAGUUAAUUGUAUCUAUGGAAUGAUCCAAAGAUAACUCUCCUCCUUUCGAUGCCCGCUCAAACCACAUUAGUCUGAAGGUCAAAAUAGUUUGAUGUUCAAACCUUUCGACUUUCAAACUAUAUAAAAUUUUAUACACCCUGUCAAGCAUUUCGAUAAUAAUUAUUCUUCAGCUCCAAACGAUAUUGCAAAUUCCAUUCAUUUGUUUCCAUCCGCUUGCGCGCGGGCAUUUCCGUGCAGGUUCAAGGCCUAUUGCCCGGACUACGCCGCCAAAGAAAAGAAGCGACGAAAAACGCCGCUUCUUCAGUAUCUUUAUUAAUCGACCUUAACAAAUUCUUCGAUAUCUUUGAAAUUCACGAUCGUUUUAUCUUCGCAGAUAUCUUUCAUGGCACCUGAUGACAAAUCCCAAUAAAUUUCCACGACAGCGCUGUUUGUCAGUAAUUUCCUGAUUACCCCCACCAUCUCCUGUUUACGGAACGUGAAUUUGAUUUCAUCACCGAUUUCAGGCCGUAUAGAUUCCUUGAUGGCAUCGACGACCUCCAAAGCCUGAUCAUACGACACGCCAAGCAGAUUCGCAAUACGUGAGUUGCUCGUACCUUUACGUAAUUCGCUCUCAAUCAUGGUCUUCGUUUCUUUAGUAAUAUCCCUUACCAUUUCCAUUAUCGCCUCACUUUUAAGAACCAGGAACUACAACAGACUUACAAACAGUAGUAUACCAUACUUCUUACGAUUUGGCUCGAAAACACACUUAUUGUAAGCAAUAUCGCCACAUAUCUUUCAGAUUUCCGCUUUCAGCGUGCAAUUUCAUUUCAAAAUAGUGUUUAAUAAUUUGCCUGCGAUAAGGUAUAAUGAUGAUGUGAAGUGUUUAGCAUUCUGUUUAGGAGGGGUUUAAGAUGUUGAAUGACCUUAUUACGAUACUGAAGCAUGAAUACACGGUGCAUCCUGGUGAAUACUUCAACGUGGAUACAUACUGGGUAAAAAAUAUGUCUGAAGUGAAGACUGUGAUCAUCGAUCAGGAUCACGUAUUUACAAAAAUGGUAAGCUUCUAUCCCAAAAAUUUUGUGAUCUACUUGGAGCAGUUCCCCGAUCAGAGCAUUUACCGCACGAAUUUCCCAUUGCGGAAGAUCGAAAACAGCGACUCCCAUGAAGUUGUUUUUGACGAAGCGACCAAAGAUGUCUAUGAAUAUCUCGAUUGAUCACUAGGCUCGCAAGAAUCGGAUUCAGCAAGCAAAAAAGCUCACCGCAGUGAGCUUUUUCUUUUUUCUUCUAUAAUAUACGUCUCAAGAGAGAUUCGAACUCCCGACCGUUCGCUUAGAAGGCGAAUGCUCUAUCCUGCUGAGCUAUUGAGACAGAUUGGUAUUGGACAGGAAAGGUUGCAAACCGUUUUGACCUCGUCACAAGUAAUGAUUAUACAGUAAACCGAUUAAAUUGUCACCAUGAUUUUGAUUGUUUUCCCAAAAAUAUUUCAAUGACACAACAAACGGAUAUUCAUGCCGCUCCUCACGGGCGACAUUUGAUCCGGAAGAAAGUGUCGUGACAAAAAAAACGUCGCAUUCGUUUUGACACGAAUGCAACAGAGUCUCUGCCCUGGACUUGCCGUCCUGAAAACAGAUAUGACGUCUCAAGAGAGAUUCGAACUCCCGACCGUUCGCUUAGAAGGCGAAUGCUCUAUCCGGCUGAGCUAUUGAGACAAGGUUUUAAGCCAUUCGAACAACUCACAACAUUGAAUAGUAUAGGCGAUAACACGUCCAAAGUCAACACUUUCCUGGAAAUGUUUUGGCUAUUCCUUUUGCUUCUUUUGUUUUUGGGGGACGUUUUUUUACAAGCAAGCAAAUUUGUCGGCCGGGCUGGAUGAUUACCCGGCCAGCAAAUUCCGAUCCGUCAGGAGAAGAACGUAUCCUUCACCGCGGCCGUGACGGCCAAUUUGACGUGUUCAAAGGUCAGUCCGCCCUGGACGUAGAGCAGAUAGGGCGGACGGAUCGGACCAUCUGCAGUCAACUCCAGGCUGGCGCCUUGAAUGAAGGUUCCCGCGGCCAUGAUCACAUCAUCUUCGUAUCCGGGCAUGUAAGCCGGAAUCGGUUUGACGGUUGCAUUCACGGGAGAAUAUUUUUGGAUCGUCUGCGCGAAAGCGAUCAUGGCUUCCUUGCUCGGCAGAGCGACCAUUUGAAUCAGAUCCGUGCGCGGGCUGUUCCAGGCAGGCGUUGACGAUACGCCGCAUUCUUCCAACAAGCCUGCCGUAAAGACUGCGCCUUUCACUGCUUCUCCCACGACAUGCGGCGCCAAAAACAACCCUUGGUACAUUUCCAGCAGACUAUAGAGCGAAGCCCCAGCCUCGCGUCCGAUACCGGGUGUCGUCAGGCGGUAUGCGCACCUUUCGAUCAGGUCCUCACGGCCGGCGAGAUAACCGCCCAUCUUCACGAUGCCGCCCCCAGGAUUUUUGAUGAGCGACCCGGCGAUCAGGUCGGCUCCGACUUCAAUCGGUUCCAUCGUUUCGACAAAUUCGCCGUAACAAUUAUCGACAAAAAAGAUCGUUUCCGGCGCCACAUGCGGCCUGAUUGCCGCUAUCAUCGUUUUGAUCUCUGCGACCGUAAAAGAAGGCCUCGCCGCAUAGCCACGGGAGCGUUGUAUUGCGAUCAUUUUCGUUUUCGGGCUGACUUUUUCCAGUACAGCUGGGAUAUCCACUUCGCCGUCCGCACACAAGUCGACAUGCUGGUAUGCGAUAUUGUAUUCUUUCAGAGAGCCUAUCCCGUUACCGGUCAGACCGACAAUAUCCAGCAGGGUGUCGUAUGGCGUUCCGGUCACGUACAUCAAUUCAUCCCCGGGACGCAGAACUCCGAAAAGCGCCGUUGAUAUAGCAUGUGUCCCGGAAAUGAUUUGCGGCCGUACCAAAGCGGCUUCAGCCUGAAAAAUCUCCGCGUAAACCCUUUCCAGCGUGUCGCGGCCAUCGUCAUCGUACCCGUAACCCGUGCUCGGGUUGAAAUGGAAAUCGCUGACGCGGUGUUUGCGGAACGCCUCCAACACUUUACCUUGAUUGAAUAAUGCCUUUUCCUGUAUCGUCUUGAAAAUGGGCUGGAUUUUGUCAUCCACUUUUGCGACCAUACCCUCCAGCAUUUCCUCUUUAUUCAUCACUUGCAUCCGUUUUUUUGUCUCCUAACCACUUUGAAUUGCUUUUGGCAUACCCUCUCAAGCGGUAUGCAUUGGUUUCCUCUAUGUACUCGAUGGAUUCCACAAAGGUUUCUUGCUGCAUUUUAUUCAUCGUGCGGGCUUCAGGUCCGCUCGCAUCGAUAUCUUUCGUGUAUGGAACCAGCAUUUUUGCGAUUUCAUCCCAAAGGAAGUCCUUCAACCGAUUGAUAUCCGCAUCGUCCAGUGCUGAAAUGACGAUAUUCGGAAAAAGUCUGGGCUGAAAAUCCGGCCCGGCGAGAUCCCGUUUGUUGUAGAUUGUCAACAGCGGUGUUUUGUCCAUAUCCAGAUCCUUCAACAGCUCCAAGACGGUCUUUUCGUGCUGAUCGAUAAAGGAUGUCGAAGCAUCCACCACAUGCAGGAACACGUCCAUAUUGCGGCUUUCCUCCAAUGUGGAAUGGAAUGCAUGGAUCAACUGUGUCGGAAGGUCCUGGAUGAACCCUACGGUAUCGGUGAUGGUGGCUUGGAAUUGAUUCGGAAAAGUCAUUUUUCUUGUCAACGGAUCCAAAGUCGCAAAUAAUUUGUCCUCUUCCAACGUUCCCGCAUCGGUCAGGCGGUUGAUGAUCGUCGAUUUCCCGGCGUUCGUGUAACCGAUCAAGCCGAUCUGGAAAACCUCACUGGCGUGCCGUUUUUCCCUGGCUCUUUGUCUGUGCAACUCUGUCUCUUCCAAAGUUUUCUUGAUUUCCUGCAUCUGACUGUGGAUAUGCCGGCGGUCGGAUUCAAGCUUCGUUUCUCCCGGCCCCCGCGUGCCGAUUCCCCCGCCCAAACGGGAUAAAUUGACACCCUGUCCCAUCAGUCUGGGCAACAGAUAACUCAAUUGGGCCAAGGCCACCUGAAGCUUCCCUUCUUUGCUGCGGGCGCGCAUCGCAAAGAUAUCCAAUAUCAGCUGAACCCGGUCGAUCACUUUACAGUCGACAGACUCUUGGAUGUUGCGGACUUGUUUUGACGAAAGCUCCUGCUGAAAAAUGACGGUAUCCGCAUCAAGUUCCGCGCACAAAUUCACCAAUUCCUCCAACUUUCCUUUGCCGAUGACGGUUCGUGAAUCUUUCCGCUCCCUUUUUUGGGUCAAGACGCCGACCACUUCCCCCAACGCGGUUUCGGUCAAUUCAGCCAGUUCCCUCAAUUCAUAUUCAAAGGCUUCGUCCGUCUGAUCCGUCUGAACGUUUACCAGAAUCACUUUUUCUCUCGUAUUUUCCAUAGAAUUUCCAACUUUCUUUUUUCGUCCUUUUGCCGAUCAUCACUUCAGGAACGACUCGACCAACGCUGCGAUUUGCCGCAUUCGGGAAUCAUCCUGAACCAAAUCAAACCAAUGGAUGCCGCUCAUUCUGUUCCGGAACCAGGUAAGUUGCCGCUUGGCAUAUCGCCUUGAGUUCAGCUUCAGCAAUUCUUUGGCCUCUUCCAAGGUGAUUUCCCCAUUGAAGUAGCCGAACCAUUCCUUGUAUCCUAUGCCUCUUGUGGCCUGUGUCUUGUCAGGCAAAUGCAGGUCAAAAAGGGCUUUGGCCUCUUCGAUCAGCCCGCCUGCCACCAUCAGAUCCACCCGUCGGUUGAUGCGCUCGUAGAGGACGCUUCGAUCGGUGUCAAGUCCGAUCAGAAGUGCAUCGUAAUGCGGAGCAGCCUCCCGGUCAUUCUGAUCAGAAAACAAUUUCCCGCUGAAGUGGAUCAUUUCCAGAGCGCGGAUGACCCUUCGGCUGUUGUUCGGAUGGAUCUGUUCGGCGGCUCGGGGGUCCUUCUCGUUCAGGAGGUUCCAAAGAUGCAUGGCAUCAGUCCGUGCCAAUUCAGCCUCCAGUUCCCGGCGGUAUUGUUUGUCUUCAUUUGCGACUCCCCCGAACUGCAUAUCAAACAACAGUCCUUCGAUAUACAGCCCCGAACCUCCGACCACAAUCGGCAGUUUGUCGUUUGCAACAAUCGCGUCGAUCGCUUGUCCGGCAUCCCUUUUAAAAUCGGAGGCUGUAUAGUCCUGAUCGACCGGUACGAUAUCCAACAAGUGAUGCGGGAUCCCUUCCGCCUCUUCCGCGGUCACUUUCGCCGUUCCGAUAUCAAGCCCUUCAUACACUUGCAUGGAAUCCCCGUUGAUGAUUUCGCCAUUGAAUUGUUUCGCCAAUCGGAUGCUCAGUGCCGUUUUCCCGACUGCUGUCGGACCGAUAAUGACCACGAUUUUUUUUAACUUGCUCUUUGUUGUUUCAGACACCUUGGAUCACCUUUCUCAUUUGCAAUGCACGUUCCGGAUAAUCCGUGAUCAUCGAAUCGAUCUUUCUGCGCAGACAGACUUGCAUUUCGACCUUCCGAUUCACCGUCCAAACACGGAGGGGCAUCUUUGAUUGUUCAAAAGGAGGCAGGCUGCGCAAAAUCGAGAAUUUCGGGUGCCACCCCUCAACAGGGAUCCCGGCACCCAAGUCAAUUUGCUGUUUCCCCUUUUUGCUGAACAACAAAGCAAUCUCCGAGUCCCCGCGCAACGCCUUGAUUUUUUUCAGGGUAUCGUAAUGGAAACUGGAAUAGAUGACCGAAAAUCGAGCAAGGAAAGGUUCAGUCAAAACCAGGACCUUUUCUUCGAUCGCAGGAUAUUGGAAUACAUCCGUCUUCAAUUCAAUAUUCAGCACUCCGGUAAAGUGAUUCUCAGCCAGGAGAUCCAGCACCUCUUGCAGCGUCGGGAUGCGGGCCUGAUUGUAUUUCGGGUCGAACCAACUGCCUGCAUCCAAUUCUUUCAAUUGUUGCAGGGUCAAAUCUUUGACGAAGCCUUUUCCGGAUGUCGUACGGUCAACAGUCUCAUCAUGGAUGACCACGACCUCACCAUCUUUGCUCAGAUGGACAUCCAAUUCGAUGCCAUCGCUCGCUACAUCCAAAGCUUCCUGAAACGCCUCAAGUGUAUUCUCAGGCCGGUUGCCGCGGCUGCCUCUAUGAGCGAUGAUUUUUGUGUAUGCCAAUCUCCCACAAUCCUUUCAAAUGAACCUUAACCCGCCUUUUUCUCAUCUAUGCUUUAUUUUUUUCAGUGUCGGCCAAAUCCAACAAUUCCUUUGCAUGAGCCAGCGAAAGCUCCGUGAUGUCGGUACCCGCCAACAUCCGCGCAACUUCGUUGAUGCGUUCCUCGCCGAAUAGCGGUUUGACAUGCGUCUUUGUCCUGUCCGCGAUGAUUUCCUUUUCGAUAUACAGGUGCUGAUCCGCCAUUGCCGCCACUUGCGGAAGAUGCGUAAUGCAGAGGACCUGCGAGUAGCUGGCCACCAAAUGGAUCUUGUUGGCUAUCGCUUGUGCCACCCUGCCCGACACGCCUGUAUCGACCUCAUCAAAGAUGAUGCUGGUGAUGCCUUGCGUCUUGGUGAAGAUGGCCUUCAUCGCCAACAUCAUCCGCGAGAGUUCCCCUCCGCUGGCUACCUUUGCCAAUGCUUUCAGAGGUUCACCGACAUUCGUGGCGAUGUAGAAUUCAACUUGAUCCAACCCGUUUUCCGUUAUUGCGGUCUUUCCCUGCUGCUCAUGGAAGACCGUCUUGAAAAGCACUUUAUCCAUAUACAGUUCCUUCAGCUGCAAUUGAAUCUGUUUUUCCAAAGCAGCAGCGGAUUUUCCGCGGAUGACGGUCAGCUGUUUGCCGAUCCUCAAUACCUCUUCUUUUGCCUUGCUGUACCCCAGAUUCAACCGUUCGAGGUAGCUUUCUCGGUUUUCGAUCAGGUCCAGUUCUUUGGCGAUUUUCUCAUAGUGUACGAGCACCUCAGGGAUUGUGUUCCCGUAUUUGCGCUUCAACUGCCGGAGCAAUUCCAACCUGUUCUCGAUUUCAUUCAGCCGGCCCUCAUCAUAGGACAGUUGUUCGAUUUCCGAAAGGAUGUCACCGGCGCAUUCCUGCAAUUGAUAGUACGCUGCCGAUACGGAGGCGGCUAUCGUUUGAUAGGCGGGAUUGAUGUCCUGCACUUUUUCCAGCGCAGCCAUCCCGAGGCCGAUUUUGUCGAUGCCAUUCUCUUCGCUGUUCUGCAGAGAAUCAUACGCGCUUGUCAAAGCAUGCAUGACUUUCUGAUAGUUGACGAGGAGAUUUCUUUCUUCUUCCAACUUUUCGUCUUCAGCGGGAUCCUUCAGCUGCGCUUGUUCGAUUUCCUGGAUUUGGAACGUCAGCAGGUCGAUUCUUUGGACCGUUUCUUUCUCAUCUGUCCUGAGUUGGAUCAGCUGCUUGCGUUUAUCCGCAUAAUCGGCAAACGCAACAUGGUAUUUCGUUUUGACUUCUUUCAGUUCUUUUCCGGCAAAUUGAUCCAGCAAGUCGAUAUGCUUUUGCGGAUCCAUCAAUUCCUGGUGUUCAUUUUGCCCAUGGAUAUCGAUCAACGUUUCGCCCACCUCGCGCAAGGUCGCAACCGUUACGAUGGUUCCGUUGACGCGGGAAAUGUUUUUGCCGUUACGGGAGAGCUCCCGUUGCAGCAGAACCUGGUUCCCAUCGGCUUCGAUUCCGUACGCUUCCAGAACGGCCAUUGUCUUGGCGUUUUCCGGGAUACCGAAAAGCCCUUGGAUGACAGUUUUAUUUUCGCCGUAUCGGAUCAGGUCAUUGGAUCCUCUGCCGCCGGCCAGCAAACCGACCGCGUCGAUGAUGAUGGAUUUGCCGGCACCCGUUUCCCCGGUAAGGACGGUCAUGCCUUCUUCGAAACUCACUUGAAGAUUUUCAAUUAUUGCAAAAUUUUUAAUGGACAACUCUUGUAACAUUCGGCAUUCCCCUUCGCAACGCUUCCUUUAAAUAUUUGUCAUUUAUCGGAAAUUGAGAUUGCUUUACUUUUCAGCUGCUGAUAAGCCUCCUGGACCACUUUCGGGCUGUCGAUUUCAGGAGAAAUGAUGCCCGGCGCAUGGCCGUUGGCUUGUAAGUGGACCAAAAAUUCGAUGUUUCCGGUUCCUCCGGUGAUGGGGGAAAAGCUCAGAUUGUUCACAUCGAAGCCGGUCAAGGAUGCAAACUCCAGAAUAUCCUUCAACACUUCGUUAUGGACAGCCGGAUCGCUGACGAUCCCUUUUUUGCCGAUUUUGCCUCUUCCGGCUUCAAAUUGCGGUUUGAUCAGCGCCACGACGUCACCGCCGGUUGCAAUGAUGUCCUUCAGCACUGGCAAAAUCAGUUUCAAGGAAAUGAAGGAUACAUCGAUGGAAGCCAUUUCCGGCCUGCCUUUUUCGAAAUCCUCCAGUUUGCUGUAUCGGAAAUUCACCCGUUCCAUCACCUCGACCCGUUCGUCUUGGCGUAAUUUCCAAUCCAGUUGAUUGUAGCCGACAUCCAAGGCGUAACAUAAUUUCGCCCCAUUUUGCAGUGCGACAUCCGUAAAGCCGCCGGUCGAGCUGCCGAUGUCCAAAAAGAUUUUGUCUUUUGGAUCCAACUCGAACAAAGCGAUGGCCUUCUCGAGCUUCAGUCCGCCGCGGCUCACGUAUUUCAGGGUCUCGCCUUUGAUAUGGAGCGUUUUUUCAGUCGAAACCUUUUCCCCCGGUUUAUCGUAUCUUUGGUUGUUUUCAUCGUAGAUUUGCCCGGCCAUGAUCAAUCUUUUGGCUUUCUCGCGGGAAUCGGUCAAGCCCUGUUGCACUACAAGUAAAUCCAAUCUUUCUUUUUCCAUGGUAAUCUCCCGUUAUAUUCUGACGUAAUCCAAUAUUUCGCGGAAUACGUCUAUUUUAUUUUCCGCAUCGUCAAUGCGAGCUGCCAGUCGUUCCAAACAGCCUUCCGCUUGGCCGAUGACAGUGUUCAGUUCCUGGAUGGCUCCGGCGACCCCUAGCAGGGAUGGGUAUGUGUUUUUGUUCAAAUCGGCAUCGUGAUGGGUGGUCUUGCCGGUCUGUGCCUCAUCCAGCACGACAUCUUUCAGGUCAUUGUGGAUCUGGUAAGCCAAACCCAAGUGCCGCGAGAACUGUUCCAUUUCCCUUGCGAAUGAUCCAUCCGCUUCGGCGAUCAGGCAUCCGGCCGUAACGGAAAAUCGGAUCAAGGCACCGGUCUUUUUGUCGUGCACUUGCUUUAAUUCUUCGAUUGUCAAUCUUUUCUCUUCGCCUUCAACAUCAUCCAUCUGGCCGGCUAUCAUCCCGUCCGGACCGGCGGCUUUCGCCAAUAGGGCAAUCAGCCUGAUUUUCUUGUCAGCCGAUAGUGUUGGUGUUUCCGCGAGAAUUUCGAAUGCGGCCGUCAACAGGGCAUCGCCCGCAAGUAUCGCCGUGGAUUCCCCGAAAACUUUGUGCGAGGUCAAACGGCCACGCCUGUAGUCAUCGUCAUCCAUAGCAGGCAGAUCAUCAUGGAUCAGGGAGUAGGUAUGGAUAUACUCCAAAGCAGCUGCGGCAGCAAAGCCGUCGGAAAUCUCCCUCCCCGCCAACGCAAGGGUCGCCAAUACCAAAAGAGGGCGAAUUCUUUUUCCGCCCCCCAUUAAAGAAUACGCCAUCGCUUUAUGCAGAUUUUCUUGCUCAGGGACAGCCGCUCUCAAUUCCGAAUAGAGGUAAGCAUCGAACCGAGGCAUCCAUUCCGCUUGAAACUCUCUGAGAUUCAUGCUCUUCAUUCUCCUUCGCUUCGGGACGCAGGCUCUUCAAAAUCCACUUCAGAACCAUCAGCGUUCACGAUUUUUGUCAGCGUUUUUUCAGCAAUGUUCAGAGUAUCCUGGCAGUACUUGCUGAGGUCCAUUCCCACUUUGAAUUGCUCCAGUGCCUCCUCCAAGGGCACAUCCCCGGCUUCCAGCCUGGUCACGAUCGCUUCCAAUUGGUUCAUCGCUUCUUCAAAACUAACAUUUUUUUCGGCCUUCAUCACUUUUCCUCCACCACAUAUUUUACUUCCGCUUCGGCAUAACCGUCCGAAAAAUUCACUUUCAAUUUGUCGCCGCUUUGCAGCUCUUUGACGGACGAUACAAUCUCGCCGUCUCUCGUCGUAUAUGUGUAGCCUCGCGACAUGAUCUUCAAGGGACUCAGCAAAUCCAGCGAUUGCAUGGCCGUGUUCAGGCGUUGUUCCUGCUGUUUCGCAUAUCGCUCCAUGGCCCUCUUCAAUUGCUCACUGAGCUGCUGUCUGCGUUUUUCGGCCAAUGCGACUUCCCGUUCCGGGUUGCGGUUUUCCAGACGCAAUUGCAGUCGCUCCAAGUCAGUGGAGCGUAAUUGGAUCUGCUGCUGCAUUUGACUGAUCAGGCGCAGCUGAACCUGAUCCGCUUUUAUCGCAUAGCCCUCAUACAUCCUUUCCGGUUGCCUGAAGAUGUAGGAUUGCAUGGCGCGAUUCAGACGCUGUUGCUGCAGCGUGUGCAGAUGCCGCAGCUUCUGGUACAGCCGGUUUUCGAGCUGAUGGAUAUAGCGGUUGACAUCGUUCAAUACCGGCACUGACAAUUCUGCCGCUGCCGUGGGCGUUGCAGCCCUGACAUCGGCAACAAAGUCGGACAAGGUCGUAUCGGUUUCAUGUCCGACCGAGGAAAUCACCGGGAUAGUCAUGGCUGCGAUUUGGCGAACGACCGUUUCCUCGUUGAAGGACCAGAGAUCCUCGAUGGAACCGCCGCCCCUUGCGACAAUGACCAAGUCAUAGUCGCCUUUUUGCUCGAUGGUUUGCAGAUUCCUGAUGAUACUGCCGGCGGAAUCCUUCCCUUGGACAACGGUCGGAUAGAGCACCAGCUGGACAAUCGGAUAUCUUCUUUUCACGGUCGUCAUGAUGUCCCGGAUGACAGCACCGCUCGGACUGGUCACGAUGGCGAUCCGUUUCGGAAAAACCGGUAUUUUUUUCUUCGGCAAGGAAAAUAAUCCUUCCCGCGCCAAUUUCUCCUUCAGUUCCGAAAAAGCCUGAUACAGAGCGCCGAUACCGUCAGGUUCCAUAUGCUCGACCAUGAUAUUAUAGGUGCCGCCUGCUUCGUAGACGUUCACGCGUCCGAUCAGCAUCACCUUCAUCCCUUCCUUUGGCGUGAAAGUCAACUUAUCGAACCUGCCUUUGUACAUCACUGCCGAGAUGACAGCAUGGUCAUCCUUCAGGCUGAAGUACUGAUGGCCCGGACGCGGACGAUAAUUGGAUAUUUCGCCGGUAAGGUAGACGCGCUCGAGAUAAGGAUCGGCAUCGAAUUUUCUUUUGAUGUACUUGGUUAAAGCAGUGACGCUCAGAUAAAGAGGUUCCAACUUUAUGCCUCCUUGGUCAUUUUGCUUUGUCGAUCGUUUGCUGCAAAAGCAUCGUAAUCGUCAUCGGACCGACCCCGCCCGGGACAGGCGUGAUAUGGCUGGCGAUGCCCAUCGCAGCUGCCGUAUCCACGUCGCCGAUCAAUUUGCCUUCUGCACUGCGGUUCAUACCGACAUCGAUGACGACUGCACCUUCUUUGAUGAAAUCAGCUGUGAUAAAGUGGCCUCUGCCGAUCGCCGCAACAAGGAUAUCGGCUUCUUUCGCCAAUUCCUUCAGGUUUUUCGUGCGCGAAUGAGCGAUUGUCACCGUUGCAUUUUCGUUCAGGAGCAUGAUGGACAUCGGUUUUCCGACGAUGUUGCUUCGGCCGAUCACCAGCGCUUUUUUCCCUUCCAGCGCAAUGUUGUAUUCUUCCAAAAUCUUCAUGAUGCCGUAAGGCGUGCACGGCAAGGCUGAUUCGUUCCCCAGGAAAAAGUUCCCGACGUUCAUCGGAUGGAACCCAUCCACAUCCUUCUCAUAACUGAUCGCCCGCAGUACUUUUUGCUCAUCUAUAUGCUUCGGCAAAGGCAGUUGGACCAAAAUGCCGUGCAUGCUGUCAUCCUGGUUUUGCUUUUCGACUUCCGCCAGAAGAUCCGCUUCGGAAAUGUCUGCAGGCAGACGGACGACGCGCGAAUUCAUGCCCAUUGCCGCCGAUUGUUUUUCCUUAUUGCGGACGUAGACCUGGCUCGCUUUGUCUUCGCCCACCAAAAUGACGCAAAGACCAGGCGUUUUCCCUGCUGCCGUGAGUGCAGCCACCUGUUCCUUCAUCUGUUCCUGCAUUUUUUUUGCCAAUCCUUUGCCAUCCAUCAUGAUCGUUUCCAUUCAUCAAUCUCCUCUUCCUUGGUGUUACCGUCUAUUUUACCAUAUUAUCUUUGAUUACGGUUAGAAAAGCGGACUCGCCAGGUUCAAACCAGCCGACAAAAAAAGAAAACCCUUAUGCCGAAGCAUUAAGGAUUUUCCGAUUUAGGAAUGAGGUUGGACAAUACGCCAUUGAUGAAUUUGCUCGAUUGCUCAUCGCAAUAAAGCUUUGAGAUUUCGAUCGCUUCAUUCAGCGCCACCUUUUGCGGCACCUGUUCCGUAUCACCCAACAACAUUUCGUAGGCCGCGAUCUGCAUGAUCAAAGCAUCGGCUUUGGCCAAUCUGCCGACCGUCCAGUUCUUCAGGUAUGGUUGGAUUGCUUCAUCGAUAGCCGCUUGAUUAUCCAAAACGCCAUGCACUAGCGUGACCAAGUAUGGAUAAUCCUGGAGUUCGAUGUCGUCUUCGCUGUCCCAUUCCUCUGAAUCGCUCAAAAGAGCCUGCUUGAUGGCUUCUUCCGGGGUCAAUUCUUCGUUUGUUUUCAAUUGGAAAAGGGCUUGCAGCGCCUUUUCACGAAUUUCUCUUCUGGUUAAACGGGAAGCGCUCACGCAUUAUCCCCCAAUUCUGUAUCCAAAUCCAGAUAGGAAUUGUCUUCGGAUUUCGGUGCAACAAGCCCGACCACAUGAACGUUCACUUGAGACACUUCAAGGUUACUCAUGUACAGGACUUGUUCCUUUACUUUUUCUUGCAUAUCCAAAGCUACUUUGGGAACGGAAGCGCCGUACUUGAUGUAACAAUAAACGUCCACUCCCAAACCAUUUUCAUCGACCGUCAGAUGCACCCCUUUAUUGUGGGAAGUGCGUCCCAGCAAUUCGUUGACGCCGGUCUUGAAAGAGCCUUGCAUCGCAUAAACGCCCUCCACUUCGUUGGCGGCGAUGCCUGCGAUCACUUCAAUUACUUCGGGAGCAAUCUCAAUCUCCCCCAGAGGAGCCGGACCGUUUGCUAAAGGAAUGUUUGUUUCUUCCAUCAUCUGUCAUUCUCCUUUCUUGGGAAACAUUAUGCGCGGGAUACGUAUGAACCGUCCGUAGUAUUGACGAUCAGCAUGUCAUCCGCAUUUACGAAGAAUGGCACGUUGACCAUCAAUCCUGUUUCCAUUUUGGCAGGUUUUGAGCCGCCGGAAGCUGUAUCACCUUUGAUGCCGGGUUCAGUCUCUUCGACACGCAGGAUGACUGUGUUCGGCAGAUCGACGCCCAAAGUUUCUGAUUCAUACAUCAGGAUGUUGACUUCCAUGUUUUCUUUCAGAUAGUUCAAUUCAUACUCGAUUUGGCUUGCGCUCAAUUCGAUCUGUUCAUAGUUUUCCAUGUCCAUGAACACGUAGGCACCGGCACUCUCGUACAGAUAUUGCAUUUUGCGGUUCGCGAUAUGCGCUUUUCCGACUUUUUCGCCUGCACGGAAAGUUUUUUCCUGGACCGCGCCCGUGCGGAGAUUUUUCAGUUUGGAACGCACAAAAGCCGCGCCUUUACCCGGCUUUACGUGUUGGAAAUCGACAACUUUCCAUAACCCUCCAUCAAUCUCGAUCGUCAAACCUGUUUUAAAAUCAUUUACUGAAAUCAUCAAUAAUUCCUCCUGUGGCAGCUCAUUUGAACUAAGUUUACCAUUAUUUUAGUGCGGAUUCUAUUUUUUUAUAAAAUUAUCAGCUCUUUUGGCGAAUGUGUCAGAAUUUCAUUGCCGUUUUCCCUGAUCACAAGAUCGUCUUCGAUCCGUACGCCGCCCAGCCCCGCAAGAUAGAUGCCUGGUUCAUUCGUGAUGACAUUUCCCGGCACCAGCACUUUCCCGGCUUUCUGCGAUGUGUUCGGUCCCUCGUGUAUCUCCAAACCGAUUCCGUGGCCAUUGGAGUGGCCGAACGCUUCCCCAUAACCUUGUUCAGUAAUGUAAUCGCGGGCGACACUGUCGACUUCGAUGCCCGUCAUGCCGGCUUUUGCCGCCUCAUUCACGCGCAGCUGGGCAGCCAGCACAAUCCCGUGGAUUUUCUUCAAUUCCGGGUGGGGUUGCCCCACUGAAACUGUGCGGGUCAUAUCCGAAACAUAGCCGUUGUAAUAACAACCAAAAUCCAGCGUCACGAAGUCGCCUUUUUCGAUCAGCUUGGGACUCGCCACACCAUGCGGCAUGGCGGAACGCAGGCCGCUGGCGACUAUCGUUUCGAAAGAAACACCGCUCGCGCCCAAUUCGCGCAUGUGGAAAUCCAGGCGGUUGGCGAUUUCUAUUUCCGAAACCCCCGGACGGAUGUGCUCAAGAAUGAACAUGAAGCCGGCAUCCGCUAUCUCACAGGCCCGUCUGAUGGUCUUGAUUUCUUCAGCGUCUUUGACUUCACGCAAUUCCUCGAUGAUGCCCGAAGCCGGAAGCAGAUCGCACGUCACCAAGUCCUCCAAGUCCUCGACACUGCGGAAUGACAUGACGGCGUCUUCGAAGCCCAGCGAUGCCAGUCCCUUGCCCUCGACGAUUUUUUUGACUUCAUCAAAAAUCGGUCCUUUGUUCUGAAUGAUCUGAAAACUUUGCGCCUGUGCAGCAGCUUGCUGGGUAUAACGGAAGUCGGUCACAAAAAAAGCUUCCUCUUGAGUGAUGACCGCCAGACCGGUCGUACCCGUAAAAUUGGAAACAUAACGUAAGUUAUAUUGACUUGUCACCAGCAUUGCAUCCAUCUUCUUGGCUUUGAUGGCAGCCUGCAAUUUUGAGACUCUACUCAUUUCACAUACUUCCUUCCAAAAAAAUCCUGAUUGUUUGAAAACAUACUUAUCCAGUAUAUCAAAAAAAAGCCGGCAUAGAUAGGGGUGAAUUCGUGCCCGUCAAAGAUGCACGGCUCACAGCCGGCAUUCCCUCCGCUUGCAAUACGGGACGCAGCCGAAAAAAACGCACAAACCAAACCGGCAGAUUUCCGGCUUGUUUGCGCGUUUUGCUGUAUUUGCCACUUCCUGGCCCUUCAAUCCGGCCGUUCCUGCGUGAAGAUUUCCGUUACUUGCGUUUCGCUGUAGUUGUUUUGCAGCGUCACGGUUGCAGUGACUUUCCCGCCCGCGUCCACCGAGCACCGCACGGUUCCUUCUUCGAAAGACAGGACAGCCGGCACGAUUUGGUUUUCCGGAGUCGCGGCUUUGUUCCGGUCGCGAAGCCAGUAGUCGGUGUAGGCCAGCAGCGUUUGGGCUUUAUAAUGGUUUUCCGUCAAUCUGUACAGAUAGAGUUGGUUCUCGUACACCCGGAUGAUCCCGAAAAGCAUCAGCUGCGAAAGGAACAGGUAGAAUAUCGUGAUCGGCAAGAUGGAUCCGCCCUCCCCUAACGAAACAGGACGCCAACCCUUAAGCUGGCGCUUUGGAUAAAAGGAUAUGCGCUCUGCGGGUCCGGUUGUCCGAAAGUGUAGCCUGGAUAGUAACGCCUUCAUUGGUUACCUCAUAUUUCAGCACUUUGACAUGCAUCAGCAUCGGAUGAUAGCCGCUCCCAUUUUUGUACCGGAGGAGUUUGUUGGUCCGGAAUUCGUAAGUAUAGGCAGCCGUGUCGGCGGGAUUCUGCGACUUGGUGCGGAUGGCUGUGCUCGUCUUUUGGACGAGCAACUCAUCCUCCCAUUCAUGCUCAAGUUGGAUCAGGAAAAGAUGCCAUUCCGCAUCUUGGGUCCUCUCCAUUUGGGUUUGGGCGGUACGGAUCACUUCAAGUCCGCCCAUCACAAGCAAGAGCACAAAUGUAUUGACGGUCAGGGCUAAGACCGCUUCGAACAAGGUAAAACCUGCUUGUGACUUCCUAACGGUCUUCAGUCUGGUCUGCGUUCCCAUGGACAACCACCCUUUCUGCGCCGGCAUUUCCGCUGAUUUCCAACUGCGCUGUUUCCGCAUCCCAGCUUGUGGUGAAAGUAAUUCCUCCCGAAACGUGACUCCCGAAAGGGUUCCCGCCCUUGGCGACAGCCCGCAUUUGGUCUUGUGCGACUCGCCAAUAGGCUACUUCCGUUUCCGCCGCUUCUAAUACCGCAAAAAAUUGAACGGCAUGCGGCAGCAGCACGCAGAAGGAAAGACUGACCAAGGCCAAAGCAAUCAGGCUUUCGAAAAGCAUAUAACCGCUGCUAUCGUGCAGCUUUGUUGAUUUCAUAACGACCGCUCCCCAGUUGGAUUGUGAUGGUGUAGCGAGACCGGGCCGUUUCCAUGAUGAUAGUGUUUGGCUGAAGAUAGCCGCUGCCCCCUUUGAUGAAUCCGGUGUAGCCUUGGAUCACCCUGGCGCCUUCAGGCAACAGCAGUUUGCGGUUGGCGUACCGAUCCGAAACGCUUCCGUCUUUGAAAACAGCGUAAUGCGUCGCACCGAUCGGACGCGCGACAUCCAUGUUGACGCCGUUUCCGGUGAUGACCGCAUAGCUCUGCGCCGUGUGCAGCUCCGUCAGGAAAUCAUCCAAAAACAGAGUGAAGGCGAAUUCGUCCAUCGCGGUGUCCAGUCGUGGAGUCAACAGCAAAAUCAGGGAAGCGAUCGCCAGCACCAACAGGCUUUCGAACAAAGUGAAUCCGCUCUUUCGCAUCGGUCAGGCCGUCAUCACGGCGUGGUUGCAGGCGUGAUCGUUCCCACUUCACCGGCGCUGAUCGUCAGUUUGGCGUUCGCCUCAGCCAAUUGUUUAGCGCUGAUGUAUCCUUCGUCGCUCAGGACAGUGAAGCUCGCCGCCUCCGUCCCCGUGUCCAGUUCGUACAUAUCCGCUUGGGUCUGCACGACCACCGCCAAUGCAUCGGUCCCUUUCGCCUCCACGCUUUCCUUCGUGUUCGCCACAUUCGGGAUGAUCAUCAGCAUCAGCACCGAAAUGAUGAACAGGACGAGGACCAUUUCCAUCAGUGUGAAGGCUUCCUUAUUCUUCAGCGUUUUUUUUAUCGUUUCCAUUUAAUACAUUCCUCCUAAUGAACUAAGCAUCGGCAUCAACAAUAUCAGAUAGAUCGCCAUUACGAUGAUGGCGACCAUAAGGAACAAGACGGGCUGCAGCCAGCCGAUUUUCUGUUCAAUGUCAGCAAUCAGCAGCCGGAAACAUUCUUCACUGUACAUGCUCAAUUUGAUCGGCAGCUGGCUGGUGAGCUCGCCGUGGUAAAUGAUCCAACCCAUUUCCUCUUUGAAGAUUGGAUAACGUUUGAUGAUCGUCGUCAGGCUGUCGCCCUGCGUCAGCCCCUCCUCCACCAACCCGGAUAUUUCCUUCAUCCAGGCCGUCCCCUCGUCUCCACGCAUCAGCGAAACGAUUUGAUUCAACUGCAUCCCGUUGCGGAAAAAAUAGGCGUAUUCCCGGCAGAAGAAAAAGGAAUAAUAGAGUUGGACCCAUCUGCUCAAGAGCGGAAUCCUGCAGAACAACAAUGAUUGCCGGAAAGCGGAUUUCCGCUUCAGAUACAUUUUCGCCAGCAAAAACAAACUUGCCCCCAAAGCCGCAGUCCCCAGGAUAAUGAGCGGCAGGUUCUUCAAAUAAGCCAGGGUGAUGCUGGCCAUCCGGCCGGGCCCGUCUUCUGCAGGCUGCAGCAUCGUCUCCAGGCUCGGGAGCAGUACCUGCCUGAUCGCAAUCAGCAUGCCAUUCGCGAACACGAGCAAAAACAGCGGAUAGAUCAAAACUUUUCUGAGCUUUUGCAACUGUUUGUCCUUUUCGGCCAAAAAGUCGGAACAGAACAGCAACGUUUCCGUCAGUUUUCCGUGAAGGAACGAUAACCGCAACUGCGAAACCACCUGCUCCGAAAAACCGCACCCGGCCAAAGCCUCCGCCAAAUUGACGCCCGUUUCCAGUCUUGCAAGCAUGCGCUGGAUGUCGUCCGCACGUUUCGGCUGCAUCAUCUUCAGAAAAGACAGCCCUUCGGACAGAGAAAAGCCUUCCUGCAGCAAUUCACCCAAGCGCUUCAAAAAAUAAGCCUGCUCUUUAGCUUGCCAACGCUUUUCAGACAAGAUUCUCCAAGUAGUGCUUUUCCGUAAUAUAUCCACACGCAUAGGCUUUACGCAAUUUGUCGUUCAAAGAAACAAAUCGCUUUCCAUCCUCCUUAUUCUGCAGAUGGUUCUGCAGUUCCUUGCCCGCCAGUAUUUCGUAGAUGGCGGCUGACUUUUCGUUCACCUGAUAGUGGGAGCAGUGAAUCGUGCAUUUGCCGGCGCAAAGCGGACAAAAUUUUGCGACCAGCCGUUGCGAGACGACCGCAAGCAGCGUCUGCUUCAUUUGUUCGGAAGAAAUCGCCAAUUCCCGCAGCCUUUCCAAUACCCCGAACGACUCUUUGGCAUGGAUCGUUGCGAUCACCAGAUGCCCGGUCAAGGCGCUCCUCACAACCAUUUUGGCGGUUUCCUCAUCCCGGAUUUCGCCUAUCACAAGGAUGUCCGGAUGAUGGCGCAGGCAUUGGCGGAUCAGCAGGUCGUAAGUGAUGCCCGCAGCCUCAUUCACUUCGGCCUGCAGAAACAGCGGUUCUUCGAUUUCGACCGGAUCCUCCAUCGUAAUGAUCUGCAAAGGUUCAUCUGCGUAUUUUCUGCGCAGCAAAUGAUAGAUGGUGGUCGUUUUUCCGGAGCCGGUAGGUCCGGAAAAGAGCACCAAUCCACUUUUGUGGUCCAACAGGUCCAGCAAUGCCCUUUCCUGCUCCGGAAAGAAGGCAUGCAAUCCCGGAUCGGAAGCCGGGUUGGCGUAGAGCAUCCGGAUAACGAGCGACUCUUGAUAACGGAAAUUUGCGAUUGUCGACAGCCUCAAUUCUAUCUUUCUGCCAUCCAGGCGGUACCUGACAGCUCCGGAUUGGGGUUUCCGCCUUUCCCCUACGUUCAUGUUCGAAAGAAAUUUGAAGUAGGAAAUCAGCCGUUCCCCUUUCUCGAUGGAAUAAGCGGAUAUUUUCGACAAUCCGGUACUCACGCGAAAAAAGAGUUCAUAGUGGUCUUCGUAAGGGAGCAGAUGGAUAUCGGAUACACCUAACCGCAUCGCCUCCGCCAACAGGCUCUCAGCUUUUUCUUCCAUAUCAUCACCUCGUUUCUUUUUUGCCGUCACUUAUAGCUUCUGCAAAAUCCAUGCAUCUGCUCUUUCUCCGACGAGAAACUUAUUAUAAAAUAGGUGAUAUUGAUUCAACUUGCGGCCCCAUCCGCAAGCAUAAGACGAUUUCGGAAAGGAAGAGGUGAAUUUUUUGAAAAAGAACAUGGCUUCAUCCAUUCUUUUGAUCAUGAUCGGAACAUUUCUUUUCUCGAUAGGCAUCAAUAUGUUUUCUGUGGCAAACCACCUGGGUGAAGGAGGUGUCACUGGUAUAAGUUUGUUGGCCUUCUAUACAUUGGAUAUUCCCGUAGCUGUGACGAGUUUCCUGCUGAACGCCGUCAUCCUGAUCGUCGGAUUCCGCUUUUUGGAGAAGUCGACCAUGAGGCUGACGCUUCUCGCUACCUUAUUGAUGUCGGUGUUCCUGCACCUUACGGCUGCUUGGCGGUAUCCGAUGGAAACAAUCAUUCUAGCGCCGCUCUGCUCCGGAUUUUUGGUCGGCACCGGUUUGGGUCUCGUCAUGCAGGCUGGCGGCUCAACGGCCGGGACCGAUAUCAUCGCCCUGAUUUUCAAUAAAUACCUCGGUUGGAGCACAAGCGUUGCUCUUGUUGUGUUGGAUAUUUUCGUUGUCGGCCCCUCCAUCUUCGUCAUCGGGUUGGAGAAUGUCGUUUUGACUGCCGUGCAUCUUUAUGUGCAGACGAAGGUGCUGGACUUUAUCCUGGAGGGAUUCAAUCCGAGGAAACAGGUGCUGAUCAUCUCGGACCGACACCAGGAAAUCGCGGAGGCGAUCGAUAAAAAAAUCGGCCGCGGCAUGACUUUUUUGGAAGGGGAAGGCUACUAUUCCAAGCGCCAGAAAAAAGUGCUGUUGAUCGUCGUCAACAGGCAGCAACUGAUGCCGCUCAACCGGAUUGUCACGGCCAUCGACCCGAAAGCUUUCUUCACGAUCAGCGAAGCCCAAAGCGUCGUAGGCGAAGGUUUUUCCUAUCUUAUAACGGAUGAAUCAUACAAGCAGAAAAUCAAUGAUUUCCUCGACGAACAGUCGGAAUGACCGCAAACAAUCGCCAGGACGGCAAAGAACGGCAAGGCCAUUUUAUCUGCCCUUGCCGUUCUUUGUGUCUUCGAUUCACCGCAAUACCGCUUCAGGAAAGCAAAAGAACAACUCUCUCCAUGAUGUCCAUUUUCUCCACUGCAGCACUAUAGAUCAACUUGCCGAUCUUAAGGUUCCGUUCUUCCUCACGCAUAGAAACAAGCUUUUCCUCCGAAUUGUCUUUGAUCCAUUCGCCUUUCACGUCAGCAAGUGUGAUUUCCUGCAGAUCCACUGCUUUUUUUGCUUCCAGCAGUUCAAAUUUCAGCAUUCCGAACAUUCUUUCCAGUUCCUGCAUUCUGACGGGAUCCCGUUCCAUCAGUACAUCGAUUCUGGCUUUCAACUCUUUCAUCUUCCAUGCCGCCUCCAUUUCGCCCGCAACACUCCUGACGGUUUAUUUCGACAAAAAUCCACAAAUUUCCUGGCCGAAUUGUUUCGCUUGAUCCGGCCCGCUUGCGGUGAUGAGGUUCCCGUCGACGGUGACGCCCGACCCGGAAUAGACCGCCCCCUUGGCCUCGAUGGCCGCAAUUUCCGAAUUGAAAACCGUCGCAUUUUUUUUCUUCAGCAGACCGGCAUUGGCCAAAAUGACAGGAGCGAUGCAGAUGGCGGCAACCAUUUUGCCUUGGCCGUUCAUCGCUUGCGCCAACAUCCAGGCAUGCGGAUCGUCGAAGAAAACGCUGCUUCCCUUCCCACCGACGAACACCACACCAUCAAAACUGUUUGUAUCGACAUCUUCGACCAAAAGAUCGGACUGCGCGAUUCCGCCAUGGACGCCCAUGCAUGUCCCGGUUUUGUGGCUGGCGAUCCACAUCUCAUGCCCGCAUUUUGCCACUUCUUCCUGGGUCAUGAACAAUUCCUCGUCGCGGAAGUCUUCCGGUGCAAUCACAAAUAAUACCUUUGCCAUAUGCUGUUCCCCCAUUCAUUGUUUAGACCGAGCAGUUCUCGCUGGUGUGCAAUUGUACUUUUGAACGAACAACCCGGGCGAAUAUCGGCUCUGCCUAUCUGAUUUACAUUAUAAUUAUACUACAAGCCCGUCGAGAAAGCGAUUACACCGGAGCGACCCUUUCCAUCAAAAUAAAAAACGAUCGCUCUCCGCACCAAGGGCCUCGGAGGACAAUCGUUUUUUCAUUCUCUGUCGAAUUCUAUUCUUCGUCCAGAUCGGCGUUGUGGAACACUUCGGAGACAUCAUCGUCGUCUUCCAAUUUUUCCAGCAUCGUUCUGAAUUGCGUUUCUUUGUCAGCAGCGAUAGCCGACAAAGUUUGCGGUACCAUCGUGACUUCCGCUUCAGCCAGCACAUAGCCUUCAGCUUUCAACGCUUCGCAAACAGCAUCAAAAUCGGCUGGAUCUGUAUAAAUUUCGAACACUUCAUCGCUCGUCUGCAAUUCCUCACCGCCGGCUUCCAAUACGCUCAUCAGCAUCGUGUCUUCGUCCACUUCCAAAUCUUCACGUUCGAUCGCGAUGUAGCCUUUGCGGUCGAACAUAUAGCUAACGGAACCGGACUCGCCCAAUGAUCCGCCGUUUUUGUUGAAUGCGACUCUGAUGUUGGUCGCAGUACGGUUGCGGUUGUCGGUCAAGGCAUGUACAAGGACAGCCACACCAUUCGGGCCGUACCCUUCAUAGGUGAUUUCUUCGUAGUUUUCGCCUUCUCCAGCUGAAGUUGCUUUCUUGAUGGCGCGGGUGAUGUUGUCGUUCGGCAUGUUGGCCGCUUUGGCUUUUUCGAUGAUCAAGCGCAGGCUAGGGUUAGAUGAGGGAUCCGGACCGCUGUUCUUUGCAGCCAUAUAGAUUUCUUUCGAUAAUUUCUGGAAAAUUUUACCUCGUUUUUGAUCUGCAGCGCCUUUCGCGCCUCUGAUUUUACUCCAUUUUGAAUGUCCUGACAUUCAGAUCCCUCUUCUCAUCUAUUAAUUUACUCAAUCAUUUUAUCAAAAGUAGCCUCUCAUGGCAAUUCACUUUCUUCCUUUUCUGGCAGUCAGGAAGAACCAGCCGGCGAUCACCGCCAAAAUAGCGCCGCUGCCCGCCAAAAUGACAUCUUCCUUCAUCGCAAAUGCCGGAGACACGAGCGAUUGAUGGAAUUCGUCUGCCGCAGCAUAACUCACCGAUAGCAGUAAAGCCACCGUGCUGGGCGUAAAGGCAUCCCGCAGCUUCCCGGCAAGGCCGCCAUACCACAGAUAAGCCAGCAGGAAAUAGAUCAGGAAUGACCAGAUUUUGCUUCCGAAAAAUCCCAGAAAGCCGAAAUAGCCCAAAGCCCCGAUGCUGAUCGUCUGCUCGCCGUACUGGAAGGUGAACAUAGCGAACAGGCCGGACAACGGCUGCGACUGGAGCAGAUUUGCGAGGAUGUUCGGCAGCGCAUAGAAAUUUUGCUCGAAAGUGGCGCGGUAAUAAAGAUAGACCAUGAUCAAGACCGCUCCUAACAGGUAUGAAUUGCUUUUUUGUUCUCUUUGCAUAGGGCUUUUUCCUUUCAUGAGACGAAUUCUUUUUCAUAUUUUUGUCGGGGAUUGCUAUAAUGAAAAUAUCGCAUUUUACGAUAGACCACAGAUAUCGAGAGGAUGAGCAGUAUGAAAUAUAGCCUAACCUGGGAUUUGGACUCUUUUUUUGAGGGCGGCAGUUCUUCACCGGCCUUGCAUGAAAAAAUAAUAUCCAUCCAAACCGGAUUGAAUGACUUUGAAACCGCGGCGAAGGAUUGGGACCCCGAACACGAUAAGCCGGAAUAUCCAGCUUUCCUGGAAUUGCUGCAUAGCGAAGAGGUGUUCGCCAAAGCCUUGAUGCAAUGCAACAGCUUCAUAACCGGCGUCCAAUCAGCCGACGUCUCGGAUUUGGAUGCAAGCGCAAUCCAUGCGCGAAUAAUCCAAUUGUACAGCAAAUUAACGAUUAUUCAAACGACUCUGAAGAAAAAAAUAACCGCCAUCAAUGCCGGCGAUUGGGAUUUGCUGUUGCGAAAACCGGACUUUUCACCACUUGCAUUCGCCCUCACGGAAUGGCGCCAGCAAGGCGGCCGGCUCUUGUCCGACAAGGAGGAGGCGUUGUUGGCGAACCUGCGUGUCGAUGGCUUCAACGGUUGGAGCGCGCACUACGAUACGCUCGUAUCCUUCGUCAAGAUUCCUUUCGAAGAAACAGACGGCAGCCUGAGCCAACUGUCGGCAGGCCAGGCGAUGAACCGGAUGUAUGCCGAUCCCGAUCCGGAUGUCCGGAAAAGAUUGUUCGUUGAAUGGGAAAAAGCUUGGGGAUCGCUUGCGCCGGCAUUCGCCGAUACGCUGAAUCAUCUGCAGGGAUUCCGUCUGGCCGAUUUUGAGGCGCACCAGGAUGAGGAUUUCCUGGCGGAAUCGCUGCGCUACAACCGCAUCAAGCGCGAGACUUUGGACUCGAUGUGGCGGGCCAUCAGCGCCUACAAACAGCCGUUCCUCUCGUUUCUGGACCGUAAAGCCGCUCUCAUCGGCAAAGACAAGUUGGCUUGGUACGAUGUCGAUGCUCCCGUAUCGCUCGGUGAUUUCAAAUCAAAAACCUUCAGCUUCGACGAAGCCGUAGACUACAUCAUCGGACACUUUACAUCAUUCGGUCCGAAACUGGCCGCUUUUUCCUUGGAUGCAGUCAAGGACCGGUGGAUCGAAGCCGAGAAUCGUUCCGGAAAACGCCCCGGCGGAUAUUGCGAAGAUUAUCCCGAAUCAAAGGAAUCGCGUAUUUUCAUGACCUUUACAGGUUCAGCCAGCGACAUGAGCACACUGGCCCAUGAAUUGGGCCAUGCUUUCCAUUCCCAUGUGAUGCGCGACCUCCCUGAUCUGAAUACGCGCUACGCCAUGAACGUUGCCGAAACCGCAUCAACUUUUGCGGAGACCAUCAUCAGUGCGGCUACGGUCAAAGAAGCGAGCAGCGACGAAGAAAAAAUAGCGCUUUUGAACACAAAACUGGAAAAUGCGACCGCUAUGUUUUUGAAUAUUCAUGCCCGUUACAUUUUCGAAAAAUCCUUCUACACAGAAAGAAUGAAUGGUUUCGUCACGGCGGAUCGUCUGUCCGCACUGAUGGAGGCAGCCCAGAAAGAGGCUUACCAGGACAGUUUAAGUGAAUACCAUCCCCUGUUCUGGGCGAGCAAGCUGCACUUUUUCAUUGAUGAUGUGCCCUUCUACAACUUCCCUUACACGUUCGGUUUCCUUUUCAGUCUCGGCAUUUAUGCACAGUCGAUGCAGCAGAGCGGCAACUUCGAAGAAACCUACAUUUCCCUCCUGCGGGAUACCGGCUCGAUGACGACGGAAGACCUUGUGCUGAAGCAUCUUGGCGCCGACAUCACCCAGCUCGAAUUCUGGAACCAAGGAUUGGAGAUCAUGGCUGAAGACGUUGCAGAAUUUUUGCGUCUGACCGAAAAAUAUAUCUGAAGAGAGCGGGACAGAACGUGUUUAGCGCCGGACCACCGGAGCGGAUGAGACUGGGACAAAAGUCUUAAAAAAAGAAAAAAUCGCAUGAAAUCAAGCUUACAAACGUUGAUUUCAUGCGAUUUCUAUUUUUACUGUUCAGCUAUUUUCAACCAAAAUUUGAUUUAUCUCUCAGCCUCGUUGUUCGUGAAGUGGAGCCGGUGCAUAAACUUUGAGGAAGGAAGGCAGUAUCGCUAUUUCGAGCGGAAAUGCCGGCCCUUCGUCCCCGUCCACAUUGGUGAUCAGGCUAUCGCCAUCCUCCAAACCAAUGGUGGCCCGCUUGAACGAUCGAUAAAUGACGCUUUCGGAAGCUUUGAUUUCACCCCUGAGCACCUGCGCCAAAAGUGUGAGCGAAUCAAGCAGACUGGACUCUUUUAAGACGACCAGACGCAUCUUGCCGUCAUCAACCUGCGCCUCCGGCAUGAAGCUUUCGAAGCUGGCGAGCGAAUUCGUGAGCGCGAUCAAAAGGAGCGGCGAUUCCUGGGUAAAGGUCUCCCCGUCGACUGUGAUCCGGAAGCGAUGCACGGUCUGGUCAGCCAGCGCCUUUCCCCCUUCGAUGAAAUAGGCCAGAGGGCCAUACUUCGUUUUUUUCUCAAUGCUGACCGCUCCGACCGCUUCGGGUAUCGCGCCUGCAGCCACAUUCGACACAAAAUGGCGGUCGUUGACCUUGCCUAUGUCGAGAUCGACCAAGACAGCGGAGCCCAACAUGCGGAUAGCCUCCACGGGGUCCAAAGGGAUGCUGAUUGCUCUUGCAAGGUCAUUGACGGUGCCCAAAGGGAUGAACCCGAAAGCCGCUUUUCCCCCUGCAGCAGCCAAACCAUUGAUUGUUUCGUUAACAGUGCCAUCGCCGCCCAUGCAAAAGACCGCCUGAUGUCCUUGGUUUGCCGACUCGUAGGCGAAACGGAUGGCAUCUCCCUGUUUUUCGGUUUCCUUGACGUUGAUUUGACCAAACAGUUUGCGCAACUGUUCCGUCAUUUGCUCCAGAUACUCCGGUGCUUUUUCGCCGCCUGAAGACGGAUUCACGAUCAGUGUACAGUCUCCCAUCACAUUCCCUCGCUUUCGUUCUUUUUCCCCGAUAGUGUAGCACGGAUGGCCCUCCAGCACGAAGCAAGUUGCCCUAUUUCCUAUUUUGAGCAUAUCCUUGGCUUUCUGCUUACAAAAUGUGUAUAAUUCCAUAACGUUCGAAUCAAAACACAAUGACAUAGGGGGAGCAGUAUGACAAAAGAAUAUCGUGUCCUACUCUAUUAUAAAUACACACCAGUAGAGGACGCAGAAAUAUUUGCACAACAACACCUACAGUUCUGCAAAAAAAUCGGUUUAAAGGGAAGAAUUUUGGUUGCGGCAGAGGGAAUCAAUGGGACGGUUUCGGGAACGACGGAACAAACGCAAGCAUACAUCGAUCAUAUGAAUGCAGAUCCACGUUUCAACGACAUCACUUACAAAAUUGACGAAACGGAUGGCCAUGCCUUCAAAAAAAUGUUUGUCCGUUAUCGUCCGGAAAUCGUCUCCUUGCACUUGGGCGGCAAUGACCUCAACCCGAAUGAGGUCACGGGUGAAUACCUAUCUCCAGAAGCGUUCCGCGAAGCUAUCCUUGACGAAAAUACAGUCGUCAUCGAUGCGCGCAAUGAUUACGAAUUCGACCUCGGCCAUUUCCGCGGAGCUGUCCGUCCGGAUAUCCGGAACUUCAGGGAAUUACCGCAAUGGAUCCGCGACAAUAAGGAAAAAUUCAUGGAUAAGCGCGUUGUAACCUACUGCACAGGCGGAAUCCGCUGCGAGAAAUUCUCGGGUUGGCUGGUGAAAGAAGGCUUCAAAGAUGUCGGUCAACUGCACGGCGGCAUCGCAACCUACGGCAAGGACGAAACCGUCAAAGGCGAUUUGUGGGAUGGGAAAAUGUAUGUGUUUGAUGAGCGUAUCGGCGUCGACAUCAACCGCAUCGAACAUGUCGUUGUGGGAAAAGACUGGUUCGACGGCACGCCUUGCGAACGCUACGUGAACUGCGCGAACCCGAGCUGCAACCGCAGAAUGCUAUGUUCGGAAGAGAACGAGCACAAGUAUAUGCGCAGUUGCUCGCAUGGAUGCCGCAUCCAUGAACCCAAUUAUUACGUCCAACGCAAUAACCUGUCUCCUGCGGAUGUAGCCGCACGUUUAGCAGCCAUCGCAGAGCCGGUCGUAAAUUCCGCCGCAUCGCUUGCAUAACAAAAAAAUCAGCAAGGGAGGUAUCCUUGCUGAUUUUUUUGCCCUCUCCGACUUGGAGGGUGUUCGUUCUAUGGAAUAGUCAGCGGAAAGCUUUUUUGUUAUACUAGUAAGCGACCACCUGAAAAGGAAAGAGGGAAUAUAUGAAUAAUCCAGAUGGAAUUAAAGCGGGAAAAUGGCUGAAAAAGACCGGUGCAUUCUUCAGAGGUCUUGGGCAAUCGAUAUAUGGCAGCCUCCAGCGGAUUUUCACGAAAGAAAAUGCCAUGAACACGAAAGAAAAAGCCUUGCUUUGGGAACAAAGGACCCACAAACGGAUGGACCAAGGCAGGCUGUCCUGGCGAAAAAUGCGGGUUAGACUGGAAACCGAAACAAACUUGAAGCCGCUUCUGUCCAAAGGAGCUUUUGGUUUCAAUGUAUUUGUCGGGGUGAUCCGGAAUAUUUUGACCGGAAUUGUGCUUUUGGUUCUUUUGCUAGGGAUCUUUGGCGGUGGCGCGGGCUUGGGCUAUUUCGCCAACUUGAUUUCUAAAGAGUCUCCGCCUUCUUACGAAAGCAUGGCCGAAGACAUCGCGAACGUUGAGCUUGUUUCCACCAUGUACUACGCCAACAAUGAAGCCAUUUCGGAGAUCCGCACCGAUCUGGUCAGAACGACCGUGGGCUCGGAAAGCAUUUCGCCGCUCAUCAAAGAAGCCCUUAUCGCAACGGAAGAUGAAAAUUUCUACGAUCAUAACGGCAUCGUACCCAAGGCUAUACUGCGGGCAUUGGUGACCGAGCUGACCGGUUUCGGCAGCCAAUCCGGCGGUUCCACAUUGACGCAGCAACUCGUCAAACAGCAGAUAUUGACGAACGAAGUGACUUUUUCCCGCAAAGCCAAUGAAAUCUUAUUGGCACUGCGGCUUGAGAAUUUCUUUACGAAGGACGAAAUACUGACUGCUUACUUGAACGUCUCUCCUUUCGGGCGAAACAGCAGCGGUUCCAAUAUCGCCGGCAUAGAGGAAGCCGCGAACGGCAUUUUUGGCGUGCAUGCGGCUGACGUUUCGUUGACUCAGGCCGCUUUCUUGGUAGGGAUACCGCAGAAUCCCUAUACCUAUACCCCUUUCACCCAGUACGGUGAAAGAAAAGAAGAUUUGACCGCAGCGCUGAACCGAAAGAAUACCGUGCUCUUCCGGAUGCUCAGCGAAGGCUACAUAACCAAGGAUGAGUAUGAUGCCGCGGUCGCCUAUGACAUCACUCAGGAUUUCGUGCCUGCCCAUGUCACACAGGAGGAUCGGAACAGCUACCUAUACCAAGCAGUCGAACGCGAAGCAAUUCUGGUGCUGAUGGAACAGGCGGCAGCCGCAAACGACCUUUCGAUGGACGAUAUUGAAGCGGAUAUCGAAUUGUACAACGAAUACUAUGCGAAUGCGGACAACCAGUUGCGGCUUUCAGGCUAUAACAUAUACAGCACCAUCGACAAAGAUAUCUACAACGGCAUGCAGGAAGUCGCUGCCGAUUACGGUUACACUUUAGGGGACACCUAUGUGGAUACAUACGUUGAUGCGGAUGGCGUGACGCAGGAAGUCACCGAGCUCGCCCAAACCGGCAGUGUCCUGAUCGAAAACCAAACCGGAAAAAUCAUCGGGUUCAUCGGGGGCCGGGACUUCUCGGUCAAUCAAGUCGAUCACGUGUUCAGCACGAACCGCUCGCCCGGUUCAACAAUCAAGCCGCUGUUGGUCUACGCACCGGCAAUCGAGCAAGACUUCAUCUAUCCUGCAUCAAUGGUGCCGGAUACAAAAAUCAGCAUCAAACAGCCGGAUGGUUCGCUAUGGGAACCGACCAACUUCGGCGAUACAAUUUCGAAUUCAUACAUGACGGCUCGCCAGGCGCUCUAUCAAUCGAAAAACAACCCUACAAUCAAACUCUACGUCGCCAUGAACGACGAAGGUCUGGAUCCGGGGCAAUACCUCGAAAAGAUGGGCAUAACCUCCAUCGAUGAAUCGGAAUACGGUAAUCCAUCCUUGGCUAUCGGAGCAACGAACGACGGCCCGACCGUGCUGGAACAGACGAGUGCCUUCACGACUUUCGCGACCGGCGGCGAUCAUGUUUCUCCGUAUCUGAUCGAAACAAUCACGGACAAACAUGGAAAUGUAGUCUAUCAGCAUGAAUCCGAAACGGAAGAAGUAUUCUCGGAACAGACUGCCUAUCUGACUUUGGAUAUCCUCCGCGAUGUCAUCACGGACGGCACGGCACGAUCAAUCAACAAUUAUCUGAACUUCAAUGCCGAUUGGGCAGGAAAGACGGGCACAUCAGAGGCAAACCGUGACAUCUGGUUCAUCGCCAGCACCCCUACCGUCACCCUCAGCUCCUGGAUGGGAUAUGACAAUUACAAAGGCGAACACGUCUUCUAUGAUCCGAACAAUCAAGGACUUCCGACCGGCCGAAACUUGAAUUAUUGGUCGCAGAUCGCCAACAAGAUCUACAGCAUCAAUCCGGACAUCCUCGGCACCGAUCAAAAGCAUCAGCAGCCGGAAGGGAUAGUGGAAAAAUCGGUGUUGGCCGAAACCGGAACUUUGGCCGGAACCGUGUCCUUCGCGAACGGAUUGUCCGUCACGCUUAACGGCAGCACAAGGACCGAUCUGUUCAAAGCGGAUGCAUUGCCGAAAGAACUCUCCUAUUACUUCUCUCCAGGCGCUACCGACAAGGAUCUGGAAGACUUCUGGGAUAACUAUUUGGCUGAAGCCACAGCGAAACGCAACGCUUCAGCUGCCUCGGCAAACCGGAGCAACGCAACCGACGCUGAUGCAGAAACGGAAGCUGAAAACACCACGGCGGACGACGAAGAAACACCAGCUGAAGAAGAAACGGCAACAGAAGAGGAAUCUCCACCGGCUGAUGAAACACCAACCCCGGCCGAGUGACGCAAGAGAGAGCGGGACAGAACGCGUUUAGCCCCCGACCACUGGAACGGACAAACGCAGGCUGGCUGUAAGCCAUCCGAGCAUUAUUCGUGAAGUGGAGCCAGGGGCUGCGUUCUGUUCCGCGUUUACGCAAACUAUGCCCGGACUCUUUCCGUUUGCGGCUGACUUGCCCGCUCCUGUUCCAAAAAUCUUGCUCAGCGCAGAAAAAAGCCAUGCACCCGACGGGGAUGCAUGACUUUUUUUAGCUUGAUGGCUUUUUCACGGCCGUUUACUUUUGAGUUAAUGUCGUUCCUCUGUUGACGAUUUUGUAAGGAAGGAUGAUUGAUUUUUCGUCAAUCUCUUCCUUAUUCAUGAUUUUGGUCAGCAGACGCAUCGCAACCGCACCGAUAUCAUACAGCGGAAGCAUGAUGGACGUCAACUUCGGACGAGCCAUUUCGGUGAUGCGGGAAUUGUUGCUGGCAGUGACUUCGAACGCUUCGGGAACAUUGACAUCUGAAUUGAUGAUGCCGUUCAACAAUCCGAUUGCAAGUUCAUCCCCAGCCACAUAAGCAGCAUCCACACCUGCUUCAAGUAGUUGGCUGGCCAAUAACUCGCCAUUUUGAAGCGUCGGCUCGCAUUCGAAGACAAGCGACUCGUCAAAUGCGAUAUUGGCAUUGACCAAAGCAUUCUUGUAGCCCUUCAAGCGGUACUGGCCAUUGAUCGGGUUCGCGAGCGCUCCGGAAACAAAAGCAAUUUUUUGCUUUCCGUUCGCGAUCAUGUUGGCUACAACUUCUUCUGUCGCCGCGAUAUAGUCGAUAUUCACGCUCCCCACUUGUUGCUCAGGAUCGAUUGUGCCCGCCAACACAACCGGCGUUUUCGAGCGGGAAAAUUCCGCGCGCAAUUCGUCGGUGAUUUUGUUGCCCAUGUAGAUGAUGCCGUCAACUUGUUUGGCAAGCAAUGUGUUCAGAACUUGAAUUUCCUUUUGUUCGUUCUGAUCGGAAUUCGCCAAAAUGAUGUUGUAUUUGUACAUUGUUGCGAUAUCAUCGAUUCCGCGCGCUAAAGAUGCAAAGAACAAGUUCGUGACAUCGGGGACAAUGACCCCAACUGUCGUUGUUUUUUUGCUGGCCAGACCGCGGGCAACCGCAUUCGGCCUGUAAUCCAAACGUUCGAUGACUUCCAAAACCUUUUUCCUUGUGGAUGGCUUUACGUUGGGAUUACCGUUCACUACACGGGAAACAGUUGCCAUUGAGACGUUUGCUUCGCGAGCGACAUCAUAAAUUGUAAUCGUUUGUUUUUCCAUUUAUGUUGCUCCUAACUCUAAUUGUAUUUCAAUUUUUUAUUUACCAUCAUUCAACAUAAUGUUGUAAAUCUUGAUUGUUUUACAAGCUUAUAAAGAAUUUACCAUUGUUUCAUGAUAUAUGCAAGCGUUUUAUAAAAGUUUUCAUGAAAAUUUCACAUUGCAUUAUUCAAAAAUCGAACCCUAAUUAUAUGCUAUAAUACUAAAGAAAGGAAGGUGUGCUAUUAAAAAUGGCUCUUAAUAAAAUUAUCAAUUUGAUGAAAGAACAAGAUAUCGAUAUCGUUUUUCUCAACGAUCCCAAAAAUGUAUUUUAUGUUUCCUCAUACAUGAGCGACCCUCAUGAGAGAAUCUUGGCAGCUGUUCUGUUCCGGGACGAGAAGCCUUUACUGUUUGUCCCUGCACUGGAAGAAGGCGAUGCGCGGAAAACCGCCAAAGAAUUCGAUGUGUUCAGUUAUAUGGACACGCAAAAUCCUUGGGACGUGCUCGCAGCCAAAAUCAAGGAGCGCAAGACCGCGCUUUCGGAUUGGUCCAUCGAAAAAGAUUUUUUGACGGUUGAACGCAUGGAAGCUUUGCGUGUCCGUUUCCCUGCAGCAACUUUCCAACACAACAUCAGUGCUGCACUUCAGGAAAUGCGCCUGAUCAAAGACGAGCAGGAGCUGGCUUUCAUGAAGCAGGCGGGUUUCUGGGCGGAUGAGGCCAUCAAGAUAGGCGCCAAAACGCUCAAAGAGGGCAUCACCGAAAUGGAAGUCGUAGCCGAAAUCGAAUAUCAACUGAAAAAAAGAGGCGUAUCUGAAAUGAGUUUCGCGACGAUGGUAUUGUUUGGCGAAAAUGCAGCCAGCCCGCACGGUAUCCCUGGGGACACCAAACUCAAGAAGAACCAGUUUGUUCUGUUCGAUUUGGGGACCAUGCACGCAGGUUACGCCAGUGAUGUAACACGCACCCUCUUCUUUGGCGAUAAGCCUUCUGCGCAUCAAAAACAGAUUUAUGAUCUGGUGUUGGCGGCCCAUGAUCAGGCGAUGGCUGCGGUUCAGCCCGGCAUCAAAGCCAGCGAGCUGGAUGCCGUUGCGCGGACCAUCAUUGCGGAUGCCGGUUACGGAAGCUAUUUCAACCAUCGUUUGGGCCAUGGUUUGGGACAAGGUGUCCAUGAAUACCCGUCCAUCAUGGAAGGCAAUGAAAUGAACUUGAAUGUAGGCAUGUGCUUCUCCAUUGAGCCUGGCAUCUAUAUCGAAGGCGAUGUCGGGGUCAGGAUCGAAGAUUGCGGUUUUGUGAACGCCAACGGAUUCGAAUCGUUCACGCACACCCCCACUGAUAUCGGCGCUUAUUCGAAUCUGAUCGGGUAAAGCCGUGACGAGUGCGGUGGGUCACCCCGGCUGCAAACGCGUUCAGCCCGUUGCCACAUUUGCAUGUCAACGCAAAGAGAGCGGGACAGAACGCGUUUAGCUCCGGACCACUGGAGCGAAUAAGCGCAGAAUGGCUGCAGGCCAUUCGAGCAUUGUUCGUGAAGUGGAGCCAGGGGCUGCGUUCUGUCCCGCGUUUACGCACACUAUGUUCGGAUACAAAAAGAGACUGGGAGUUUAGUCCCAGCCUCUUUGCGUUCAGAGAUCUUCCACGCUGUCCUUGAGCUCUUCAAUCUUUUCUUCUACCGCGGAUUUCUUCUCUUCCGUUACGGCUGCGGCCUCUUCUUUGCCUUCCUCAGCAAUCACAGAGGCGAAUUCUUUUACGUCGGCAGCUUUCUCUUUGAUGUCGUCUUUUGCCUUCUUAAGGUCAUCUCCGACAUGUUUGGUUGUUUCGGAGAAUUGUGUUUUGAUGGAGGAUGUUGUAUCCUUCAGAUUGAUUUUGAUGUCUUCCGUCGUUUCUUUGGCAACGUCCAUGAACUCGUUGCCCUUUUCCACUGCGAUAUCAGCAUAAUCGCGCGCCGUAUCGAGAAGAUUGUUAACUUCCUCGGUUAUCUCAUCGCGCAACUCCUUGCCUGGUUUCGGCGCAAACAACAAAGCGGUAAUAGCCGCAGCCGCCCCACCGAUGAUCGCUCCCAAUACAAAUCCGCCUUUAUUUUUUGUCAUAAUCCUCAAGCUCCUUUUCUUUUAUGUAUCCUGUUCAGUAUGUUUUGAAUUUCGUGUCCUUCGAUUCUUUUUUGGAUUGACGCUGACGGGCCAUCGCCAUUGCCGUCCUUCCCAGCUUUCCGACAGUCGAGGAGCCUGCAACUCCCUUUGCGCCCUUCCCUCCGCCUUUAAGUGAUACAGCCAAAUUUCUGGUUGAUUGGUUCACAUCAGAGACCGUCACACCCAGAUCGCCGAUAGCGGUGAAUAAAGGAUCCGUCUUGCUGAUUUUGCCGUUCAGAUCAUCCACCAACGUAUUUGCCUUGUUCAGCAAGCCUUCCACUUCGAUCGAAAGAUGGUCGACGUCCUUCGUGAUGACUGCCAGGCUCUUGUUCGCUUCCUGGGUCACUUUUUCGACUUCGGCUAAGAUGUCCGUGACUUUCCUUAAUGCCAAGAUGAUGAAAACCACCAAUACCGCAAAAGCUAGCGCAGCAAUCAGAGCUGCAAUUUCACCAUAUCCCAUUAUUUGUACUCACUCCUUCUCGUUCAUACAGACAGCUGUCAAAGCAUUGUACGAAUUUUUAUAAGAUUUAUACUAUUUAUAAUAAAAUGAUACCAUAGUCAUUUCUGAUAUGCUAUUGAAACCCCUUUAAGUUCCACCUGAUUUACCCUUCGCGAAUCCCAAACCGGAAAGACAUGUUUUCUUCAACAAAAUGUAAACCUAUCUUCAUUUUCAUACCUUGGGUAAUUUGAUACAAUGGAAGCAGUUGUUCAGAAAUGAGGGAUUUUAAUGAUUGAUGCAAGCAUGCAAGACAGCGCUCUUGCGCAAGAUUUGAUAGAGGAGGUAGUGACGAAUCCGAACAUAUUCGUCAAAUGGUGGAACAGCAUCGCCUGGGAAGAAAUCGUGGGCCUAUUCAUUUCCAAAGGCAUCACCUUGCUUUUUUUGCUGCUCGUCUUUUUUGCCUUAAAGCGACUGUCCAGUUACGUGCUGCACCGCACCUUCGAAAAGCAAAUAUUGACGAAGCAUAUCACCCAAAACCGCGCCACAACCAUCCAUAAAAUAGCCGAAAACGGCUUGCGCUACAUUUUGUUUUUCUUUUUGAUCUACGGCAUCCUUUCCAUCAUGGGCGUGCCGAUCGCGACAUUGGUCGCCGGUGCUGGUCUUGCCGGUCUGGCCAUCGGACUUGGGGCUCAGCAAUUCAUCAAUGACAUCGUCAACGGAUUCUUCAUCAUCCUGGAAUCCCAAUUCGAUGUCGGGGAUCACGUCAUCAUCGGGGGCAUCGAUGGCACCGUCGUGAACGUAGGGUUGCGGACGACCCAGAUCAAGAGUUUCGACGGGACGCUGCAUUUUUUGCCGAACCAUACCAUCACGACAAUCAGCAAUAUGUCCCGGAAUGACAUGCGGGCGAUGAUCGAUAUCCUCAUUUUUCCGGAUACCGAUUUUGAUACAGUCGAUCAGGUCAUCCAUGCCGUGAAUAAACGGCUUGUGCCUGAACAUCCGGAGAUCGUCAAAGGGCCCAAUGUUGUGGGCAUUACCGACAAAGGCAACGGACAGCUUGCCUACCGGGUUGUGUUCUACACAUUGAACGGCCAGCAAUUCGCGAUCCAGAACUUGUUUCUGGGAAGCUACCGAUCCGCAUUGUUGGAAGCUGGCAUCCAGAUUCCGGCCAUGCCCUACACCGCACCGAAAGCCUAGGCAAAAAAGAGCUUCGCCGCCAAGAUACGAUUUGGCAGCGAAGCUCUUUUGUUAGUCUUUUUGAAAAGAACCGGAUACCGGAGGCUCGCCGGCUAUUUUUUGGCCGCCACUUCUUCCUUCUCGGCUAUCUUUUCCAGUUUAUAGAUGCGGUGGAUGCUGUGCGCCAAGUGAUUGACCCUCGUCAAAAUUUCUUUACGGGUGAUGAUGCCGAUGAAUGUGCCAUCGUCUUCCGUAACGCACAAAAAAUUGUGGUCGAUCAGAUCAUUCAAGAUAUCCUCAAGGUCCGUCCAAGGGCGGAUGGUUUGGACAGUUUUGUCCAUCACCUCUUCCACCGUGAUCGUUUCCAGACGAUCAUACCGGAUCGCAUCAAUCUCCGUGAUGGCCUUGAUGAUCAUCGGUAUCGAAAUCAACCCUUUGAUACGGGACUUCGAAUCCAAUACCGGGAUGACCGAAUACUUCACUUGCGACAACACAAGAAAUGCAUGGUUCAAGUUGUUCGAGCAGUGCACGUUGGCGACAUUUUCUGCAUGGAUCAUCAGUUCGCCGCACGCAUCAUUGUCGAGCAACAGCCCGGCUACUUCACUACUAAUCAUUAAUACGCCCUCCUAAAAGGUGUCUUCCAUCCCGCAAGCGUCCGAACAGCAAAAGCCUCGGGGUGUGAGCCGAUGCGGUCCGGUCAACCCCUUGCAUGUGAUCAAAAGAUUUGAAAUUGUUUUUCCAUUCCAGGCAUUUUCUGAUGCCGUUCAUUGUAGUAGGCCACUGUGAGGGUUUGCCCCUCAACAGUCGCCACACAAUAGGUCUUUUCCAUCAGCGUGCCCCGCGGCUGACUGAUGCUUCCGGGAUUGAUGAAGAUGAUGCCAUCCUCCUGUUCCGCUUUGACGAUAUGCGUAUGGCCGUAAAAAACCAGGACAGCACCUGCUUGCUCUGCCUCCCGUUUCAAACCGGCAACGGAACUCCUCACGGAAUGAUGGUGGCCGUGGACAACCAACACAUUCAGAUUUCCGGCCUGGAAGCGCAACGCUUCGGGAAACUGAUAAUCAUAAUCGCAAUUGCCCCUCACCGUGGACAUGACUCCCCAGAUCAGAUCGUCACUGCUCAAUUCCGAAUCGCCGCAGUGGACGAAGUGAUCAACCUUAUUCAGAUAGCGCGAAGCCAAUUCGUUCAGAAUCUCUUUGUUCCCGUGGCUAUCGCUGACAACCAGUAUCUUCAUCAUCUAGUCCGCAUCCUUUUCCAACCAAGCUGCCCAACUCUUUUCCAGAUUCUUAAGGGCAUUUGCACGGUGGCUGAUCUGAUUUUUCUCGAUGUCGCUCAAUUCCGCCAUCGUCUUGCCUAAUUGCGGCAAAUAGAAUAACGGGUCAUAACCGAAUCCAUUGUCUCCGCUCGGAAACUCCGCGAUUUCACCCGCGACAUCCCCUUCGACAACCAAACUUUCCCGAUCCGGAUGCGCCAACACUAAAGUACAGUGGAAGUGCGCCUUGCGGGAUGGAUUCUUCUGGGCACCAAGCAUGGCGAGAACCUUUGCGUUGUUGGCGGCAUCGCUUUUCGGCUCCCCGGCAAAGCGAGCAGAAAACACACCCGGCUGUCCAUCCAGGGCAUCGAUGCAAAUGCCCGAAUCGUCCGCCAAAACCGUCAUGCCCAAUAGAGCAGCGAUUGUUUCUGCCUUUUUGCGGGCAUUGGCUUCGAACGUAUAGCCAGUUUCCUCAACCUCUUCUAUUUCCGGAUAGUCCAGCAAGGUCACGACUUCGUAGCCUUUCGGUUCGAAAAGGACCGCAAAAUCUUUUGCUUUCCCUGGGUUUUUUGUCGCAAUGACAAUCUUCUUUUUUUUGUUUGUGUUCAUCGUAUCCCUCGUUUCUCGAUCUUACUCAGUUAUUUUCAAUCAAAUGGGCCAAUUCGACUUUUUCCACCGAAAAGCCGGCAUUGCCGAGCCAGCUUUCUGCGAUGUCCGAAAACAGUUUCGGCGAACCCGUUGUAUAGAAACGGUAAUCGGAGGCUGCUUUAUUGUGCGAACUUUCCGCCAAACGGAAGUAAUCCAGCAAGGUGCUCACUUCGGAGACCGUUUCGGCACCGGAGUCGAUCAGCGUCACCUCGGGGCCCAUCACAUUUUGGAUCAGCGGCGUCAGCAACGGGUAAUGCGUGCAGCCCAGAAUCAAGGUGUCGAUCGACUCCUUCAGCAAGGGUCGCAGCGUUUCCGCGACCACUUUUUUGGCGAUUGAUCCAUUGAAUUGGUUGCUUUCCACAAGCGGCACAAAUUUGGGACAGCUCAUGCUGAUGACCGAGAUGUUCUUGUCUUUGUCCUUGAUCGUUUUUUUGUAGACAUCGCUGUUGAUGGUUCCUUUUGUGCCGAUCACGGCAAUGCGCUCGUUUUUCGAAUGUUUGAUGGCUGCGCGGCUGCCGGGGUUGAUGACACCGAUGACCGGUAUGUCAACCCGCUCACGGAUGAUGUCAAGAGCGGCGGCAGUCGCUGUGUUGCAGGCGAUCACCAGCAUCUUGAUGUCUUUUUUCAGCAAAAACUGUGUCAUUUCCCAUGUGUAUUGAAUCACUUCUUCUUUGGGCCUAGGUCCAUAGGGGCAUCUGGCGGAAUCACCCAGGUAAUAAAUCGAUUCAUUGGGAAGUUGUUUCAUUGCCUGUUUCACGACUGUCAGCCCGCCGACACCCGAGUCAAUAAAACCGAUUGCUUUUUUACUCAUGCAGUUACUUCCUUUGUUUUGUUUUCAUACCUCUAUUUUACCUUAAGAUGCACCGAUUUGGUGAAAAUGAGGCAAAUUUCAUGCUGACAUGCUUCACUUUUGCGGAAGUUGCAACCAUUGGUUCUGUGCAGCGGCUUCGAAUAUUGGCCGUCCCCAUUUAUUUGUGCUACAAUGGUUUCAAUUUCAGGGCAGCAUUUUCUGUUCUGUUGCGGCUCCCUUCGCAUCACGGGAUGCCAAUCUGGUAAAGGAGUGGGAUCAUAGAUGAGUCAUCAGUCGAUCAUCACAGUCGUGGAUAAGGGCCUGAUCGACCGCGUGUCCGAAAGUGCGCGGGGCGGAGAAUCCUACUGCGGCACCGUGAUUGCCGGCCGCGGAUCCGGCUUGCACGAAAACAAGAAACUGUUCAACCUGGCAUUGGAACCGGAAAAGGAAAUUCUCCUGUUGUUGACCCAAGCGGAGCAGUCCGAAAAAAUCAUCAACCGGAUUGAAGAGGCGGUGAACAUCACCGCUCCCGGGAACGGUAUUCUUUUUGGCAUCAACCUCAAGAGAGUCCGUGGCCUUUCUGGUUAGGACAAAGGAAACUCGUUAUACCGCGACCGGCGGCAUAACGAGUUUUCUUUUUUCCCGGAUGGGGCAGACCGGUUCAACCGUUCAGUAAACGGCGCUGCUCCUCUUCUUUUUUCCAAUCCGAAAUGUAUUUAAAAACCGGAACCAACAGCAGGAUCAGUCCCAAAACUUUUUUGGCAGUCCACAUAAACAUCUUCCUUUCGCAAAAAAAUAUCAGGUUUCUUAUCCCUAUUAUGCCUGAUGUGGGAAAAAAACGCCAUUGAUAGGCUCCACCUGAAAAUAGUCUCUAUCCACCACUGAAAAUACGUGUAUAAUGAAGUGUAACUUUAAGGGGGGAAAUCCAAUUGAAUCCUGAAAAUGAAAAUGCCCGCAUCAUCGAUAACGAACAUUUUUCCUAUUUGUUGAUACGGGAUUACCUUCUGGGGAACAUACUGGGCGAACACACCGAUGAAAUAUUGUAUUGGGCCGGCAAGGAUUUGGCUCGGCAAUUCCCGCUGAAAAGCCAGGCAGAUCUGUAUGAAGCGAUGAUCUAUUGCGGAUUCGGACAGCUGGAACUGAUCAAAAAAGAAAAAAAUGCGCAACAAUACCGUCUGGAAAGCGAUCUGGUCACAGUCCGCACCCAAAACGAACAGGCCUCCUUCCAACUGGAAGCAGGAUUUUUAGCGCAGCAGAUCCAGAUGACGACCGGUCUCCCAUGUGAAGCAAAAGCAGAAAUCAUGAUCGGAAAAGACAAAAAGAAAGAAGUCAUCAUCACGUUGUUCAUCGAAUAAGCCUGAACGCACAAGCAUCACAGCGGCUAAUUGCCGAGAUGCUUGUGCGUUUUUUUGGAGAGCUGCUCGGCUUGCGUGUUCAUCGACGAAAGCCGUCUUGGCCGGAGGUGCAAACCCGCUGCGGUCGCUCUUCUCAGACCAGAUGCUUGUCGUUGACAACCUGCCCUUCACCAGGGCUCCCAACAAAAAAAGAGUUGCCGCCGCCUGGAAAUGCUGGGCAGCAGCAACUCGUUCUUCUUGUUUAGAUAUACUUUUCAAGCUUGUCCUCAAGCAUUUCUUUCGCAUGAUAGCCGACCAAUUUUUCCACGACUUCCCCGUCUUUUUUGAUCAAGAGCGUCGGGAUGCCCAUGAUGCCGAAUUGGCUUGGGGUUUGCGGGUUAGCAUCCACGUCCAUUUUCGCGAACGUCACUUUGUCGCCUAUUUCCUCAUCCAAUUCAUCGAUGAUCGGGGAUUGCAUCCGGCAUGGUCCGCACCACGUUGCCCAGAAAUCAACCAAGACGACCCCGUUCUUUGUUUCUGUUUCAAAGUUUGCAUCCGUUAAUAUUUUUACCAUUGUAUUUUCUCCCUUCCAGCUGUUUCAUCAUGUCUCAAUUAUAGCAGAGGUUGUGCUUCGCACCAAUCAAUCUGCUCAGCCGCGGAAGGUUACGAUUGUCGCGCCGUUUCCGCCUGCAUUCACCGGUGCAUACUCAUAGGACAGCACCUGCGGAUGGCGCUUCAGCAAAUCGCCCACCCCUUUGCGCAAGGCACCUGUUCCUUUCCCGUGAACGAUGGUGACUUGCGGAUAGCCUGCCAAUAAAGCGGCAUCCAAAUACUGAUCGACUUCAGCCAAGGCUUCUUCGUAGCGCUUGCCUCUGAGAUCAAGCUGCGUCGCCACAUGGCUGGAUGAAGCGGAUUUGACCGUGGCGAUCUGCCGUUGCCGCUUUUGCUGCUGCGGCUCUUCCUUGAUCAGCCUGAGGUCCGCUUCCGGCAGUUUCAUCUUCAUGAUUCCCAUCUGCACAACCCAUUCGCCAUUGCCUUUUUUCUCGAUAAGCGUACCGCGCUGGCCGUACGUCUCAGUGAUGACUUCAUCGCCCGGCUUCAGCAUCUUUUUCUCUUUUUCUUUGCGCAGCACUUUGUUUUUGGCCAAGGAUUCCUCCUGGCGCAGAUCGUUGAACUGCUUGCGCAGAUCGAUCAGCUCGUGCUCCUUGAUGCUGCCCGAUGUCCCCAUGUUCAGCUGCAUUUCGCGGAUUUCCUGCAACAGAAAUUCCGCUUCUUCUUUCGCCGUAUCGACCAAUUUGUUGACCUCUUUUUUGGCAUCCUCGAUUAUCUUUUCCUUGCUGGUUUCCAGUUUUUCGUUGGCGCGCUUGAGAUCAGCCAGCAGUUUAUCCGAUUCCUUUAAUUGCGCUUCUAGGCGAAGUGCUUCUUUUUCGGUGGCGCGUCUCUUCUGUUCCAGGUCUGCGAUCAUUUCGUUCAGAUUUUGGCUGUCCACAUCAAUGAAGCUGCGGGCUUGAUCGAUGAUGCCGGGCUUCAGUCCGAGCCGUUUCGAAAUAUCGAAGGCAUUGCUUCGGCCCGGAACGCCUAUCUGCAAGCGAUAAGUCGGCGCUAACGUUUCUCCGUUGAACUCCAUGCUGGCAUUGAUCGUUCCGGAGCGGUUAUAGCCGUAUGCCUUCAGUUCGGGAUAGUGCGUUGUGGCCAUCACAUAGCUGCCGAUACCGCCGAUGUAGUCCAGGAUCGAAAUGGCAAGCGAGGCCCCUUCCUGCGGAUCCGUACCGGAACCCAAUUCAUCCAAAAGCACCAGACUUUUGUCGUCGAUCUGGUUCAGGAUCGAAACGAUGUUGGUCAUGUGCGAAGAAAAAGUGCUCAGGCUCUGUUCGAUUGAUUGCUCAUCGCCGAUGUCGGCAAAAAUUUCCGUAAAAAUACCGAUUUGGCUAUCUUCAUCCGCCGGUAUCUGCAGCCCGGACUGACCCAUCAUUUGGAUGAUCCCGAGGGUUUUCAGCAUGAUCGUCUUCCCGCCCGUAUUCGGACCGGUAAUGACGAUGGCUUGAUAUUCUUCGCCAAGGAUCAGAUCAUUCGCGACGACGGCAUUCUGGUCGAUGAGCGGAUGUCUGGCUUUCCAGAUGGCGAUGUGAUUCUCCUUGCUGAUGAUCGGACGGGUCGCUUUCAGGGAAUCGGCAUAGCGCGCUUUGGCAUUGAUGAAAUCCAAAGUCGCCAGCACUUCGCUGUUAGCAUACAGUUCCUGCGUGAAGGGUUCGAUUUCCAUCGACAAUUCAUACAGGAUCCGUUCGAUUUCCGCUUUUUCUUGGGCAGCCAACUGGCGCAGAUGAUUAUUCAGGUCCAGGAUAGCUUGCGGCUCGAUAUAAAGCGUCUGACCGGUUGAACUUUGGUCAUGGACGAUGCCGCCGAAUUGAUUGCGGUAUUCGACUUUGACCGGAAUCACAAAACGGUCGUUGCGGAUCGUGAUGAUGGCGUCGCUCAAAUAAGCUGCUUUGCUUCUGAUGGUAUCAUCCAGUUUGGUCCGGAUAUUUUGCUCGCCUUGCUUGAUUCCGGUCCGGAUCCCUUUCAAUGCGGGAGAAGCAUCAUUCUGGAUCGAACCAUCCUCAUGGACCGUCGCUUGGAUCCGUCUUGUGAUUUCAGGCAAGACGACCAGCCUGUCCACCAAUUCAUCCAGGGCAAAGAAUGUGAUUUCGUUGUCUUCGAACCAUUGGAAGAAUUGGAUGAUUUCCCUCGUUGUCGAUAGUACCCGCCCGAUUUCGGCGAUUUCUUUGCCGUUCAAAGUGCCGCCUAUCUCAAGACGCUUCAGAUGGCUGCGGAUGGAUUUCAGUCUUGGCAUCGGUAUGCCGCCCUUCAGGCGCAGUACCUUCCUGCCAUCCUCCGUUUCAUUCUGCAAAGCAGUGACUUUUUCCGGAUCGGUUUCAGGCCGCAAUGCCUGAAUCUGAUCCUUCCCUUGGUCAGUUGCCGCAAAAUUUUGGAGUUGUUGUUUGAUUUUUUCGAACUCUAACGUUUUUCCUAUUUUAUUAUUCAUCGGAUUCUCCUAAAAAAUGCUUCUCCAAAAAAAGCGGGACGAUACAGCACAACACUGUACGCUCCCUCUUGUUUAACUGACGACCUUUACUGAAUGAUGCCGAUCCACCAGUCGUAGAUCAAAUGCGAAAAAUAAGGUGUCUCGGAUACCAUCCAAGCUGCAAGGUCGCUUUCGACAUAAAGUUGUUGGACGAAAUCCAGCGGAAUCAUGGAUGCAAGCGUCAACAGCAGGAAGAUCCCGAUAUAUUGCAUCAGGAAUCCGAGCACGCCCCCGCCCAGCUGAUUCAGCUGCUUGAUGAUCGGGAAAAAUGCCAACGAGUUCAGCAUACUCCCGAUAAAUCUCGUGACGAGCCAGCCCGCGAACAACAGCAGCACAAAUGCCAGUCCGUUGUAAAACGCCUGAUCCAGUACGAAGGACACCUGUUCAGAGUAAAACAGCAAUUCUUUGCCGAACUCGACCGAUGGAUACGGCACCAGCAGAUCGAUUUUUUCCGCAACGACGGCAUAGUAUUCUCUGGCGACCAAGAAAGAAAUGAAAUAUCCCACAGUGUAGACAACUUGCAGAAUAAGUCCCCUUCUGACGCCUGUAUAGAUGCCCCACAAUAAGGCGAGCACUAUGAGCAACGUAAGCAUUUUUUCACCCGAUUUCUACAGUCUUGUUGUUAUUUACUACUUUUAUCGUCCGCUUUGUUUUUCGCAAACGGCGGGAUGGUCGUUUCGGCAUUUCGGUUUACGCCCAGUGCAGAACGCACUUGGUUUCUGUGCUGUGCCCGCUUCAAUGCCGCCUCGGAGGCGGUUGUCGGCUUCGAUAAUUUUGAAUUGGAUUUUCUGGCCGGCAGUUCGUUUGCGGCACGGGCAGCCUGCUGCAGUUCGCUGAUUGUGGCAGGCAUUGAAGCGACGACCCGCUGAUCCUGUUUGCCUUCGCCGGACGAAUCGUUCCUGGAGGCUUGUUCUUCAGAUGGCGCUGCCUCAGGGGGAGUUUUCGCCGCUGACUCGCCUUCUUCCGCUUCGGCAGCAGAAUGAGUUGCGUCGCCGGAUUCUGCCGGCUUUUGCUCCGCUUCCGUUGUGCCUUCCGCAGUUUCCGGAACAGCAGUCGGUUCUGCCGAAGCUUCGCUUUCCUGCAACGCCUUCUCCAACAUCGCCACUUUUUGCAGCAGCUCCUCGAUUUCAAGCUGCUUCGUGAGCUGAUCGGAAAUGGCGUUCACAGCCACAAGAAUGCCGCGCUCUUCCCGACCCAAUGCCGGUGCGGCUUCUUUGAUCUGUUCCAAUUGCGCAUUGACCAAUUCCGAGACCGCAGUCAAAUGCUCGGGUGCUUUAUUUCCUACAAUCGUAUAGGUCUUUCCUGCUAUGAUUGUUUUGAAUCUUCUUUUGUUUUCUGUCAUAUUCAAAGACCUCCAUUUAAAAACUGUCUAGUAUAUUCUAACAUAAAUUCGCUGAAUUGCAGUAUAAACCUCCGCGUCUUCUCCAAUCCGAUCCCGUUGCCUAGCCCUGUCGGGACGACUCGAUGCACAUUUACUCGUGAACAAGGGAACUUGCUGUGAUAGAAUGAAGGUUCCCAACGCCGAUCAGGUGUAAAGAAAAAUCAAAUUGAGCAAGGAUGAGAAUAUGUCGAAUGUCGUAUUGAAAGUGACUACGGGUCAACUGAAAAAGAUGGCCGUCUUUUAUCAGGAUUACGUUGUGAAGCCCGUACCCUACAGCCUUUUCACAGCCAAAAAGAACUUGACCACAAUCACCGGAUACAAUUCCGGAAAGGUGCUGUUCCAGGGUCAAAACGCCGCCAGCGAAGCAGCGCAAUGGCAAUCGCCCAGCGCGCAGGCAGCGGAUCAAAAAGCUUCGGUCAAAAAAAGCAGCCUUAAAAAAGAGUCCCCAAGCAAAUCCGGCCUCCCGGCAGGCUUUUCCGGUUGGUCCGUCAUCGGCAGCGAUGAAGUCGGCAACGGUAGCUAUUUCGGUCCGUUGACGGUCUGUGCUGUUUACGCGUCCGCCGAGCAAUUGCCGUUGCUGCAAAAGUUGGGCGUUCAGGACUCAAAGGCGCUGACGGAUGCCCGCAUCAUCACCAUUGCGAAGCAAUUAUUGCGGCAAGUCCCGCACAGCGUCAUCAACUUGAUGCCCGAAAAGUACAAUGAGGUCCAGCCGACCAUGUCCCAAGGCAAAAUGAAAGCCUUGCUGCAUAACCAGGUCCUCGAUCAGCUUUUGAGGAAAAUAGCUCCGGAAAAGCCGAAAGCGAUUCUGGUCGAUCAGUUCGAGUUGCCUUCGACCUAUUUUAAGCAUAUUUCCGACCAAAAAGUGCAGGUGAAGGAGAAUCUGCAUUUCCAGACAAAAGGCGAAUCUCACCAUCUUGCGGUUGCGGCGGCUUCCAUCAUCGCCCGUUACUACUUUCUGAAGACUUUGGAUGAAAUGGCUGUUGUGUCAGGAUAUCCGAUCCCGUCCGGCGCCGGCGCCAAUGUCGAUCUGGUCGCCGCGGAGAUGUACCGUCAAGGUGGUUUGGAACUGUUGGGCAAAUACACGAAACUGCACUUCGCCAACACCCAAAAAGCCAUCCGGCUGGCAAAAAUAUAGCUUUUUGGCAUGUCGUACGGCGGAUCCGACUGUGAGCUCCGGUGAAUGGGGGCUUUGCCGGAACCGAGAGCUGUUUCCGCAUUUCACCUCCGGCUGCCAAGCCCAACCCCGGCGCUGAUUACGCUUAAACAAAGAGUGGACUGCCUCUUUACGAGACAGCCCACUCUUUGUUUGCAUAUUAUUCUUAACGGAUGGCGGCGCCGCAUUCCGUUUCGAGAGCCGAAACCAAUUUGGCGAAGGCUUUAUUGAUGUCCUCGUCGACAAGCGUCGCUUCAGGAUUAAGGAAUGACAUGGAGUAAGCGACCGACUUUUUGCCGUCCUCGAUGCCUUUGCCCUGAUAAAUGUCGAACAGGUGAACGGCCUUCAGGAACUUCCCGCCGUUCUCCUUGAUGGUUUUGACGAUCUGUUGGUGGGUGACCGUUUCAUCCACCAACAAAGCCACAUCACGGGUCACGCCAGGGAAUUUAGGGAUUGGCUGUUGCGUGAUCACUUCCUUCGGUGCGGCGAUGAUCGCUUCAAAAUCGAUUUCGAAGGCAUAGGUUUCCUUCAGGUCAUAUGCGUUCGCUGUUGCCGGAUGGAUCUGCCCGACAUACCCGAUAUAGGCAUCUCCCAAAUAAACAGCGGCCGUUCUGCCCGGAUGCAUCCAUUUCAGGUCUUUGGCAGCUUCGAAACGGAUCUGAUCGCUCAGGCCCAUCGUCUCGAAAUACCCGUCCAAUACCCCUUUGGCAUGGUAGAAAUUGACUGGUUCAGCAGCCAUCUGCCAAUCUUUUUGGCAGGCCAUCCCUGUCAUCACACCAGCCAGACGUUCUGCUUCAAUCGGCAAUACGCGAGCUGACGACGGGAAGAACACCCGACCGAUUUCGUAAAAUUGGAUAUCGGAGUUCUUGCGGGCAACGUUGUAAGCAGCAUUGUCCAACAAGGUGCUCAGCAAGUUCAUCCGCAAUGUGCUGCGGUCUUCGCUCAUUGGCCAAGCCAAGCGGAUGCCUUCCUUGUCUUCGACUGCAUAUUCUUUCGCUUUUUCGGCUGUGGUCAGAACGUAGCUGAUGUUUUGGGUCAGUCCCGCGCCUUCCAUGAAUCUUCUGGUGAUGCGCAUCGUGUGUUGCUUCGGCGUCAAUGCUGUCGGCACAGCCGGCGUGAUCGGCAAGGUUUCCGGAAGGUUAUCGUAUCCGUAGAUGCGUGCGACUUCCUCGAGGAUGUCCGCAUAGAUGGAAAUAUCCCAUCUUCUCGGCGGCACCGAGACAGUGAACGUUUUGCCGUCGAAGGACGAUGCAAAGCCCAACUGGUUGAAGAUGGCAGUCACUUCUUCGCUGGAAACGGCAGUGCCUAAUGAACGGUUGAUUUUUUCCAAAGUGAUGGCUACCUGCGUGUCCUUCACUUCCACCGUAUCGACGGAAGCCGUGCCCUCGACGAUCGUGCCUCCAGCCAACUCAUGGAUCAAUUCAGCGGCAUGUUGUCCGGCCGUGAUGAUCGUCGCGACGUUGAUGCCUUUUUCGAAACGGGAACUGGAUUCGCUGCGCAAGUUGAAUUUCCCUGCAGUCUUGCGGAUCGAAACCGGAUUGAACAAAGCAGCCUCCAGAGCAACCGUAACGGUCGCGUCCGUGAUUUCUGAAUCAAGUCCACCCAUGACGCCGGCUAGCGCAAUCGGGGCCGUGCCGUUCGUGAUGACGAUGUUUUCCGGAUCCAACGUCCGUUCGACUCCAUCGAGAGUCGUCAAUGUUUCAUUCGCUUUGGCGCGACGGACGAUGAUUUCCUUGGAACCGAUCUGAUCAUAGUCGAACGCAUGCAAAGGCUGCCCGUAUUCCAAAAGAAUGUAGUUUGUGAUAUCGACCACGUUGUUGAUCGGACGGAUGCCGCCAUUCAUCAGCUUAUUCUGAAGCCAAAGCGGGCUCUCAGCGAUUUUGACAUCUUUUAUCACUUGGAUAUGAUAAGCAGGCGCAUCGGCUGUGUCCUCAACGGCAACCUUGAUAUAAUCCGCAACAGAACCGGUCUUUUCGGAGACAGGUGCAGCCGGGAAUUGCAAAGGCUUGUUGUAGAUGGCUGCGACUUCAUGGGCGGAUCCGCGCAUGCUAAAUGCAUCAGCGCGGUUCGGUGUGAUGUCGAUGUCCAGGAUUGCAUCGUCCAGUCCCAACAAUUCAACAACUUCCGCCCCGGGAACUGCUUCAGCCGGCAGGACGAAAAUCCCGUCCGCAUACUUUUUCGGCACAACACUUUCCGGAUAGCCCAAUUCAGCCAAGGAACAGAUCAUCCCAUGCGAUUCCUGGCCGCGCAUCUUGCCUUUUUUGAUUUUCGCAUUGCCGGUGAUCCGUGCGCCGUGCAAAGCCACGAUGACUUUUUGGCCGGCAGCCACAUUCGGUGCACCACAGACGAUCUGGAUCGGUUCCUCAGCUCCGACAUUCACUUGGCAGACAUGCAGAUGAUCCGAAUCAGGAUGAUCGAUCACGGACAACGUUUCGCCGACAACGAUUUUGGACAAACCUUUGCCGGGAUAGAUAACGUCAUCGACCUCAAUCCCUGUGCGGGACAUUUUUUCAGCCAACUCAUCGGGUGUUACAUCGGAUAAAUCCAGAUACUCUUUUAACCAUUUAUAGGAAACUUUCAUCAUAUUACUCCUUUACAUCAAAUUGACUUAAGAAUCGGAUGUCGUUCUGAUAGAAAUGACGGAUAUCAUCGACUCCAUAUUUCAACAUCGCUACUCGCUCUUGCCCCAGUCCGAAAGCAAAACCGGAAUAUUUCGUGGAGUCGAUCCCGGACAUUUCCAGCACGUUCGGAUGCACGACGCCGGAUCCCAGAAUUUCGAUCCAACCGGUUUGUUUGCAGACGUUGCAGCCAGAGCCACCGCAUUUGAAGCAGCUGACAUCGACCUCGACGGAAGGUUCCGUGAACGGGAAAUAGCUCGGACGCAAACGGAUUUCACGUUCUUCACCGAACAGUUUCUUGGCAAAGACGGCCAGUGUGCCUUUCAGAUCGGCCAAAGUGAUGUUCUCGCCGAUGACCAAACCUUCGAUUUGGUGGAAUUGGUGCGAAUGGGUCGCGUCAUCGCUGUCGCGGCGAUAGACUUUUCCCGGGCUGAUCAUUUUCAACGGCCCUUUGGAAAAGUCGUGCUUUUCCAUCGUACGCGCUUGGACCGGCGAAGUGUGCGUGCGCAACAACAACUCAUCGGUGAUAUAGAAAGUGUCCUGCAUGUCGCGGGCAGGAUGGUCUUUAGGAAGAUUCAUCUUUUCGAAAUUGUAGCUGUCUUGCUCCACUUCCGGUCCGUCCACAAUCUUGUAGCCCAUCCCCAGGAACAGGUCUUCGAUUUCUUCAUUGAUCUGCGUCAGCACAUGCGUCGUGCCCUGGGCGAUCUUUUUGCCCGGCAAAGUGACAUCGAUCGUUUCGGCCGCAAUUUCGGCUUCCAUUUUCUUGAUUUCAAGAGCUUCCUUUUUGUCUUGGAUUGCGGCUUCGAUGUCAUCGCGCAAUUCAUUCGCCAAAGUUCCGAUGACCGGGCGUUCUUCCGGGCUCAGAUCCUUCAUCCCUCUCAAAGCCUCUGUGAUUGGCCCUUUUUUCCCCAAGUAGGAAAUGCGGACUUGGUUCAAUGCCUGCAGAUCCGCUGCAGAUUCGACUUGCUGUAUGGCAUCUAUUCGUAACGCUUGUAAUUUUGCUUUCAAUUCCAUGUUCAAUCCCCUUUUCAUUAAAAAUGCAAAAAAAUCCCGUCCCUGGUAAGGGACGAGAUUUUCGUGGUACCACCCUUGUUUCGUUGCAGGCAACGACACUUCAUUUGUUUAACGGUAAUAAACCGGAACUUUAUUCAUUGCGCGGGGCAAAUCCCAAAGUCAGCUCAGGGAGUGAAAAACACGAUCGGCUUCUAUAAAGGCUCGCAGUCAUUGGCCAAUAUUCCCUGAAAAAAGCUGCAGAUCGUGAAGGUUCCCUUCAACGCUUUUCGUAUUCAUUUAGCAUACUCCAUCAGUUUACCCAGAAAUGCCUUUCCCGUCAAGUUCGGAUUCAGACCCAAGCGUCAGACCAAUUUUGGAUUUCCACCAUCACAUUGUUCAACGCUUUCCCUUUUUCGGACAAUCCGUACAUCACUUUGAUUGCUGCCGCGGGGUUUUCGGUUCUCACCACAAUUUUUUCAUCUUCCAGCUCUUUUAAGCGUUCAACUAAUACUCGAUCACUGACAUUAGGUAUUUGCACGGCCAAUUCCUUGAAACGUUUAUCUCCGUCCAUCAAGACUUCGAUGAUUAAGCCGGUCCAUUUUUUCCCUAAAAUAGAGAAUGUUUUUUCAAACUUUGGACAAAUACAUUUUUUUACUUCCAGCAUUUCAUUCACAGCCUUCACCUCUUUGACCUAUUAUAAACACCCACAUUUCCCCUGUCAAAGGGAAUGUGCCUUUUGUCACAAAAAGUUUACAAAAAGUAAGCAUUUCGAUCCGUGGCCCGCAACAGCCGCAGCAUUCCCUCAAGGUAAUGCUUUAAGGCGCCAAUCCCUUCCGUCCGAUAAAGAUAAAGGCAUUGGUUAGGAAGGAAAGAACCCGACAGCCGGAUUGCAGGCAUACAAAAAGUUCAUGUCUGUUUCCUAUAAUAGGAUAGGAAUUUCACAAAGGCAAUACUUUUUCACAUCUUUUCAAGAAAAUCCUCCUGAAAAGACUGUUUCUUCAGCCAACGAAGUGAUAAAGCAAGAUGCCCGCCGCCACCGCGACAUUCAAGGACUCGGCUUCGCCGAAUAUCGGGAUAUACAGGUUCAGAUCCGUCAGAGCGAGUAUUUCUUUUGAGACGCCAUUCCCUUCGUUGCCAAGAACCACGGCAACAGCCUCCGUUGGGGAGACGGUCCGGUAAUCGACAGCCGCUUCAUUCAGUUCGGUCCCAUAGACCGGGAUACCAUUCCGCUUCAAUUCCGGAAUCAGCUGCUGCAGGUCGCCCCGGUGGACGGCCAGAUGAAAAUGGCUACCUUGCAUGGAGCGCAGCACUUUGUCGUUGUAAAAAUCCACUGAUCCUUCUCCCAGAAAGACUCCAGCAUAUCCAGCCGCAUCAGCAGUCCGGAUGAUCGUUCCGACAUUGCCCGGAUCCUGUACCUGAUCGAGCAGAAUAUACUUGCCUUUGUAGUCCAGAACCGGCGUCGUUCCGGGAAUCCGGACGACUGCAACGACUCCUUGCGGUGUUUCGGUCUGCGCCAGACUGGCAAGGAUUUCCGGAGAAACGAGAAUGAUCUGUUCGUCCGCAAGCUGAAGAUCCGACUGUUGAUAGAAAGUUUCUGUCAUGAUGACAUCCUGGAUCUGCGCUUCAGCUUUGAUGGCCUCUUUCAGAAGGUGUGUUCCUUCGAUCAGAUAAACUCCCGCUUCUUUUCGCCCUUUCGCGGUCUGCAGUUUUUUCCAUUGUUUGACUUUCUGGUUCUUCAUCGAUAGAAUUUUUUCCAUUUGGUACCCCCACAGUUCAACAUAUUUUCAUUAUACUCCAUAAAGUUUGACCUUUUCAUAAAAAGACAGAAAAAAAGAGAUUGGGGACUCCCAACCUCUUCGAAUAGUUAAAAAUACUAACCGCCUAUAUAAGUAAGUGGAUCAACUAAUCCGCCAUUUUCUUGAACUUCGAAAUGGAGAUGGACCCCGGUCGAAUCGCCGGUUGUUCCCAUUAUUCCUAUCUGUUGGCCUUGGCUGACGGUUUGCCCAGGCGCUACCAAUAACCCUGGUUGCAUGUGGGCAUAUAGAGUUUUGACGUUUACACCAUUGAUCGUACCGUGGUUGAUGACGACAUAAUAACCGUAACUUGCGUGAUAGGUAGCUGUCUCUACAGUACCGGAUUGAGCAGCCGAAAUGGCUCCACUACCCGCAAUGUCUUGCCCUCUAUGCAAUUCAUAGCCGCCGGUUAUUGGUGAUAGACGAUAUCCGAACGGAGAUGAAUAGUAUCCACUGGCUGGCUUAAUGAAACCACUUGAGUUUACCGUAUAACUGCUGGAUGCAGUCGUAGUCGGUGCUGCUGAUGCUGUCAGGUUAUUGGCGGCUGUUGCUGCAGCUGCUGCGAUGGCGGCUGCUUCAGCUUCUGCUGCCGCGGCGGCUUCGGCGGCGAUGCGUGCUUGUUCCGCUGCCAUGUCAUUGCUGAUGGAUUCUGUCUGGGCAGCCAAGUCAGCUUUGGUUGCUUCCAGGCCAUUUUUCUCAGUUUCAGUCAAUUCGUAGUUUUCGAUGACCUGUGCGAUCUGCACAUCGAUUUCGGCUUUCUGGGCGACAACGUUGUUUUUGGAAACCAAAAUGUCUUGUCUCAAUGCCUCAGCAGCGAGCUUUUCCUCUUCAACAGCCACUUUGCUGUCUUCAACUUGUUUUUGAUCUGCUUCCUGUUGUUCCACAAUAUCCUUGUUGGCAGUCACAAUCUUUGAAACGACCGUGAUUUUGCCGACCAAGUCGGAAAAAUUUUCGGAAGACAACAGUAUUGAAGCUAUAUUCGUAACGCCCGCAUCCGUCUGGAUAUAGCGAGCUUGCGUAUUCAAUUUUUCGGUCCUUUGGUCAAUGACCACUUGUAAGGCAUCGAUUUCCGCUUGCAGUUCCAAAAUUUUGGAUUCGAUGGCAGCUAGUUUUUGUUCUUGGUUCGCUAGUCGGGUCAUCAAUUCAUCCAAUUGCGAUUGCAGUUCGUUUACUUUCGUUUCCAGAUUUGUUUUUUCGGAUUCCAAAGUAUGCAAUGAAUUUGUUUUUUCGUCAAUCUGCGAUUGAAUCGUGUUUGAUUCUGAUUGCAGAGCAUCUUUUUGUUGUUGCAAUUCUUCCAAUGUAGCCGCUUGAGCAGUAAAUCCACCUGCGAUCGGACUAAGCAAUAAGAUUGAUGAGAACAACGCGAUAUGUUUUUUUCCCAAUGAUACUUCUCCUCCUGUUUCUUCUACGCAUUGAAGUAUAUCAAAGUUAAAAUACCAUUGCAUGAUAGAAAUAUGACAAUUGUAUUUCAAUUUGUUACGAAAAGGAAAAAAACGCGAAACUUUGUUCAAUCAUCCACAACGCCUUAGGAAGACAGCCCCCAUUUGAUUGCGCGCGCUUUCAGCGCUAUACUUAGACUGUGCCAAGCAACCAUCCGUCCGUCGCUCAGCAGGAAAGAAAGGGGCAAAUAAGCAUGAAAAUCGAUCAAAAAAAUCUGCAUAAACCGGGUACAGAUAACCUUCCUCCUGGUGUCUACAAAGAAGUCGGCCCUAGAGGAGGAAAAAUAACAGGAAGUAAGGAAGUCCACAUCGCAGAAGGACACAGGCUUCCGCCCACAAAUAAAGCCGGAAACAAAUGGAUCAAAAAAGACUGAUUAUUCGUUUGUAUCUGAUCACUUGAACGUUUCAGGGCGGAGGAAACUUGGAUUCACUUCAGAAAAGGACCGUGCAGCAUUACGAGCGGAACGGUCCUUUUGAUUAGUGAUGGUUUUAUUUUGCUAACAGCUCUUUGAUGAUUUUGGAGACAAGUGCUUUAUCGGCUUUUCCGUCCAACACUGGCAUCGAAAACUUCAUAGCGUCCUUCAACGGCAUAUCGGCUACCCCAUUUUCGGCCAAAAAGAAACGGACUUCCUUUUCGUCCAUCAUUUUGGGGACAUAACCCUCAAGGAUGGCCAAUUUUUUCUGGUUCUCUUCAAUCAGAUCCGUGCGGUCGACCUGUUUCGCAUAGGCGAUUGUUUCAUUCGUCUUCUUGAUGUCCUUCAGAAAAACAUGAAUUUCUUCUGCUUCAGUCAUUUCGCGUUUGUUGUCGAUCAGGAAAGAAUCGUACUCCGUUUUGAUGAGGCGCAGGACGUCCGCCUUCAGUGUAUCCUUGUCUUUCCUUGCCUGGAUGAAGUCCUUGUUUACUUUUUCUUUCAUUGUCAUGCUUACAGGCUCCUUUCGAUUCUCAGUAUGGCUGCCUCACGCUUGAUCCGAUUCAAACAGCAGCCCUUACCCUUUAUUCUAGGGAAAAGAAACAGAAUAGGCAAAUCUCUUCUCCUAAUUCCAGCUUUUGAUUGGGCAAAACUCUACCGCCAUGCUGUUUCUGGCGUUUUAAGGGUGUACGCAGUACAAUGAGGCAAAGAAAGUCGUUUUUGAGCAGAUGCCGUUUUCCCAUUCGCAGGAGAGGGUGAGCAUAUGGCUAAUUUUUGGACUUUUGAAUCAGACUUGCCAAGCGGGAUCGGCGUCGAAACCUUCAGUUCGGCUCAUCUUGCCUUGCUUGUCCUGUCUGCGAGCAUCCUCCUUUCCACCAUCUUGCUUUAUCGCAAGCAGCCCGAGCGGAAUCGGAGAAACAUGAAGAUCAUCAUCGCCGCCCUGUUGAUGUUGCUUUAUUUUUCGCGAUGGGUGUGGUGUGCCUUCUUCGGCGAUUUUUACUUCUUUAUCAGCAUGAUGCUUCCUCUGCACCUCUGCAGCGUAUCGGCGAUAGUUGGGACAGCCGCCGUUUUUUCAAAUAAUCGGCUUCUGAAGGAGUUUUCGUACGGCAUCGGUUUGCCGGGCGGAUUGGUCGCCCUGGCAAACCCCAAUCUGGGCCCUUAUCCCCUUUUCAGUUUCUUUUUUGUCGAAUUCUCCAUGACCCAUUUGUUGCUUAUUCUGCUUCCUUUGCUUUACAUAUUCGGAGACGGUUUUCGGCCGGACAUCCGAAGCUUGCCGCAUUCCAUCCUGUUGGCGGCACCUUUUGUGGUGUCAGCGUUUUGGGUCAAUCAAACAAUCGGCAGCAACUACAUGUUUCUGAACCAUAUCGAAAGGGGCACGGUCCUUGUGCUUUUCGAUCGUUGGCUGGGGACGCCCGGUUAUCUGAUCGCGGUCCUUGGGUCCAUUCUCCUCAGUUGGAGUAUCCUUUACACACCCUGGGAAAUUUUGAAAAGAAAGGCUCUCCAUUGAAGACGCAACUUGUCCUGUUACUUCGUCCAUGACCUAAAAAAACGAGAGCGGGACAGAACGCGUUUAGCUCCGGACCACUGGAGCGGACAAGCGCAGAAUGGCUGCAGGCCAUUCGAGCAUUGUUCGUGAAGUGGAGCCAGGGGCUGCGUUCUGUCCCGCGUUUACGCACACUAUGUUCGGAUACAAAACGAGACUGGGAGUUUAGUCCCAGCCUCGUUUUUUUAGAUAUGCGCCUGUAAGACUACUUGUUUAUUUCAGCAAUUCGUACAUGGCAUCCGCAUAGAUGGCGGCAGCGCGGAAAAGAUCAUCCAAAGCGAUGAACUCAUUCGCCUGAUGCAUCGUGUCAAUGCUGUCCGGGAACAUUGCCCCAUAGGCAACCCCACGCUCCAACAAGCGUCCGUAUGUUCCGCCGCCGAUGGAUUGUUCGUGGCCUUUCAAACCGGUAUGUUUUUCGUAUACAGCCAGCAACGUUUUGACCAAUGGAUCAUCAGCCGAAACAUAAUGCGGCAACUUGCCGUGGCCGCCUUUUGCGAUCGUCACGCCAUAGGAAGCCAAAGCCGCCUCAAGCUUGAUUUCGAUGCCUUCCUCGGAAACGCCUUGCGGGUAGCGGAAAUUCAAAGCCACUUCCCCACCGGUGGUCGGUGUGAACGUGAAGAUGCCCGCAUUCAUGGUCAGUUCGCCCAUAAUCGGAUCCGUAUAAGCCAAGUUCAGCUUUUUCGCAUCAUGCUGCAGAUGGAUGCGGUCCGCGAUCAAUUCCAGGAAAGUGGCUGCUUGUCCGCCGAAGAGGAAUUUAUUCAGGAAAGAAGCCAGAUAAGUGCCCGCGUUCACGCCGGCAGCCGGGUUCAUGCCGUGAGCCGCUUUUCCGAUCAAUUCGAUCGUGACUUGUUCUCCCUGAACCGAGAGCGUGCCCUUGACCGGAUUGUGCUCAAGGAAGUCAGCGAAAGCCUGCUCGAUUCUGUCUGGCUCCUGGCUGAUGAAAACAGCGGUCGCAUCCUGAGGGACCAUGUUUUCACGCAGUCCGGCAUCGAAGCUCAACAACUCAUUUUUGCCGCCUUUGUUGUCGCCUCUGAACUGUACCAUGAAUGUCUGCAUCCCUUUUUCACCGUUUAUGAUCGGAAACUCGGCAUCCGGAGAAAAACCGAAGUCGGGGAUCUGCUCAUUCUGGAGAUAGUGGUCCAUGCAUUUCCAACCGCUCUCUUCAUCCGUUCCGAUGAUGAUGCGGACCUUUUUGGUGAUCGGCAGUUUCAGAUCGCGGAUGAUUUUCAGCGCAUAAUAAGCAGCCAUUGUAGGCCCCUUGUCGUCGCUUGCUCCACGUGCAUAGAUGCGGUCAUCGAUGAUGACCGGCGCGAAAGGAUCCGUAUCCCAGCCGGUUCCGGUCGGCACAACAUCGACAUGGCCGAAUACGCCCAUCAAUUCUUCCCCUUCGCCGAAUUCGAUAUGUCCGGCCAGAUUGCCGACAUUCUUCGUGAUGAAGCCAUCCCGUUCGCCGAUCGCCAAGAAAGCUUCCAAAGCCUCUUUAGGGCCCGGUCCGACCGGGGCAUCAGGGGUUAUUUUCGAGUCAUCCCGGACACUGUCGAUACGCAAAAGCGUGAAUAAAUCCUCGAGCAGCUCUGUUUUUCUAGCUUCCACUUCUUUUUUCCAAUUGAUUUCCAUGGGCACACAUCCUAACUUAAAAUAUCAUGCUAUCAUCAUAUCACUUUUGGCAAAAUAACCAAAUAAAAGCUUGGCAUUUGGGGCCAACAACCCGCAAACUCUUAGCCUUUUUUAAUCGACUCCGGCAGGUGCGCCCGCAAGACCGCAAUUUCCUCUUCGCGCAGCGGACGAUACUCCCCUUUUUCCAGGUUUUCGUCAAGCCGCAAAGGGCCCAUCGUCAGCCUCUUCAGAAAGGUGACCUCUUUCCCGCAGGCCACGACCAUGCGCUUGACUUGAUGGAACUUCCCUUCUUUGAUCGUGAUUUCGACCUCCGACACAUCCUUUUUUUCAUCAUAGGAACGCAGCUCCAGUUUGGCCGGCAGGCAACGAUAGCCGUCCUCCAGGACAAUCCCGUCAGCAAAAGCGAUCCGGUCGUCUUCGGUCAUCCGGCCCGCUACUCUUGCGAAAUAAACCUUGUCCACAUGCCGCUUAGGCGACAGCAGGAAAUGGGCCAGCUGGCCGUCGUUCGUCAACAGCAGCAAGCCUUCUGUAUCCUUGUCCAGCCGCCCGACUGGGAAAAGUUCCUGUUGGUGCAGAUCGAAGGACAACAGGUCAAUGACCGUCUUUUGGUGAUUGUCCUCGGUCGCGCUGAGCACGCCUUGCGGCUUGUUCAUCAUCAGAUAGAGAUAUUCCUGAUAGCUGACGGGCUCAUCGCCGACAAGAAUAAUGUCCUUUUCGCUGUCCACCUUGGCUUCGGCUUUCGUUUCGACUUUUCCGUUCACCGUCACCCAUUUUUUCUUCAGCAACAAUUUGACUUCUUUUCUGGAGCCGAAGCCAGAAUUCGCCAACAGUUUAUCCAAACGCAUAUAAUUUUCUCCCUUUAUAAACCAAAAAGCACCCCCUGAGGCUGCUUUUUGGUUUCGUUUCUGUUAUUUGAUGCGCAUUUUCCUGCGCAGUCCUUCUGCUUUGGCGCCCAGAAUGUCAUCAGCGAUGCGCAAUUUCAGGGUCAGGAACAGGUAGACGAAUCCGCCGACUGCCGCCACGAUAGCGACAACGAUGAGUGCCGUCAGCUUGCGAUCGAUCGGAAUGAUCAGCAUGCUGGCCUUCAAAGCGACGAACGCACAUACCGUCAUCAACAAUGCGACGGCGAAAAUUUUCCCGGUUUUCCGCAAAGUAUCGGCUAAUCCGAAAUGGGUCAGCUGAUAAAUUUUUCGACCGCUCAAGAGCACCGUCGCGAUGAAUCCGAUUGUCGUUGCAACCAAUGCCCCUGGUGUAUCGAACAAUGCCAGCAUCGGAUACUGCAUGAUCGCUUUGACCGUCAGCCCGACCAACAAAUAAGCGAUCAUCGUCUUGUGCCGGCUCAAUGACUGCAGAAUCGAACCGAGCACGGUGAACAGGCCCAAAACGAUGCUCAUCAGAGCAGAUACUGCCAACAAGGUAGGCCCUUCCGGAUGCAGCGGAUAGAACACAUUGUAGAUCGGUUCGGAAACGAUCAUCAUACCCAGCGAAGCCGGAAGCAUGAUGAAGGCGAACAAUUGGAUGAUCUCCCGGACCUGACUCUGAAGAACACGGAAGUUUCCUUUCGUGAACUCGGCAGCAAUCAGCGGAACGGCUGCCGUUGCCAUCCCGACAGCCAAGGAGACAAUGAUCAUGAUCAAUUUGUCGGCAUUGAAACUGAACAGGCCGAAGAGGUCUUCGAUUUCUUUUCCCGAGUAGCUCGUGAGGUUCUCCAUCAUCGGUUUGAACGUCACCUGAUCGAUCAGCUUGGCGAAAGUGAUGCCUGAUCCGAUCAGGAUGAACGGGAUCGAUUCCUGCAACAUGCUUUUGAUGGCCGCAGUCGUCUGGAUAUUGCUUGAAGGUUCGCUAUUGGCGAUCAGAGGCUGGUACUCGGCCAUUUUCUGCUUGUAAUAAAAGAGAAGGAUCACAGCCGCUACAAUCGCGCCUACAAAUGCAGCAAAGGUGGAAUGCGCGACCGCGGUGGCGAUAUUGCCGUCCAAGAGCUGCAUCACGAUGUAAGUCGCGCCCAAAAGGUAUACGACCCUGCCGAUCUGUUCGAAUACUUGCGAAAUCGCAGAUGGCACCAUAUCCUGAUAGCCUUGAAAAAAGCCGCGCAUCAGACUCAUGCCCGGAACCAGCAAUAAAGCCGGCGCCAGAGCCCGUAUCACCAAAGCCCCGUCUUCAGGGGAAGCGGCCGGACUGUUCUCCGCAAUCAUCGGAGCCAACCCGUACAUCAAGGCGGCACUGACCCCACCCGUCAAAAACAUGAAAAACAUGCUCUUUUUGAAGAUGUCGAUGCCGGUCCGGUAUUGAUUUUUGGCAUUGUAUUGGGCAACCUGCUUGGACAUCGCCGCAGGGAAACCCGCUAUUCCGAUCGAAAGGAACAGCUGAUAUGGGGUGUAGCCUAUCGAAUAGAGGGCAUUGGCGGUAUUGGCCGCAUCCGUUGAACCCAUCAAGGCGUUCCAAGGAAUGAUGUAGAGCGCACCGAUCAAGCGGGAAAAAAUGCUCCCGAAAGUCAUCCAGAAUGUUCCCUGCACCAUCUUAUCGUUGGUUGUUUCUUUUACUUCAUUGACUUUUCUAUCUGUUGACAUUCACAACCUGCUUUCUCUCUGAUAAAUGAAAGAGAAGAAUAAUAAUACCAUCACUCAAGUAUUUUACCAAAGUUCCGUUUUUUUUCAAUCUAUAGCAGUCUUAUUUUGCAAAAUCCUAACAAUUACAGCAUAAUUCCUGACAUUUCCGUGCUGAACACCCCAUCUCUUUGUGCGCGUUUUCAUACCAUCACUUGAGCGUUUAUGGUAAAAUGUAAGUGUGAAGUGCAACUGAGUCAAUCGCUGUUUCCCUGGACCAUGCGCAUGUAUUUGGCUAUCGGAUAGAGCCAGUCAACCGUAUCGCAAAAACUGCACAAGAAAAGAGGACUUAAAAAUGGACACCUUAAGAAAGGCGUUCAGACAUUUAUUCGGAGUCAUCCUUUCGCUCCUGCUUUUCUUCACCCUUUCGGCAACACCUGCUUUGGCUGCUGCCUCGCAGAUCAUUUACCAAGGUUCUGCAUCCAAUAAGGUUGUUGCCUUAACGUUUGAUGAUGGAUCGGACGGAUAUUAUAUCCAAUCAAUUCUGAACACAUUAUCAGCCAAUAAUGUAAAAGCCACAUUCUUCCUCACCGGUCAAGGGGCCGAAAAUCACCCGCAGGCAAUCAAGAACAUUGUCGCAGCCGGACAUGAUAUCGGAAACCACUCCUACAAUCAUCCGGACUUUACGACCAUAUCGACAACCGAGAUGGCCAAUCAACUGAGCCGCACCGAAACGAUCAUCACAAACCUUACAGGCAAAAGCACAAAACCUUUUUUCCGCGCUCCUUUCGGAUCCUAUAACAGUACCGUCCUGCAAACUGUCGGAAACGCCGGUUACACCUACACGUUCCAGUGGACAAUCGAUUCGCUGGACUGGACAGGCAACUCAGCCACUGACAUCUAUAACCGCGUCGUCAAUAAUGUCGUACCAGGCGCCGUCGUACUGAUGCAUGCCGGUUACGGAGCAAACGGCACGACUACCGCGUUGCCGAACAUCAUCAGUCAGUUGCGGGCGAUGGGCUACUCAUUCGUGACCCUUUCUCAGCUAAUGAACACAACAAGCACUCCGGGAACAGGGACUGGAACCAAUUACACUGUCCAAGCGGGUGACACCCUUUAUGCGAUCGCUUUGCGUUACGGCGUGACGGUGCAAGCAAUCGUCAAUGCCAAUGGCUUGGCCAAUGCCAACCUGAUCCGCGUCGGUCAAGUGCUGACGAUUCCGGGAACAGGCACGCCGACAACGCCUACGACUCCUACCACUCCGACUACGGGAACCAGUUAUACCGUCAAAGCCGGGGAUACCCUUUAUGCCAUCGCCUUGCGUUAUGGUGUGACCGUCCAAGCGAUCGUUAAUGCUAAUGGCAUCGCCAACGCCAACCUGAUCCGCGUCGGUCAAGUGCUGACGAUUCCAGGGACAAGCACGCCGACAACACCUACGACUCCGACCACUCCGACCACUCCGACGACAGGCACGAGCUAUAUUGUCAAAGCCGGGGAUACCCUUUAUGCCAUCGCCUUGCGUUACGGCGUGACGAUCCAGCAGAUCGUCGCCGCCAAUAAUAUCGCCAACGCCAAUCUGAUAAGCGUCGGUCAAGUAUUGACGAUACCAGGAACCGGAACGCCGACUACUCCUACGGCACCGACAACCGGAACGUCCUAUACCGUAAAAGCCGGGGAUACUUUAUAUGCGAUCGCGCUUCGAUAUGGCGUAACCAUCACACAGCUUGUGAAUGCCAACGGCAUCUCCAAUCCGAACCUGAUCCGAGUCGGCCAAGUUUUGAUCAUCCCUUAAGGAUUUCCCCAUUUCCUGUCGAUACAAGCAGCACAAAAGAGAACGAGAACCCUACUGCUUGGGUUUUCGUUCUCUUUGUUGUUUCUUUUGAUUAAUUUGCUACGAUAUUGACCAGUUUGCCUGGGAUGGCGAUGGUUUUUCUGACGGUCUUGCCGGCAAUUCCUUCUUUGAUGAUGCUGUUUUCCAGAGCGAUGGCGAUCAUGUCCUCUUUGGAAAUAUCGGACGCCACCAUUUCCUUGGUUUUCACUUUUCCGUUGAUCUGGAAAACGACCUCGAUCUCGUCUUCGACAAGGAAUGCUUCAUCGUAAGUCGGCCAAGCAACGUAAGAAAUGCCUUCCGGUUUGCCCAAUUUGACCCAGAGUUCUUCGCUGAAGUGCGGCGCGAUCGGUGCCAACAGCUGAACAAAACCAGUGAUGUAUUCGAACGGCAAAGCAUCCACUUUGUAAGCUUCAUUGAUGAAGAUCAUCAUCUGCGAAAUCGCCGUAUUGAAGUGGAGAUUAUCAUAAUCCUCGGUAACCUUCUUGACUGUCUGAUGGUAAACCUUGUCCAAUUCAUGCGUGUUGACGGUUGUGAUGCGGUCGCGCAUCUUGUCAUUUUCAUCCAGCAGCAAGCGCCAAAUGCGGUCCAGGAACUUGCGGCUGCCUUCGAUGCCGCUUUCGCUCCAAGCGGAGGAAGCAUCCAACGGUCCCAUGAACAUUUCGUACAUGCGCAACGUGUCCGCGCCGUAGCGUUCGACAAUGUCAUCCGGAUUGACGACAUUGCCUUUUGAUUUGGACAUUUUCUCGUUGUUUUCGCCCAAGAUCAUGCCUUGGUUGUACAAUUUCUGGAACGGCUCUUUCGUUGGCACGAUGCCGAUAUCGUAAAGGAAUUUAUGCCAGAAACGCGCGUACAACAGAUGCAGGACAGCAUGUUCGGCGCCGCCGAUGUACAGAUCCACAUUCUGCCAGUAAGCCAGUCUGUCUUUUGAAGCCAAUUCGUUGCGGUUGUGCGGAUCCAUGAAGCGCAGGAAGUACCAUGAGCUGCCCGCCCACUGCGGCAUUGUGUUGGUUUCGCGUCUGCCUUUCAUGCCUGUCACCGGAUCGACCACAUUGACCCACUCAUCGAUGACCGCAAGCGGGGAUUCCCCUGUGCCGCUCGGCUUCACCUGAUCGGUCUUCGGAAGCAACAACGGCAAUUCGUUCUCGGGCACCGUUGUCGAAGUGCCAUCUUCCCAGUGGAUGACCGGAAUCGGUUCGCCCCAAUAGCGCUGUCUCGAGAACAACCAGUCGCGCAGGCGGUAGGAAACCACUUUUUCGCCCAGUCCUUUUUCCGACAACCACUCGUUCAUCUUCGCGAUCGCUGUCGCUUUAUCCAGUCCGUUCAGGAAACCAGAGUUGAUGUGCAAGCCGUCCUCGGUGUAGGCUGCUUCUUCGACAUUUCCGCCUUCAAGAACCGGCACGAUCUCCAAAUCGAAUGUUUUGGCAAAUUCAUAGUCGCGGGUGUCAUGGGCAGGAACAGCCAUGAUGGCGCCGGUCCCGUAUGUCGCCAACACAUAGUCAGCGAUCCAGAUCGGAAUUUCCUUUCCAUUGACCGGAUUGAUUGCAUAAGCACCCGUGAAUACACCGGUCUUUUCCUUUGCAAGUUCUGUCCGGUCCAGAUCGCUCUUCAAUGAAAUGGCAUCGAUGUAGGCCUCGACUGCUUCAGCCUGUUGGUCGGACAUGAUUUCCUUGACCAAAGGCAAUUCAGGCGCCAUGACCGCAUAAGUCGCACCGAACAAAGUAUCCGGUCUGGUCGUGAAGACGGUGAAUUCUUUAUCUGUAUCCUUGAUUUUGAAAGUAACGUUCGAUCCUUCCGAACGUCCGAUCCAGUUCCGUUGCAUCUCCUUGAUGCUCUCAGGCCAGUCCACCAAUUCCAGAUCGUCCAAAAGACGCUCAGCAUAGGCAGUGAUCUUCAGCAUCCACUGUCUCAUCGGUUUGCGGUAAACCGGAUGUCCGCCACGCUCGCUGACGCCAUCAACGACUUCCUCGUUGGCCAGCACAGUGCCCAAGGCCGGACACCAGUUGACGGAAACCUCCGCUUCAUAUGCCAAUCCUUGUUCAUACAAUUUUGUGAAGAUCCACUGCGUCCAUUUGUAGUAGCUAGGGUCGGUCGUAUUGAUUUCGCGGCUCCAGUCAUAACUGAAUCCCAACGAUUGGAUUUGGCGCUUGAAGGUUUUGAUGUUAUGCUCGGUAAAAUCUGCCGGAUCGUUACCGGUAUCCAGCGCAUAUUGCUCAGCCGGCAACCCGAAAGCAUCCCAUCCCAUCGGAUGCAGGACGUUGAAGCCUUGUGCACGUUUUGCCCGGGCAACGAUAUCAGUCGCCGUGUAGCCUUCCGGAUGGCCUACAUGCAAGCCUUGGCCGGAAGGGUAAGGGAACAUAUCCAAAACGUAAUAUUUCGGUUUCCCGCCUUCUUCGGUCGUUUUGAAGGUCCGGUUGUCUGCCCAAUAUUUUUGCCAUUUUUUCUCGAUCGUCUUAUGUGUGUAACCCAUUUCCAGCAACAUCCUUUUCUUUUCAUUCAUCCAAACAGGCGGUUGGCCAUAAAAAAAAUCCCAUAGGCAGCGCCCAUCACUGGUUCUGCCUAUAGGACGAAUUUUCCGCGGUACCACCUAUAUUGAAUGUCUUUGCAUUCCUUAUCAUGCCUGUAACGCAGCGAUGCGGUCCCGCUUACUGAUGCUUUCAGCGGAACAACUCAAAGGCGAGUUCGAGAGGCUCUUUGCGCAUUUUCACCACCCAUGCGCUCUCUUCAAAAAAAGCUGCUCCCUACUAUUCCUUCUCUAUGUCUGUUUCGGUUAUGAAUUGAUUCAUCUGCUAUUUUAACAAAUAAAAAUCAUUUCAUCAAGACUUGAUGCCUGUCGGGGCCAAUCUGUUUCGGCCUAAAGAUUGAUGACUUGGCCGACAUAAAUGAUAUUGGAAUUAAUAUCAUUCGCUUCGAUCAAUGCGGCUAAGCUGACACCCUUUUUCUUGGCGAUGCCGUAAAGCGUGUCGCCUUUUUCGACCGUAUAGGUAUCGCCUGUUGUUACAGGCACGGUUGUCGAUGGCGCCGUUGUCUGAGUUGUCGUUGAGGCCGCAGCCAACUUCAAUGCUUGGCCCACAAAAAUGAUAUCCGUGUUCAGUCCGUUCCACGUCUUCAGGUCGGCGACCGAGACGCCAUUUGCGGAUGCGAUUUUAUAAAGCGUAUCCCCUUUUUGGACGGUGUAGACUGUGCUCGUGACAGUCGGAACGGAAGGAGUUGUCACAGUCGGCGUCGUUACCGCAACAGAAGCAUUGUCGGUUGCUGCAGUAGCCUUCACCUGCAAUGAUUGACCCGGAUAAAUAUAAUCGGAAUCCAAAUUGUUCAGUGUCUUCAAUUCCGUUACCGUAAGGCCGUUUGCAUUUGCGAUUUUCCAGAGCGUAUCCCCGGAUGCCACUGUGAUGGUGCUCGUUGUGGUUGAGGUUCCCGGCGCAGUUGUCGUAGGCAAGGUAACGGUCGGCGCUGUGCUUGUUGUGCUCUUGAGCGUCAGCGUUUGUCCCGGAAUAAUGACAUCUGAAGUGAGGCUGUUCAGUGUUUUCAGUUCCGCUACGCUCACUCCGUUCGCAGUCGCCAAUUUCCAAAGGGUAUCGCCGGAUGCUACCGUGAUCGUGGCUGCAGUUGUCGGUGCAGCAGGCGUUGUCGGCUGAGUAACAACCGGUGUUGUCGGCGCCGCGGCCGUAGUUUGUUUAAGCAACAAUGUUUGGCCAGGAACGAUGACAUCACUACUCAGGUUGUUCAGAGUCUUCAGCUCGGCUACGCUCAAACCAUUCGCAGUCGCGAUUUUCCAGAGCGUGUCGCCCGAAGCUACUGUUACAUUGCUGGUUGUUGUUCCCGGAUUUACGGCAGGCGUUGUCGGGGUGGUUGGCGUCACCGUUGCGGUGCUCUUCAGCAACAGCACCUGACCGCUCAGAAUCGCAUCGCUUGUCAAGUUGUUCAACGCUUUUAAUUCCGCUACCGUCAAACCGUUCGCGGUAGCAAUCUUCCACAAAGUAUCUCCGGAAACGACGACAACGCUGCUGCCGUUGGAUGGUGUCGCCGGUGCGGUCGGUGUACUUGCUCCAGGUGCCACUGUGAUGGUGCCAUUGAGGUAGUUCACCGGAUUGACGACUGUCCCGUUUUCCUGCACUUCGAAAUGCAGAUGGACGCCUGUUGAACUGCCGGUUGUUCCCAUCACGCCGAUUUUUUGGCCUUGGCUGACUGUCUGCCCUACCGAUACCGAAAGUCCUGAUUGCAUGUGCGCAUACAACGUUUUGAUAGUCACGCCGUUUAUUUUGCCGUGAUUGAUGACGACGUAAUUGCCGUAGCUGUAAUGAUAUGCGGCGACCUCUACAACCCCUGCCUGUGCCGCAUUGAUAUUGCCGCUGCCGGCGAUAUCAAUGCCCCGAUGGAAAUCCAACGCGCCAUUGAUAGGCGAAGUACGGUAUCCGAAGGGAGAGGAAAUGUAUCCGCUGGCCGGUUUGAUGAAGGCUCCAGUGACCGUUGUUCCCGUUGUUCCCGUGUUCGUUCCGGUAGUCGGCGUUGUAGCGCCCGCCGAGGUGCCGGUAGUUUUCAAAAUCUGACCCGGAUAGAUCGCGUCGGAUGUCAGACUGUUUGCGUUCUUCAAUGUGGCAACCGUCAUGCUGUUCGCGGUCGCGAUUGACCACAGUGUGUCACCAGAUUUCACUGUGUAGGAUUGGGAAGGCGUUUGCCCCGUAUUACUGCUUGCGCCGGUUUCGGUCGUAUCGGGACUAGUGGUUGUCGGUUUGUUCAACAACAACUUUUGGCCUACAUAAAUGGUAUCGCCGGUCAGAGAAUUCAGGCUCUUCAAUCCACUGAGCGUCAAGCUGUUCGCCGCGGCGAUUUUGUAAAGGGUAUCGCCAGCUACGACCGUAUAGACUGAAGUUGCCGUAUUUGAAGGUGUCUCACCUGGUGCUGUCGGUGCAGAUGUCUCUUCCUUCGCAGGCGCCUCUUGCUCGACCACGACACUGUUCGGCAGCACCAGGCGAUCGCCUACAUAAAUCAUAUUGGAACUCAAUUUAUUCAAAGCAAUCAGAUCGACCACCGAAAUCGAAUAUUUUUUGGCGAUCGCGGAUAAUGUGUCGCCGGCUUGGACCUCAUGGACGGCAUCCCCCGCUUGAACCGGAGUCGCUGGUGUUUCAGCGUCUUCCGUAUCCUCAGCAGGUUCAGUUGGUGUUUCUUGUCCAGCAGUAUCUUCACCGGAAUUUUCAGGAAGCUCUACAGUCGGCAGCUCAGGUGUUUCUGUCGGCUUUUCGAAAUCGAUAUUGCCUGCAUCCGGUUCCUCAGUCUCGUCUUCGACGACAGGUAUAUAGUUGUCGUAUUGAUCCAAACCGUAUUGCGCAAUGAUCCGGUUCAGUUUGGUGCUGUAGGCUGUGUCCGUCGCAUAGCGGCCGGUCAGGUAUGCAGUGGCAUCCUGAUAGGUGGCUGCGUUGCUCUUCCAGGCACCCGCAUAAUAUGUCGGAUUCCAACUGGUUCCGUUCGCCAACAGAUCCGCGUAAUCCUGCAAGGACUCCGCAUAGGACGGAUAUUUCCGGAACUCUGCGUUGAUGGGAUAGUAAUUCUGCCCGCCGCUGUCCUCUAAGGUUCCCAUGUUGACGGACUCGCCUUCGUAGUUUCCCUUGAUUCCGAACAGGUUAUAGUUAGGCGCCGAUGCCAGAGCACUGGUUCCCCACCCGCUCUCCAGAAUCGCUUGAGCCAUCAUCACGGAGGCGUACAGGUCAUUCUGUGCGGCGAUCACAGUGGCAGACGGAAUGAUUUGAUUCAAAAAGGGAUUGGUGGAAUAUACUCGUGUAUCCGUUGUUCCAAGCGUAGUCGACUCUGCUGCCAAAACCAAUUGGGUCGGCUUGACGACAGUCGUCAUAAACAAUGAGGUACUCAGCACCGCUACGCUGCGUUUCAGUCUUUUAUUCGUGGUGAUAAAAGAAUUGAUCAAUUGUUCUUUUUUCUUUUGGUUGAUGCGUUCGUUUCUGGAUAACACCAAAAUAUACCACUCCCUGUAUCAAAAAUACUGCCGAAUCGGCAGUGAAAAACAUCUGGAUAUAUAAAAAGAUGGAUUUUAAUUUAAAUUUCUUUUAAGAAAAUGAUCCAACAUGUCUAUUAUAUGUUUGUUUCCCAAAUUUUUGAAUGGCUUUCAUAACCAUAUUUAAUAUUUAACAAUUGAAAUGAAUCUGUAACAAUCCUACCACUACAUAAAAGUAAGCCUUUCUCGGCAUGCUUUCUUACAAAAUGUAGUCCGGAUCGUCAAAUGGGCUAUUGACUUAACAAAAAUCAUGAUAAAAUACCCUUUGAGGUGAAAGUAUUGACAAAUCAAUUUUUAUACAGCGACACAAACAAGCGUUACCAUACAUGGAAUUACCAUCUGCAGCAGCAUUUCGGCGAAAAGAUUUUCAAGGUUGCCAUCGACGGCGGUUUCGAUUGCCCUAACCGCGACGGCACCGUCGCUCGCGGCGGUUGUACAUUCUGCACCGUGUCCGGAUCCGGCGAUUUCGCCCAGAAUCGGAUCGAUCCGCUGCCUGUCCAAUUGCGCAAAGGCAUCGACAUGAUGCACAAAAAAUGGCCGAACGUAAAGAGCUACAUCGCCUAUUUCCAAAAUUUCACUAAUACGCAUGCCCCGGUGGACAUCCUUCGCCACCGCUAUGAGCAAGUGGUCAAUGAGGAAGGCGUUGUCGGCAUCAUGAUCGCAACAAGACCGGAUUGCCUGCCGCCGGAAACGAUCGAAUAUUUGGCCGAACUGAACAAGCGUUACUACAUCUGGGUGGAACUGGGACUGCAGACCAUUCAUGAAGAAACAAGCAAAGUCAUCAACCGCGCGCAUUCCUAUGAGACAUAUCUGAGAGCGGUGGAACAACUGCGUACGCAUAAUAUCCCGGUUUGUACGCAUCUCAUCAAUGGACUUCCCGGGGAAAACCAUGACAUGAUGAUGGAGAGCGUCCACCGGGUGAUCCUGGAUUCGGAUAUUCAAGGCAUCAAAAUCCAUUUGCUGCACUUGAUGAAAAACACAAAAAUGGUCCGUGACUAUUACCAAGGCAGAUUAAGAUUGCUCGAAAAAGACGAAUAUGUCGAACUUGUCUGCGAUCAGCUCGAAGUCAUUCCGCCAGAAAUCGUCAUCCACCGCAUCACCGGCGAUGCACCUCGCGACACAUUGAUCGGUCCGAUGUGGAGUCUCAAAAAGUGGGAAGUGCUGAACGCAAUCGACCAAGAGUUGGAACGUCGCAAUACAUAUCAAGGCAUUCAUAAUAUCAGGAAUAAGGGUGAGGAACAUGUUGUUGUCCGCAGUGGAUUUCAGCCAUAAACUGCUGAAGGAAACAGUAUCCGAAGGGGAUACCGUUAUUGAUGCAACGGUCGGAAACGGAAGCGAUACAGUGCUGCUGGCGACUUUGGUGGGGUCAAAAGGCCAUGUCAUCGGGUUCGAUAUCCAGAAACAGGCUAUCGAAAACACAAAGCAAAAGCUUUUGUUGAGCGGGUUGACGAAGCAGGUCACCCUUCUUCAUCAAGGGCAUGAAACAGUUGCGGAAGUACUGGAGGAAGAUGCCCGAAUCGGUGGCGCCAUCUUUAACUUGGGUUACCUUCCGGGGGCCGACAAAUCGGUCAUCACCCAAAAGGAGACGACCAUUUCGGCGGUGGCUGCCUUGUUGCCCAAAUUAAGGAUCGGCAGCUAUAUCAUUCUGGUCGUGUACAGCGGCCAUUCCGGUGGCAUGGAGGAGAAAAAUGCCCUGCUUGAAUAUGUCAGCGAGCUGAAUCAAGCGACCUACAAGGUGUUGCAAUAUGGUUUCAUCAACCAAAUCAAUCAUCCGCCGUUCCUGAUCGCCAUCGAAAAGAAAAAAACACCUUAUAUGAAAUAAAAAAAGCAAAGCAGAUUGGUUGAUCCUGAUCUUGUUAAAAAAACAGAAAUAAGCACAAAAAAACUGCAAGCGCGCUUGCAGUUUUUUUUGUGCUUCCUAUUAUUUGCCAGCUUUGACGUACGCAAGCAAAGCUUCCGUUUUGUCCGUUUUUUCCCAAGUGAAGUCGGCGUCAGAACGGCCGAAAUGACCAUAGGCCGCUGUCUUCUUGAAGAUUGGGCGACGCAGGUCCAACAUUUGGAUGAUGCCUGCCGGCGUCAAGUUGAAGUUUUUGCGGACUGCUUCAAUCAGCAACGCUUCAGGAUAUUCGCUCGUUCCGAACGUGUCGAUGGAAAUCGAUACCGGUUCAGCAACACCGAUUGCGUACGCCAAUUGGAUUUCGCAUUUUGUGGCAAGUCCAGCGGCAACAAUGUUCUUCGCGAUAUAGCGGGCCGCAUAACUAGCGGAGCGGUCAACUUUUGUAGCAUCCUUACCAGAGAAUGCACCGCCACCAUGACGCGCAUACCCACCGUAAGUGUCAACGAUAAUUUUUCUUCCCGUCAGACCGGAAUCACCUUUAGGCCCGCCGAUAACGAAGCGUCCAGUAGGGUUGAUGAAAUAUUUAGUAUCUGCAUCCAGCAAGGAAUCAUCGAUGACAGGAUGGAUGACAUGCUCCAAAAUAUCCUUUUUCAAUUGUUCCAAGGUGACGUUCUCAUCAUGCUGUGUGCUCAAAACAAUCGUGUCCACACGUUUCGGUUUGCCGUUCUCGUCGUAUUCUACGGUAACUUGCGUUUUUCCGUCCGGUCUCAGGUAUUCCAAUGUGCCGUCUUUGCGAACCUCAGAUAAACGUUUCGCUAACUUGUGACUGAGCGAAAUCGGCAAAGGCAUCAGCUCUUCCGUUUCGUUGAUCGCAAAUCCGAACAUCAACCCUUGGUCUCCUGCUCCGAUUUCAUUGUAGUCCGUAGUCACCAAUUCUCUGCGUUCCAGUGAUUCAUUAACGCCGAUUGCGAUAUCGUCAGAUUGUUCGUCCAAUGAUACCAUCACAGCCAAGUUAUCAGCAUCAAAGCCAAAUUUACCACGCGUAUAACCAAUCUCGGUCACGGUAUCGCGGACAAUCUGUUGGAUGUUUACGUAGGCGCUUGUCGUGAUUUCACCAAAGACAACCACCAGUCCUGUCGUAACAAUCGUUUCGCAAGCAACACGCGCGUUUGGAUCAGCAGCCAACAGUGUAUCCAAAAUAGCAUCGCUGAUCUGAUCAGCGAUUUUAUCCGGAUGACCUUCCGUUACUGACUCUGAAGUAAAUAAUCUUUUUUCUACCAUUUUUCAUUCCCCCAUUUUUUGGUUACAAGGCGUCUUCACAUAUUGUGAAUCCUAUCGGGAUAUUGCAAUUAGCCUCUGAAAUGCAACAUACCUAAUAUACGCUAUCAUGGCUGAAAAUGCAACAAAAAAUAAGUGUAUCUGAACAGAAUCCGCAGAAUUCCUUCUCAGAACAAAGCUGCUUCAGUAUCAGGAUUCUGAUCGGCUUGACAUCACAAAGACGUUACCCUAUGAUGAAUCUGCGCAAUUAUAUAUGAGAUGAUAGACUCAUUCACCAAAAAAAUGAAGAAAGAAGAGAUUAUGCUGAAAUUCAAAAAUAAAUUCAUGUCCCUGAUGAACCAUAUUUUGUUGGCGAUGCUGACAGCUCCCCUCAGCCUGUUGCUUUUCGGAGCUUGGAGAGGAAUUACUUUCAACGGACCUAACUAUGAACUGCUUUUGUGGCUCUACUUGUUUCUGCUGUUUACCCUUGCAUUGGAACGCUUGCUUUCAAAGAGCGACCAGGCAGGCACGAAAUUGCCCUAUAAACCGGUUUUAUUGUUCGGAAUCUUUUCGAUCGCUCUGUUGGGCAUCCUUUUCUUUGCAUCGAAUCCGAUUCUUUUCGCCAUCCUACUGUUGUAUUUCAUCUAUACGAUUUUGCAAUACCGUCCGUACAGCAUGGCAAACACCUUUUACGAAAUCCUCCUCAGGCCUUUCUUUAAGAUAUUCAUCUUGUCUGCGCUGUCAUUCUUCUCGCAAGCGAACUUUAUUCCCUUGCAACUGCAAUAUGAAGUGGUUCCGCUCAUUCUGUUCCACAUUUUUGGCAUCAUUCUAAUCCAGAUCCGUAACACAAAAAAGAACAGUCAAUCAUUAACUUCUUACCAACACUUGCUGCGGAGGCAUGGAAAGAUCCUUAAAUUAUUCAGCUUUCUUUUGGCCUAUGCAACUGGUAUUUUCCAGACCCUCAACCUGAACAGCCCUGUUUGGGCUCUUAUUCUGUUCCUUUUGUCAGCACUGUUGGCCUUGCCUGUAUUCAAGAAGAAAUUCCAGCAUGAUCUCAGACUCGAGCAAUAUCUCUCCAACUAUAGUUUCCUCUUUACGCUUGCAUAUUCGCUGCUCUUUUUGAAUUAACCUAAAAAGUCAGAAGCGCCGGUCACAACCGACUGGUGCUUCUGACUUUUUACAACAAAAAAAGCACUCGUAUGAGUGCUUCAACAGAUGACCCGUACGGGAAUCGAACCCGUGUUACCGCCGUGAAAGGGCGGUGUCUUAACCGCUUGACCAACGGGCCGUAUUAAAUGAUGAAAAUGGGCCUAAAUGGACUCGAACCAUCGACCUCACGCUUAUCAGGCGUGCGCUCUAACCAGCUGAGCUAUAGGCCCUUUUUGAAAAAAGCGGGUGACUAGAAUCGAACCCACAACAACAGCUUAGAAGGCUGUUAUUUUACCAUGCAAGUCAAUAAAAAAAUAUUCCCUAUCCAACUGGCUUAAGAAUAUCAAUUGCGGGGACAGGACUUGAACCUGUGACCUCCGGGUUAUGAGCCCGGCGAGCUGCCAACUGCUCCACCCCGCGAUAAUAGUACUAUGGCCUGAGGCCACAAUAAAAUGAUCCGUACGGGAAUCGAACCCGUGUUACCGCCGUGAAAGGGCGGUGUCUUAACCGCUUGACCAACGGACCAUGUGUUUAUUUUUCUGAUAAAGCUACGGAGAAGGAGGGAUUUGAACCCUCGCGCCGCGUUAACGACCUACACCCUUAGCAGGGGCGCCUCUUCAGCCACUUGAGUACUUCCCCAUAACAAGAAAUUUUCUGCUAUAUUCGUUGCUUUAUCAAUGGGCCUAAAUGGACUCGAACCAUCGACCUCACGCUUAUCAGGCGUGCGCUCUAACCAGCUGAGCUAUAGGCCCUUUUUGAAAAAAGCGGGUGAGGAGAAUCGAACUCCCGACAUCAGCUUGGAAGGCUGGGGUUUUACCACUAAACUACACCCGCAUGGCGGCUCCGACGGGAUUUGAACCCGCGAUCUCCUGCGUGACAGGCAGGCAUGUUGACCCCUACACCACGGAACCAUGCAUAAAAUUUUUAUAUCGUUUCCUAUACUAGAAAGAAUAGGAAGCACUGUGGGCUCUCGCCCAAGUGUACCAUCUCCGUAAUGUCGCUGGAGCGCCAACGGUUAUGGCAAUUGCGGGGACAGGACUUGAACCUGUGACCUCCGGGUUAUGAGCCCGGCGAGCUGCCAACUGCUCCACCCCGCGAUAAUGAUAAGGAAACACUACAAUGGCCUGAGGCCAUCUAAGGAGGAUAAGGGAUUCGAACCCUUGCACGCUUUUACACGCCUGACGGUUUUCAAGACCGUUCCCUUCAGCCGGACUUGGGUAAUCCUCCGUAAGCUGAUCAAAUUUCCAUGGACCUUGCAGGACUCGAACCUGCGACCGGACGGUUAUGAGCCGUCUGCUCUAACCAACUGAGCUAAAGGUCCGAAGCAAGGCAUUAU